UGUAAAUGUAUGUUUAAGUUAGCCGCUAGAGCCCAAGUGUGCACCCUUGGUUACCCCAUGGAGAAGAUAGAGGGAGAAGAGAGGCUGUUUAGAAGGUAAUUGGCGACGCUGUCGGGGAGGGAAAUGUUUAACGUGUAAGCAUGUGUGCGUGCGCGCGCGGCUCCGUGCGCUGCCCGCAGUCAUUGACGACGCCGUCCGUCACAGAUAGGCUAAAGAAAGAAAUAAGAUAAACAUGCAGCAACCGACAGGGGGAAGAUGUGAUAUCAUGAAUAAGAGAGGACAAGUCAAGACAGAUUUUCCUAUAAGGCAUCCAUGGUGUUUCACACUGCAAGAAGUGAUAGACAUGAUAGACUUUUUUGACAUUCACAGAAAAUAAGAAGAGCCAGACAAGACUUUCCACUGGAAAACAAGGAAAAGUUAAUCAGAGCGGGAAAAAAGUUAUUGGCACCUUUUAUUAUGGCUGAAAGACAUGGUGGAAAAUGGUUUAUCCUUUUACCAGAAACACUAAUACACAAUUCAAUCAAUGGAAAAAUUGAAGCCUUCUUAUCUAGACUACAUUUGUGUGUGGAUUAUUGUUUUUGUGGAGCUGAAAUGUUUAUUUCACUUACUACUGAAAAACAAAAAAAGAAAAUGUCCUUUAAAUUUAACAAAUGUAUUUAUUUAUCUUAUUUGAUACAUUAGAUGUUUAACUGAUAAACCACAAGAGGACAUUUUUACCAUUUAUCGGACUGUAUUCAGGUGUUUAUUAGUGAUUUGCUGAUCAUAUUGAUUUGAUAGAAGUAUCAUAAAAGUAUGUAUCAAAUAUGAUACAAAUGGCAAUAAAGGGUUAAAACUGAGGUUUAAAUAGACAUAAUAUGGAAGUCUGGAUGUUUGCUGUCUUGUGGUCAGACAGUGCUUGCUAACUCAGUCUUGAGAAAGUUCACAUCGCCUUAUUUCUGAGAACAGAUACUCAGAUGUUGAUCACAUUGUUGUCGCUGGAGCUACUUGUAGAUUCCUUUUUUCAGACGAGCCACUUUGAACAGCUUGGUGUUGUACCUCCUGUUUGCUGUGAGGUGUUUUCUACAUGUUGCUUAUCUGCCACCUGCACAUACUUCAUGCAUUAUUGAAUCUAAAACUGUUAAAUUACCCUUUUUAUUAUUUUUUGACAACGUACUUGGCUGUAACUGUAUUCAUGUUCAUUAUCAAUAUCAAAUAUUUGAUUGAUGUCACAGUCAUUAUGAAUGACACAUUGUAAGAAGUUUUAUACAGUGGUGAAAAACUUUAAACUUCAGAGAUGAACCAUUUGAGAAGGUUGUUGUCAUGAUUAGAAUAUACUUUAGGAAAGUUCUCGACACUUUUCCAUCAGUGAGAACUGCAUUAAGCUCAACGUUUCCCUUUCCUUUUAUACCCCCUUUAAUCACAUGGCGCCCUUAUCAAGUGGGCUGCACCUUAAAAGCAGUCUCCCCUUUUCUUCUUUGACUAUCUCGGCUUCAACAAAACCAUUUAUUUUGCUGUGAAGACAAGCCAAUCUUGUUUUGUGUGUGUGUUCCUUUCCUCAAAAGCUGCCUGGCUUACCUGUAUCUCCAGCUUCAUCAACCUCCAGAUGAAACCCAUACCGGCCCUUCUGCUGAUAAGGUAAGCCAGGCAACGAGAUAUAUCCAUCAUUCACCUCCUAAUGCACAUGGAGGCAGAAGCGCGCACACACACACACACAUACACAUACACUCACAUGUGAGUGUGUGUAUUUGAGGGUGGAUUUGCGGAGGGGGGUAUGCCAUAACAAGAUUAGGAUUAGAACUGUGAAUGAAAUCACACCCUCUACUGCUACCCAAGUAAUCAAACGGGCCUCAGACAAAAGAGCAGUUCAUUUAGUGCCACUAAUUCUGCUUGGUGGCUUCACAGCAUUGCGGUCUCAUUAUUCUGUUAACCCCCGCAUACACACACACACACACACACACACACACAAAUGCGCAAGACCUCAUAAAUUGUGUUGUGGGACUGCUGCCAAAGCGGAGACUGGGUUCAGCUGGGUAGUUAAUCAUCUCCUAUAGCAUGUAAUUCGUGUAAACAAUGUUGUUUGCGCACCAAGAGAGCGUGGGCCCCCCUAGGCUCUAGUUAGUUGUGAUGUGGCAGCGUACCUGGGAAUAGUAGUUCAUGUGCAAUGGGGCCAAAGGUCGCAAGGUGUUCAUAAUUGACUCUGUGUGCCAAGUCGGAAUGGGAGCAUGUAAAGUAAUUCGCUGGUUUGGAGUCAGUCGUCAUGACAGUGCUCUUGGGGAGUGAAGUGCUGUGGAGUUUGAAUAAAAACAGAAAGAUUAAUUACAUGCAGUAGGAGAGAGUUGAUGCUUGUGUGGGCAGGUGUAGAGUGUUACUCAUUUGUAUGUGUGUUGUUCCGUGAACUAGCGUUGCUCCAUCUGUGCUUACAAACUGUGUAGAGCAGCAGACCUUUUGACCGUGUAUCACCCGCCUCAUCUCUACAUCGCCACAUUAAACCCGCCACCUCUGAAUGAUGUAACUUCUUCCGGACCUCUUGGUUGGUUUCCACGGUCACUGUGUACACAAGGUCAUUUGGUUUCUGAUCAAUAGCUUGUAUCGAGCCUACACUCCCCCCCCGCCACCCCCUGUUUCUGAAACGGCCGUUAAAUCGAUGGGAACAAAUGAAAUUAAGCUCCUGGGCGGCUCGGAGGAGCAAAUGAUCUUUCUGUGAUUAAUAACACACUGUAAACGCAUCUGUGCUGGGCAUAUCACAUCAGAGAGUAUUUCCUUGCCUUGGCUUGUUUCCUCGGGGUAAGACUAAGAGAAUAAAGCUGUGGUAAUGAUGCUUAUCUGGGGAAGCACCAUUUGGUAGAACAUCGAAACAAGAACAAAUGGUUCUGUUUGUACAGAUGUAAGUAUGUUACUUUGAGAGACCACGAUUAUGAAGUUUGCCAAGCACAGAGAGUCUUGUCAUGUCAGAGGACUUUGUUGGUCGGUGGACGGCUUUUUCCUGUGUGUGUUAUUACUGGAUAAAAGAAGAAACAAAUCAGAAGACACGUUUUUUUUUUUUUUCUUUUUUUUUUUUUUAAACAAAGAAUAAAAAGUUUGUAUACAGUUGUGUGUCAGGAUUAGGAUUGCAAAGGGGUUAACAUUUUCCAGUUAAUUUCCGGAAAAUUACCAGAAACUUUCCGUGGGAAGUUAAGCUGGGAAAUUUUGGAAAUAUUCCAAAUUGAAAACUUUCCAUGAGAAUUAUGGAAAUUAUGGGAAAUGAUGGGAAUUAUUGGGAAUUAACUGGAAAUUUGGGGUUAAUUUAUACAAACUGAAUCAUAUCUAAACAUAAAUGUAAUUUUUUUGUUUUGUCAUAAGCAGACACCCAUGCAAAAUAAUACAAUUAAAAAACAUUUCAACAGAUUUAUUUAAGUGGCAACUGCGAAUGUGGCAAAUAACAAAAAAAACUUGUAAAAAAACUAAUGCAAUGGCAUGAACAGAAAUAUAGUUGGCUAAACAACUGGAAUGGUCUUCAAAAUAUUUGACAAUUGGUGUAUAAAUCAUUGUUUGGUUUCAGAAAACUGUCUUGCAGGAGUCAGAAGAAGCAGCAUCACAUUUUAGGUUGCUACUACCACCAUAAUAAGCCAUCCCCCUUAAAUGGUCAAUAGCUUACAUUGAGCACCUAUUUUUAUUUAAUUUUUGCAAGUUAAAUAUUAAUGUUAUUAUGGAUCAAAUAUAUUUACCCUACAGUAUUAUCAAAACUUACUUGACUUAUAUAGUCAGUGGGCUCAAAUGUCUUGUAGUCUGGGCUCAAAAGUGUGAUGGAGGUGUCUGUGCGUGUGAUGGAGGAAUGCACAGUGCAUGUAGGGGGUGUGACCUUUAAUAGCCCUGCAGUAAGCAGUGUGCUGUGUGUAUGUGAUUGAGGAGUGUACUUGCAUUAAAUCUGGUUGUUUUAGCCAAGAUUAUGUUACAAUAUAUUUUCCCCAACUAUAUUUAAGUUCCCCGAUGAGCUUAAUUUUGUAAAUUUCAGAUUUAUUCCCGUAAAUUCCCAUAGAAAGUUUGAAAAUUCCCAGAAUUUUGCAACCCUAGUGAGGAUAUUUAACACAGAACAGGCUAAAUUGUAUUGUACUGUUCCUCAUUAUGGUCACUUGAACAUGGCUGAAUAAUGUUUGACUUUAAUGCAGCUUUUAUAAUUAUUACCAAAAUGAAAGGCAGAGUUCUCAGAGUCAGACACUUUUUUAUGAGAUAUUAUAGAGGUGUAGUAUUAAAGGUGUAUUUAAAAACAGAAAGACUGAGAUUUGGUGUUCGUUCUUGACUGCAGAGAUAUUUUACAUGACUCUGUUGCAACAUCCUGUAACUAUUUUACCCUGACAUGAUAGCUUCUGAGUCAUUUUGAAGGCCAAUUGAACAGUGCCCCUUUCAUCCCCACUGUAACUUGGUUCUGCAGGUAUGAUCUCCUGGGAGAAGUUCUGCACAGCUCUCUGGCAGAAAGCUCUGAAGGCAAAUUUCAUGAGUAAUAGAUCUUACCUUAUAUCCCUGACGCUUAUGGCAGGGAUGAAGGAACCCAAAAGGGCUUGAAAAAGAUGAAGUAACAGAGCAAGAGGCCCCUCAAAAAAGAGCCAAUCUAAGAGUAGAUUUUAACGUAGUAAGAGAGGGAAAUGCUGUGCAAAACUUUGGUGUUGUUGAGUAACUUAUGUAAUAAGACACUUUUCUGUUCUGUGACAAAUAUAAUGAAACACAACAUGCUCCUUAUGUCUCUAAAUUCCCUGAUGUCCAUACUGUGAGUGAGGAACUCAUUCCAUAAAACAGGAGGGCAAUUGAGCUUCUGGCAAACAAUGCUGGCGUAGGAGUUAAUAGUGCAUUUGUCAGGCACUAUUUUCAGAUAUGGAUUCUUUAGAUUCACAUUUCAUAAUCUGGAGGGUUCAGCAACAAGACAAACACUCUGGCUUCGGCCUGAAUGAACAUUAAACAAUAUUUUGUAGAUAUUUCUGCAACACAAAGACAUAAACCGAGACAAUUUUAUUCUCAUGGAGAGAUAGGUGAUAGAGAUAAUUUUAUACUUUAACUGUGUUUACUUUAGAGUUUACUUUUCUUAUUCUUAAGUAUCCUUCACACAACUUCUCCUUUGCAUUGAUUAUACCUCUUUGAUGCCACGGCUCCUCAGAAACCAGCUAUGGGGAUCCACUGCCAAGCCUGAAUCAGACAGAGGCUGGAGCAGCAGCUAUGUUGUUAUGCUUUGUGAAGACACUUGCCUGGGGUGGGAUUUGUAUUUUAACCAUUAUAAACCAUUCUCCUCUGUACUUUUGGUAUAAUGCUAUGGAACCAAAAACUGAGCACAACAAUAGCAGACUCUUUUCUGGGUUCCUACAACGAGACAGGCUUUGAAGGCUUUGAAUAAAUAAGGACUAGAGGGAGAGGAAAAAGUAAAUACAGCAUCUUUUAUUUGGACAACAACUCAUACAGACGCAACCUUGACUGUGACCUCUCAAUGUGCAUGAUAAAAUGAAGAUCUUCCCACGGCUGCCACAGUGGGAAGUGUAGGUGGCUACCAGAGACAGUGUGAAAAAAAGGGUCAAUUUGACAGCCGCUCAAAAGUGAAGCAGAAACAGUAAAAAGCUUCUCCUACUGACAUGCUGCAGUCGAGUUCACAAAGCCUCCAGAUAUGACUUUGGGGAGACAAACACGGUUUCUGCCAUUUAGUUGGCACUUAUAAAAGAGCUGGACAUCAAUACUGUGACUCCACAUGACCAGAGCUAGAUAUAGUAGAAGUGCAGCAGAUUGUAUGCAGUAUGUGAUCCAUUCACACCUCCUUGUAGACGUUAAAGUUGGAGUAAUAAAAUGGACAGCAUCACUAUUCACUGGUAUAGAUGUACUUUGCACUGCGUUUGUCUUAUCCACUGGUCAGAGACAUCAAGCAUCACUCCAGCCAGGCAAACACUGCACAGUGUCACUGACUAAAAAGAGAAGAUGACUGAAAAUGGUGUUGAUUCCUGAUUUGAGUCAAGUGAUUCACCUGCUAUUGAAAGUUUAAGUGUCUAGUGGUCCAAGUGUCCCAGGUACAGAGUAGAGAUGCACCGAUCCAUUUUUUCAGAUCCAAUCCGAUAACAAUACCUGGGCUGAGUGUAUUGGCAGAUAUCCGUUGAAUGAGUGAACCGAAUACCUUGCCCUGUGAGUGAAGGCAUCAGGCUUGAAAUUAGCCUUGUAAAAAAAGAUACCAAAUUAACACAUAUAUAUAAAUUUACUUCAUAUUAUUUAUUAACAAAUUGCACAUUAGCACACAGCAAAAAGAAGUAAGACUUCUGUGUAAAGUGCAAAAGGAUGGACAGACGGUGAAUCGGUGUUAUUCAUCAGCUAUCCGAUCUAAUUAAUUUGUCAAUAUCUGAGCCGAUAUUCGAUCCAACUAUCGGAUCGGUGCAUCCCUAGUACAGAGACCCCUUGCUGCAGGUUCUGUGUCUCUCUUCAGUGUUUCUAUCUAAUGAAGGCAAAAAAAAGCUCUCCAAAAAAAGCAUGUUUCUUAAUCUUUUAAUGUAAAAGUAACAUUGACAGAGUCCCCAUAAAAUACCUGUAUUUUUGUUAAAGUGGGCAUUUGUUGAAAUAUGUUAGCGAGCGCUCUUAUUGAGCUGCAUGGAGGCACAUUGUGAUUCAUUGUGCCAUAGGAUGCGCAUUUUAGAGUCAUAACUCAGCAAGGAGUAGAAAAGUUACAUACAUAUCUCCCACUGUGUGGAUUUUUUGGAAGAUCCAUAAACCAAACUGAACAUGACCUCUGAUCUUGUGAACCCAACUGGAGUGUAAGAUCACCCCCUAGCUUGUUGUGGGUUGCUGAUUUGCACUUAUUGUUUUUUUUUUUUUUUUGUUUUUUUCACUAAAAAAUAAAUAAUACUAGUUGUACAACUUUUACAAAACAAAUCACUAAAUGACGAACAAAACACUAAUUUAGUGGCUCUCCAAAAAGCUCUACAGAAUGACCUCAGGCCAUUGUGCUCAUGUUUUGCUCAAGAUCAGGUAGUGAUCCGUCAGUCAUCUUUAUUUACAAAGGUUGUUACUUGAAGAGCUGCUUAAAAAAGGCCUCAGCAUACAGAGUUUAACCGACACUCAGUCUACUUCAUCUACCACAUUCUUUCUUCUUCCUCUUUAAACAUCAUCAUCAUUAUCACAUCAUUAAAAAAGUAUUAUCUUGUUCAUGUGUUUUCACAAGAAAUCAAUUCUGCUGUUGGUUGCCAAGUGUAGUGCCGGGGGCUUACUGGUUGGCUCCCACUUGGUUCAUGGUGCUGCUGUAGCUGUCCUACCACCUGGUGUGGAGUUUGCUUUGCUUUUUCUUUCAGACAUACCGUAGAACCUCUCUUUCUGUAGCUGCACAGAUGGGUUGUACUCUUUUAUUCAUAAGGGCUACACCAACUUUGAUCUGGCUUUGCAUUUGCAGCAUGUGUCAGAUUGAGAUGGGGGAGAGUGGGUGGAAGGGUAAGGGUGGGGAGGUGGAAGCAAUGUGGGAGGCUGUUCUGCUGGCCAGACACCCCAACUGCUCCCUGCGCCUCUUUUCUAUGUUCCUUCGGGCCCUGUGUGCUUUCUAUUAUGCAUGAGUGUCAUAACCAGUACAGUAGAUCUGCUGGCCACAGACACAGAGCAGAUAUCCACACAGCUGUACCAAACUUGACUUUGUUUGAUAUUCAAAAGAGAAAGACAUCAUAAAGCAUGGAGUUUGAAACCUUUUACAGAAGUGUCAAGCUCGAAUGUUUAAUUGGGAAAUGUUGAGUAUGUUAGAUAUUAUGAUAUCUGUGCUAAAAUUUGCUCCCUGUAUUUGCUGUACUUGUUGGGUAAAGAUGUAUGGCUGCAGUUAUGCAGUUUACAAUGACAGCGGUGGCAGAUUUAUCACCUGAAAUUCAUGGUGGCAUUUCAAUUAGUGAUUGAAGUACUUUUUUUUUCUGGUUUUAGAAAUAAGUCCUUGAUGGCAGACUUCUUAACUUGUGGUGGAGCCUUCAAUUUUGCUGUCUGAAAUGACAACCUUGGGAGAUAUUUUUUGCUUGCUGUCUAACAGUUUUGUGCUGAAUCCACGAGUUAGCCCUGAACAACUCUGUCUGGAGUUAAAUGUGUCAGGAUAUAGUGUGUUCUUUGAAUAUACGUAUAUGACAUAAACUUCUCUGGAAUGAUGUAUUAUAUGGCAACAACUAGAAAAUGUUAAUAAUAGUAGAUAGUCCCUUAAAAUGAAUAAAUUACUUUUAUUGUUUUGUUUUCAAUCUAUAAGUUUAAGCCAUCGAAUUAAAGACACAGUUUAGAUGUUAUAAUUCAGGUUUGCUUAUGCAUAUUAAAAAAUGAUUAAAAUAAUGGUAACACUGAACUUGAUGCCCAUCUCUAUAACGCAUUAUGAAUAUAUGUAUAAUGUGUUAUAAUCAUGUUAUAGCACUGUAUAACUAUCAGUAUAAACACUCAUCAAUUAUGCUUAGGCUUUAUAACAAUAAGUGUAACACAUUAUAAUACCUGACCUUGUAAGUCAUGAUAAAAUGCUUUAUAAUGUGUUUGUAAUGAUUAUUGCUAUAAAGCAUUAUGAUCAUUUAUGAGUGUUUAUAACUAUAGUUAUACAGUGCUAUAACAUGAUUAUAAUGCAUCAUACAUAUAUUUAUAAUGCGUUAUAGAGAUAGGUGUCAAGUAAAGUGUCACAAAAAAACCUUAUACUGGCUCGUUAUAGACAUAAAGAAGCACCUCUAUCACAUAUUUAGCAGACUUCUUUUCCCCGACUGGUAUUAAAUCUAUGUGAGGAAGGGAAAAAAAACACAUAAAUGUCAGUAAUGUGUUUUGUACUAUCCUGUUGCCUCCCUGCUGUGCUCUGCUCAGGAUGGUCACUCUAUCAUUUUUGCCUUUUUUUUUUUUUUUUUGUUGGCACGGACACAUCCUCCAAUACUGCUACUGUUGGCCACUGGGUUCACACAGCAGUGCCACAAUUACUAGACCGGUAAUUACUGUGCCUGUGCCAAGUUUGCAGAGUGUGCACACCAUUAAACAGUUCUCCCAGCCUGCAGAAAAAAACCCGAUUAGCCAUUAGAUUUUGGUGAAAGAGCGGUGCUUUCAUCACGUCAAAUCCAUAUAAAGGUAGAGUCAGAGGAGAUUAAUACAGCAGAGAUCUGAUGUAUGUCAUUCUGCCUCCUAUUAAAUCAUACAGUGAGCGUUAUCGCCCUGUCUGGCUGUUAUUUGUCAGCGUGGACAUCUUCAGUGGCUUCUGACCCUUGGGCAGACAUAGUUUGUUUUGUCAACUGACAGUUGCGUGGUUGUUGCCACUGGCUGACAGAUUACACAAAACAGGUUUCCUAGAAGUAGCUGUAGAGUUAGUGUCGCAAUGUUGAACUGCAAUGAAGCAGACCCAGUUGACUCUACACUUAUCACAUCCUUUGCAGCAUCUGUCCUUGUUAUUCUACCCAUCCAAGCAUCAGAGUGUUAUCAGUAUGGUGUCAGCGUGGGGACGUGUUGUAACCUGGAGCUCUAUUAGCUUUGCAAGCACCUAAGCUAUUGAUUCAAGGUCACAACUGGUCCAGUAUGGAAGCAAACCAAGCAUGCUAACAUUAACAGCUUGUGUCAAAAGAUUCACACCUCCUUGUUGUCCACAUUGACUCACUAUCAUGGUAAGAAGUAGGGCUGGGUGAUAAAUCGAAAAUUUACAGAUACCAAAAUUUACAACAACAACCAACGUCAUUUUGCCCGUGUCAAUAUAUUUGGUGUCAAUAAAUAAAUAAAUAUAGGUUGGUUUGGAUGUGUGUAGGUAGGCUAUGGAUUCAUGCCCCUUUAAGACGCUGUCCUACGUCAGAGAUGUGACUCCACCCCAUCCAGUCUGUAACAAAGAGGGAAAGACAGGUGAGGAGAUGGAGGACGGUUCAAAAGUUGUAGCAGCUGGAGCAGCAGCUGAAGUAGACAGUUAAUGUGGGAGGGGGUGAGCUGCUUGUAGAAUAGUUAUCGUCCAUUUAUCAUUAUUGGGGUGAACUGCUCAAUAUAUUAUGAUAUUGAUUUGAGGCCAUAUCGCCCAGCCCCAGUAAGAAGACUUUAAUAAGACUAGACCAAUGCUGAUAUUAUUGCUAAAAACUGAAGAUUAUGAAAACAUGGUUUCUGAAGCCCAAAGAUGGCAUUGCCAUAAUGUAACCGAUGAGUCCAGCUAACUUUAGCUCACCCAGAAGCAGUCAAAGUGGUGGAGUCCAGGCCAUAGCUUUGCUACCCAACACACAGCUACAAUGUGCUUACCAUAGACUUUAUUGAAAAAAAAGAAAAAAAGCAUUGCCUCAGCGGCAUCACUCAUUUACUUCUGAAGUUAAGCUUUAAUGUCUACGGAUGGUGGAUGCCAUGCCAUGUCUCAACUCAGACAAAGAGGUGGAGUCCAGGCAGAGCUUUAGCUUCCUCCUUUUGGUCAACUGUGCCUCUAAUAACUUAAGAGUUCAAAACUGUUAUGUCUUCAUGAUGAAUGAUUUAUGAAACAAGUUACCCCUUGUGCAGUGUGUGGAUAGAGAAAUAAAUUAAAAUCCUUAAUUCUGACAGGCUGUAAACAUCUUUGUUUUUGUGGUAAAGAUUGGUUUUUGAAUGUGUGUGUAUGUGGAACACGCAUUAAGUGGAUACUUGAUGUUUUUAGUGCAUCUGUCUCGGCUUUAUUCCUCACGUCAAGUUAACUGUGCCUGAUAUAUGCAGAACUAUUGUUAAAUAUAGACUUAGAAUAAAGAAAUUCAGUAAAAAUCCUUUUAUUUUUUCUAUGUACUGAGCUGUCCUCUGGUUUGGUUAAGAUUGACCUUGGUCUCUCUCUCUAUCUCUCUAUCUCUCUCUCUCUCUUUUUAAAAAUGUGUUUUUUUAGUUAGAAAAAUGCACUUUAAUUGACAUGUCAGCGAAGACACCAAUGUAAAUAUGCCAUAGUUAGCGUAAAUGCUCAUUUUAAUCUCUUGUCCUAAGGCAGAUAUUUAAAAACAAUACAUUAUUCACACAAAAUACAAUACACUAUGACAAAUGGAUAAAAUAUGCAAGAUCUUACACAGUUAGUUCCAAUUCACAUAGAAAAGAUAAAAAUAAACACUGAACUUCAGGCACUGGCUUUUGUUUACACUGAAUCUUUCUUCUUUUUUGUAAGAAAGUAAGGAAGCGUAUGCUAGCUAGCUAGGGGGGAAAAAAGCUUCUUGUGUCCAAACUUACAGACCUCUGCACAGUCCUUGAGCGGUACUUUUUAUCAUUGAUGCUGACUUACCGUGACACCUGAGCAGAGCUGAGCCACUGUUAAUGUUGUCAGAAAAACCUUUGCUUUUCCAAGUUUGACAAGUCAAAUUUCUGCAGUGAAAAAAGCUCGACAGGCCUGCUGUGCUUUGUUUGCUAAACUAUGUUUGAAGAUCUUUGUUUACGAGCGGAGUGAACAGUUAAUCUCAAACUGGCAGAUAGCUUCCAAAAACAAAGGAGUGCUGCAAAAAGCCAGAGCAUUGUUUCAUUUGUUUUCAUUUAAUUUCACUCCCCUCUAAAAUUGCAAGAGGAUAAUGUUCUUUUAAAAAUACUAAUUAUCACUGUGAUCAUUUGAAUGUCCCCUUGUGUAUUUCCCUACCUGUGCUGUGGUGUGGCCUGAGCAGAGAAAUGGUUUCCUUCUCUGCUCUUAGCCUAUGCCCAUUGAUUUAGAUGUGUUUAUCAUUUAUAGUGACCUGGGUUAACUGUCCUGAGAAUUAUAUUUAAGGCUUCGGGUCCCAGUUGGCAAUUAAGUACAAUUCAUUACAGUAGACACACAGCCCUACAGGGAAAUAUGUGAGAGCUGUGGCCAAACACUGGAACAAGCUGGGAGGAGAAAAACAGAUCAGGAGAGGAGGAGAGGAAGUGUGAGAUUCAUGUAAAAAACGAGAGUAGGUAAAUGUGUAGGAGGUGAUAAAUGUGUUGAAGAAGGCAGUUUGUUAGUGGAGAAAAAGUGUAUUUUGAGGACCGGAAGGGUAUUAAAAUGAAGAAAAACAAGAUUCUUUGUAGAAAGAGUUGGAGGAGGCUGGGGCUUUUUCCCCAGUGAUAGAUGAAGCCCCACCUGAUGGUGUGGUCGGUCCUUCAGCGAUGGUACUUCUCUCACAGAGAAUCCCAUUCCUUUCAUUUCGUUGCAUUUGGAUCCUUUGAGUGUGAGAUGCUGUGUUUUUUUCUCCCUGUGCAGUGUGUGCUAAUACUUCAGAUUUUGUAACCUCCCGCUGGUACGGGUGGAUUAUUCAACAAGAGUUUUUGUUUGCAAUAUGAAGUACAACUAAAGAACUUAAAAAAGACCAAAUCACCCAUUGAUACACUCAGUUCAAGUUCGGAGUAAACAGUCAAAACCCAGAUCCUGCUGUAGCUCAAGUCAGUGCUUUGUAUUGAUUUCCUUCAGCUUUAAAGUAACAGCCUCUGAGUUUUCUGUUUCAUGUUUUUUAAGUACUAAUCUUAAAACAAUUUGAUCUGAAAAGCAUCAAGGAUUCUACUCUAUGGGUGCAUGAUGGGACACAAAGUAGGUUUUAUAUUUGCUGUUCCUGCUAAAUUGACCUCUCACAUUAAAGCUGUAGAGCACUUUGAAUGUAUAUUUAUCUAUCCACUCUGUGCUUGCUCUGACAUCAAACCAGUGCAGCAGCUUGGGGGUGCGCUCCCUGCCAUGUGAUGGAAACUUUGACUGUUGAUAGGUGUAGUAUUGAAGAAAAUACACUGAUUACUGUUGAAGCUUUAUUAAUGUAUUAAAGUGACAACUUUUAUCCCUUUGUACUUGAGAAGAUUAUAAAGUUUGCUGAAACUAAGAGUGUGCUUUUCUGAAGCGUUAUGCCUCUGUUUACUCUGACCACAUCAGACAUUUUCCGUUGGAUCUAUAGGGAAGGGCCAUUGAUGAGAAAUACAAACCUUUUCAUAGACUCAAAGAUAGCCCGUUUUAGCGUUAGCCAAAAUGUUCCCAUCUUCCUAUAUAACAGCAGGCGUCAAAAUCACCUGUGACAACCCCAAGUUCUGUUUCUGAAGAAAGCUGCCUGACGUUAACAACAAAAACAGUAAAGUGCUCUACAGUUGUGCAACCAAGCUUGAUGCACAUUAUGCUAGAAGUAACUAGAGAUACACCGAUCCAUUUUUUUCCGGUCCAAUCCGAUACAGAUACCUGGGCUGAGCAUAUCUGCCAAUAUCCGAUACCGAUCCGAUACUACUGUUGAAUAAUUGAACUGUAUACCUUGCCAUGUGAGUGAAGGCAUCAGGCUUGACAUUAGCCUUGUUAAAAACGAAAAGGUAACAAAUUAACACAGAUGUAAAUUUACUUAAUAUUAUUUAUUAACAAAUAAACAACUGCACAAAUUGCACAUCAGCGCACAGUAAAAAGAAGUAAGGCUUCCAUGUAAACAUUAAGUGCAAAAGGACAGACAUAGAAUAUAGAGCAAACAGAAUCGCUACAUCACAGGAUCGGCAUCAUUUAUCAGAUUUUCGAUCCAGUUAAUUUGUCAAUAUCUGAACCGAUAUCCGAUCUUGAUAUCGGAUCGGUGCAUCCCUAGCAGUAACUCCAUUGUCCAACUGAGUCACACUAUCCAGAUCGGUGCUUUUAAGGGUUUGUUCAGUGAAUCUCUUGCACUAUUUAUCCAAGCAGCACCCCUCUGAACAGGCAACACAGAUUGAUGUAACACCCUCAGGAAUAUGUAACAAAACAAAACUUCGUUAACUCUGCACAUAAGGCACCUCUAUGGCUCUAUAUGAGUUGCUUUAUUGAAUAUGUAUACAUCAGGUGUUAAAUUUGAUAUUUCAAAUUAUGGAACCAUUGAAGUUGUCCUCUAAGUCAGUCCCCACAGGCUGGUACUGGCAGUCCUCUAGCACACAGCAAUCCAAAACAGAGUUAUAUUCAACAUAAUGCUGAACGGCACCAUGGCUGUAAGGAGCUAUUCAUUUUACUCAGAAAGUAAUCAAUAAAAUCGAGCGUCUGAUGAAAACUGAAUUGCAUUGUAUGAGAGGCAACUUAUUUUUGCAAUUUUGCCUCAAAAGUAAACAAAUAUCAAAAUAAAGAAAAAUCUUAAUCCAAUAGCCACCUUGCUCAUCCAUUCAUUUCACAAGUGUUUUCUGAAUUCUUUGAACACUCUAUUGAUCUCAUUGUAAAUAGGCUUCAUUGUACCAUUGAGCCCUCUUUGUGGUAAAAAAAAAAAAGGUAUUUUUCCAGAGGCUUUCUUCUCGCUAAACUUACUAACUGAGCCCUCCUCCUCUCCUCACACUCUUCAAAGGCCUUUUGGUGGCUAUGAAGGGGAUGAGCACUGAUUGCCGAGUUCAUUAUUUUGAGAGAAAAUCAUAUCUAAGCGCACGGUUCAUGAAUACGACACUGUUUAAUAUCAGACUUAAAAUACCUGUUUUGCAAACCUACCUCCCCUUCCAUCUCCUCAUUUUCCUUCCUCUCUCUAACCUUCCUCCUGGCGUAUCCUCGCCAUAAUUAUUCAUUCAUUCAGCUUUCUCUUUGCAUGCACAUUGGCUAAGAGGUGCUGUAAUCAUUUUUUUGAUGGAAGGCAUUUUUCUCUGUAAUCCAACAGAGCGUAUGCCAGGUCUCACUCUGGGUCUUUUCAUAUGGAGGCAGAAGAGGCUGUGCCUCUGGAGGCUUAGCAUUCUUAAUCUGAAUAGCUUUUUUGCAUUUCCUGCAGUCACUGUCAACACAGUGUGCCCUCUUAACAAAAUGCCACACAAAGCUGACAGUGUUUGAACCACAUCCCAAAGCUUCUCUUUAGCCCAAAAGCUAAUGCCCUGAGUAAUCUUUCUAAAGCAUAAAGAUGAUACUAUAAUAUACCAUUAAUAACUGACUUUUUCUUGUGUUGUUAAGUAAUGAUUCACUGAACAAGCUGAGAGUUUACAGUAAAGCCAGCUUGUCUGUUUGGCUGGCUCAUGGCUGCUUUAAUGCAAAUGCUAAUUUUGAUAUGCUAAUACGCUAAAAAAAAAAAAAAAAAGACAGUGUUAACACAGGGGCAUGUAGACGUUGUAAUAUUUUUGGUUCUUCUUCUUUUGGAGGAAGAAACCCUCAGUUUUACAGACUAUGCAGCAGAUUUCUUCAGCACAGUUUAACAUAUCAGAAAGUGGUUUGUGUGCAAAAUUCCCCCCUCCAACAAUAUGUGUUAAAGGCAUGGUUGACGAUUGGAGAGAUUGGUAAUUAUAAUGAACGAUGUUUAUAUGGCGAUCAUGGUCCUAUAGUGCGAACACCGCAAAGUGAAGAGAAAAAAGGAUGGAAAAAAAUCUGUUCAUCCUUGCAGGUGCAGGGCUGCAAAAACAUUGACCAAUGGGAGCCAUCCGUCCUGGAUACAAUUUUAUUUUGGAGGAUCGUAAGGGAAGGUCCUGCCCUCCUUUGCCUCUGAUUGGCUAUAAGUGCUGAGCUCUGAUUGGUUAUUCCUUAUGACUGCGAAACGUCAUCGUUUGUCAGGUUAGGGUUAGGAGAUUCAGAAGUGCGAUAAUGUUCUGUGAUGUCCUGUCCUAUGUACAGAGCUGACAGCCUGCAUUUGGCUUGAGCGUGUGAUAAAGUUUUAACCUUUUCUAGCCAAUCAGUGGCGAAGGAGGCGGGACUUUCCCCUACCAUCCUACAAAAAAAAAAAAAAAAAAAAUCGUGUCCCGGACAGCUCCUAUUGGUUAAUCUCCUGCUCUGCCUCUCCAUCCAAUCACCUCGCUAUAUUUGACACACCCCUCUCCCGGCCCUCCUCGGCGCUCUGAGCGGCUAAAAGUAGCGUAGCAGCUGAGCGACAGAAGCUGUGAUGGAGAAGGACGCAAAAAUACACUUCUGCUUGUCCCACUGCCAAAGUGGAAGAAGAGCAAGCCGACAGAAAAAAGGACAGGGUCGAAGAGGAUAUGUGACUAAGCGAGGAAUCUAACUCAGUCAUCCUUUGAGCGGUGGAGAAAGCUCUGCCAGGACUUUGCCUAAAAACAGACGCCGAGACAACUGAGUUUUUGCUGAACAGGUCAUUUUUGCCUUUUAUCGUGGCACAUGUUGCAUAAAUUACUCUUAUUAGUCUCUGCAAUGUCAACACGGUAGCUGUCCUGGCAGCUGUAGACGGUGCUCGCUAGCAGUGCUAGUGUUUACUGCCGCUAGUCACUAGCAAUCCGACAUGGUAAAUCCUAUUUGAAGCUAGCGUAGGGUCUUCUGUCGGCCGGCGUCUUGCUCUGUCAGAGGGGGUGUGUCAUGGAGGGCGAUACAGGUUCGGGGUGGAGUUAUUAUGGAGCACAAAGGGGAGUGGUUUGUGUGUGUGUGUGUGUGUGGGGGGGACGCUUUUCAACUGCUUCUCAGAUCGUCAACCAUGCCUUUAAUUCCUGUUAACUUCCACAAGUCUCCUAAAGUCUGGAGUUGCACAGGUCUGCAUGAGUCUGGUUUGAUAUGUUUGUUUUGGCGACUUUUGACAGGUUAUCUAUCCAUCUGGAAAAACCUGGUCAAAGAUGAAGAUAUUUUUAUAUUUUUGGAAAAAGCAGAGCCAGAGUUGACUUGCUGUCUUUUUGGAGUGAUGGUUUGAAAUGGAGGCGCCCCAGUACAGUCUUUACCUCUCUCUUUCUGAACCACACACUGCACUUUAAAAAAGCCGAUUCACAGAGAAAUCUUUUGAAAUCUGUCAGGUUGAUUGCAUUUUACUCUUCUCUUUGCCUUUUCUUUGUCUUUCUUCACCUGAUGACUGUUGUUUCAUAAACCAAACACACUGUUUGCUCAAACCCUCCGGGCUGCAGUUUCUGAAGGAAAACACACAUAAAGAAUAAACAGAGCUCCAUGUUGUUUAUUACAGUCUAUAAAUUGGAGACUGUCAUUACUGGUCGGCAUGCAUGACGGUGGAAUCAUUAAUAUUGCUUUCCUGCCAUGUUCUUAUUUGCAAGAGGAUGAGACAGCAGCGAAGAUAAUGCAAGCAGGUGUUUGUUUUUUGCUUUUAAAUGGAAAAAAGGAGCUGGUACAAUAUUAAUGAUGUCUCCAACUGUCAGAAAUGUCUCAUGCUUUUUCUUACCUUUCAGCAAAGCGUGGAUAGCUACUAUUAGUCUGUGCUGUUGGUGCUGCAGCUCUACACUCAGCUCUCCAGGCUCUACCUGCCUGCUCCUGCUGCUGCCACACAUCACUUCAGGAAUCUGAUGAACUGUACCAACCUCAGAUUAACCUCCAACCCCAUCUUUCUCUUUCUUCAAUCCCAGACCAUCACUGGGGGUGAGUCAUGCACUCUCACGCUUGGCACAUAGGAACUAGCGCUUACACACACACAUACCCAGACACACACACACACGCACGCACACACGGUGAAGUGAAGUUGCUCAUUGACAGGGUUAUAGAGAGGUUUCAAAUCCACCUGCCCUCCACUGUCAGGCUGGCCCGGCUAUGUCUGGAGUUUAAUGGACUCGGGCAGUGUCAGCUUUUGGAGCAGCCGACGGAUAUUUCUGGAAAUUCAAGUCAAAGCACUCCAAAUUCUCAGCCACAGAAAAAAAUAAUUUGAAACUUCUUCUCCUUGAAACUAUUCACUGUUAUGGAAAAUAAUAAGAGGCUUUCAAAUAACAUUAUUCAGCUUCGGAGUCAUUUUUUUAAUUAAAGAAAGCAAAACCGUCAAAACUGCCUCUCUGCGUAUCUGAAUGACCGUUCUGUCACAGUUAGAAACAAGAAAACAAUUACACAAAGAGAGAAAGUUUAGAUGUGGAAACCAGGUCUAACUGGGUAAUAGUAGAUAUUUUAUAACUAAUAGUAUCACUGCCAACAUUUCCUGUAGGAGUAAAGAUCAGUGAAGAAUCAGUGCCGGCAGAAACGCACUCUGAGGUCUGUGUGUUAGCGGAGAUCAUUAACGCUUUACCCCGAGGGAUCAACAAAAUAUCACAUUUUCACGAUUACAUGCACAGCAAUCAGACUAAUGUAUUCACCAUAUGUGCCUACAUAUGUUUAAAGAAGACAGUAUAAGUUUCUGCUGGGUUGGACUGAACCGUCUUCAUGUCAUUUAAUGCAGCUGUGUUGGUGAGAACGCUGAGCUGACUAACAGGAGACACGCUGCCACAUUUUGGCACCUCACUAAAGCUUUCAGCAGCCAUUAACGUCCAGGUUUUCUAUUUUUAGACCACACGUCAGUGAUCUGGAGUUGUUUAUCUCAAAAACGCAUGACGUAUAAAAGAAAAAUGUUGAAGUUGUUGCAUGCCAAUUUUGAAGCACUUUAGCACAAUUGGAUUAUCAAGUCAAGACCUUUGCUUCAUUUGAUCUUAUUCAUCCAGAGAUAUGCGCACACACACUCUCGCACACAAACACACACUAAAGCUAAAAGGCUUUGGUAUUUUCAGGUGAUACACUUGUACAGAUGUUGCACAGUAGUAGCAUACACACACGGUUGGUAUAAAGGUAAACCCCAGCUUAAGGCUGCUAUACUUGUACAAUAGUUCAGCGAAAUAAUCCCAAAAUUCAAUGUCAGUUUAUGUUCAAACUGUUUUAAGGGGUGUUGCUUCAUUUCGGUUUUAGUUUGAUAUCGUGAAGAAGUGUUACUGUCAAGCUUUCUUUACAUUAAGUCCUGAUAUCCUCUAGUAAAGCCUUUCCCCAGCACAGUGGGAGAUUGUCAGUACUCUGACUUUUGAUAUGCAGGGCAAUACCUUAAAAUCUGGACUGUAAAUCCAGCGGGAAAGUCUGUGUGUGAGGGGCUUCCAGAGAGAAAAAGGCAUUAAUGGUAGACAUCGCAAACACUUCAUGUCAUAAUAUCAUAGCAUAUGCAUGUGUGUUUGACAGAUGUGGAUGAUUGAAUGAUUAAUUUUGCAUGUGAAGCUCAAACUACGGAAGAAGGAAAGAUCACGCAGACGUGUUUGACGAUUUCACUCAGACUCCACGAAUAAUUGAUUUGAAGCAGAUUUGUUGAGAUCGCUCUUUUGCACACACAAGUACCAAAGCACUGUGAAUUGCUUUAAUGAAUAAGAAAGUGUAACCAUUUGUGAAACUUCCUUCAUAAAAAAUGCUUUGACCUUCAAGAAUUUAGCCUAACAAAUAAGAAAAACUGCACACACUUAGGGAUCAAGCAUGCAUUGUGCGUCUUUAAACUAGGGUGACCAUACAGCCUCUUUUACCCGGACAUGUCCUCUCUUUUUGGGGCUGUCCGGCCUGUCCAGCCUUGUCUGGGGAGUUUUUAAAAUCAUUCAAAUGUCCGGGGUUUUGAGUUUGUGUCGUGUGGACUUACUGAGUUAGAAGCGCGUAAAAAACACUUGACCUGAUCCGAAAAACUCCCAAAAUUUACUAUGCCUGACUCUGACUCUGCAUAGUCAUGUCCUCUUUUUCGGGAAGUCAGAAUAUGGUCACCCUAUUUAAACACCAUCUUUGGUCUUACUACAACAUGGUUCAAUACCUCUCUCUGCACUGUAGGACACAGCACCUAUUUUGGAUGACAGAAAAGGUAUCAAACGUGCGUCUAAUACACUUAGUUUGACAUAAUUUCUCGUAUCUAAACCACUGUGUUUUUUUUCCUUUAAUACACAUGAUAGUUAUGUGGACAGGAUGGUUAAGAGUCAAACUCCCAGCCUGGACUAUUUGCUCAGUCUGCCCCUGGUGUAAAUGAUUGUGCUUAAUAAUGUGCGAACAAUGAGAAGAGUCUGUCUGAUUUUUUCUCAUAAAUAUUCUCUUUAUCCACUUUAUUUUCCACUCUCACCUUUGCUGGUUUUCAUCUGAACCCGAUCUCAGCGUCUUUGUAGAAGUUCAGUAGUUACAAGCUGACACCUCUGCCAGAGGAAUAAUGGGAUAGACACUUAUUUUCAGCCUGAAGAACAGCCACCUCCACAGAUGAGUAGAUAACCUUCAAACAACAAAGGUGAUUCUCAAUAGUUGAAAAUUCAAAGCUCUGUGCUGACUGUUAGCUUUCACACACAUGAGGCAGGUAUUUCCAGGCAGAGAGUAAUUCCUGUGGUUUGAAUUGUACUUGUUUCCCACUGAAAAGAUAAACGCUAAAAAUAUUCAUCAAAGACAUGGAGCGGAGGUUUAACAUGUUAAACGCAUGUACCAUACAGAACCUUCUUAUUGUCUCCAUGGCGACAUCAGGAGAGAGACUAUGGAUGAACAAUGGUCUGCUCAUCCUCUCACACACAAUUAUCUCAUACACAGUCGCAUCUUAAGUAGAUAUUAACCUGUCUCCAAGCAUUUCAUUACAUUUUGUAUUGUGAGCUUAGAAACUCAACCACACUCGACUUGAUGCUUUUAUCUACUUGCUCUAUUUUCAUUUGUUUUCCAAGGGGACAGAUACUGUAUACAAAAUGGUAAUGUCCUAUUUAAUCCACAAAGAUUAAACCAUUUGCAAACAAAUCCAGGGCAUGUUCAAAGAACUGCUCUUACAAGAACCCCUGUGGGAUAAAACAGAUGUAAGAUCAGAAGUAGGUCCGCGCAUGAUAACAUUAUCAAUCUUCUGUUUAACAAAUGAAAAUGAUUUUUUUAUUGAAGAGGAUGAAUACUAAUUAACAUCCUAUCCAUACAUGACAGUUCUUACAUGGGGUAAAUGUAUUGUCAUUGUACGUUUCAGAACGAAAGACCUCAUUUCAAGAAUAUUUGUAUUUUAAUUUUGAUGAUUACAGAAAAUGUAAGACUUGAUGUUUCACAAUAUUAGAAUCAUUUAUUUUAAGUUUGAAGAAAAUACUGCUCAGUAAAAUACCAUUAAGUCAGUACUAAACCAUGGACGAAAUCAGAGGCAUCACACCAAGGCUAAGGAUUAAAGAACCGGACUGAUGCUCAGUGGUCCAAAGUCCUCUUUUCAUAUGAAAGUGAAAAGAAAUCAAGGUCCGACAGUCAGGACGAAGCGUGAAGAGGCACAAAAUCAAGGGUUUUUGAAGUCGAGUGUGUAGUUUCCAUUCGGGAGUCAUCUGCUGGUGUGUUUUAUCGAGCCCUGAGUGGACUCAACCUUCGAAUCUUUUAGUUUGACAAGAUUAAUGACUGCUGUUUUACUUUCAAGCAGGACUUAUCACCUGUCUGCAGUGUCAAAACUACCACCAAAUGGUUUUUUUGACUGUUAUAUUACUGUGUUUAUUUGGCCAGCCAAUAAGGUCUUGGUGUGAACCCAAGGAGGAACCUGUGGGAUAUUUGUCAAGAGUGGGAUGAGAAACAACCCACUCAAACAAAACGGACAUGCUGGAAGCUGCUAUCUGAGCAACCUGGCCUAGUACUGAAGCAGGGCCACAAAAUGGUCAAAAACUGAUGGACUCUGUACAUAGCAGCCUCUGGUAUCAGUGAGUGAAUGUGACAUGUGAGCUUUGAGCAGUCAGAGGACAUGAGGCAGAGAGAUAAAAACACAGCCCAUUUACCAUUUUACGUGUAACCAUACAAGGAUACAUGAAAGUUUAUUUUUCCAAGUGACAAAAAUAAUAAUUACCAUAUUCUCAUUGAUAAAGGUGCAGAUCAUGACCAUCCUUUUGUGUACAUCAUCAGGUACGAGUUGAGCUCAAACCCAAAUAAACAGAUCUAAAAACACAAAUAGGUCUUUAAAUCCUCCGCCUCAGAGCAGGGAUGCACAGUCACUUCCUGCCUUGAAGAAUUAAAAAAAUUAACCCCUUCUAUUGUGUGCUCAGAAACCUGUAUUUAAAACGCUCAUUAUUUUAGUUUGUUUUGUUUGUAGGUCUUGUAGGGAAGCGUUCAUAACAUUACUGUUCAUGUACUUUCUUCCACCCCUGAAUUUGAACCAUUUCCUUGAGCUACAUUCAAACACUUAUGUUCAUAUAGCCAAAGGAAGCAUGUAGUUUAUGAAUGCAUAAUGUCAUGAAGACAUUUACUGGUUUAUGUGAUUCUGUUUCCAUAUCUGCUAAGCCAGGCACUAUAAAAGAAAUAAGACUCGAGUGAAAUAAACCAUGGUAACCAAAGUCUCAUUCGUGUUGAACUCUGCAGUAUCUUAACAGCCUUUAUCUAAGCCUUACAGAAGGAAACAACCUCUGUAUGUCGUAUAAUUAACCCUUGACUGAAAAGCCUCUGUGUGGAGUUUUUCAGCAUUUAGGAAACAGGUUGAAAUGAACAGUAACCUCUGUGUGACCUGAGUAGGCAGAGAAGACCACUAGUGGCAAGAUUAGUCAUUCUUAUGUUGUAAUUUUAAUUGGAAGAAAGGGAUAAUUCUCUUCUUUUAACAGAAAGAAAAAGUAAGUCUCUAACCCACUCCUGUGUUUAGUUACUGCCUGCUCAAUGCAGCGUGGUCAUAUCGUCUUUGCCGAGCUGGAAAAAGAAACCACAUUUUUACUAAGGAAAGACUUUCAAGCAGAACUCUGAUCAUCGAUUUAAUUUCACUCCAAACUACGUUACCGGUGGCAUCAAGGUCCUCUCGAGAUCUGAUCGUGAUAGGUCACUUUGUGACGGCUGGGAGUCAUAUUGGCUCUUGAGAACCUGAUGCCUGAUGACUGCUCGCAUCCUCCUCGCUGGUGCUGUCGCUGAAUUCCGCCUCAGUCUCACUCCCCAGUACCAGCACUGGCAGAACAACUACACGCCGGAAAAUAGUUUCUGUGAUUGUCUGCUGACCAUGUGAAGGUCCUGUACCGGGAUCUCCAGUGGAUCCAGAGACGGUAGCACAGCACCCACGGGAGCUGAUGUGCCGAGACCGUUAGCUCUUGGCUAAUGACUUUGGAAUUUUCCUACUCCACAACUAGGCUAAUGGGCUAAUUGUCACAUGGUUUUGACGUAUUUGUCGGCUUUUCUGCGUUCAGAACGGCCCCAAACUUGGUCACAUGUUGGGGAGGAGCGCCCUCUGGCAAAGAAAAAAAAAACUGUCCAAAUCUGUCAUUGGCACUGAAUGACUUAAAGAAGCAGAUAUUUUCAGAGAGUUAUGAUAUUUCUGAUUACAAAUUCCAACAAUAGGAUGAAAACCAGCACAAAUCUGAGAGGGGGAGUCCGGUAGGGGAACCAAAAUCAAGCUAAACAGACGGAUCCUCCAAGGAGCAGCUGGUCACUGAAAAAAAACGAGCCUAUCCUCAGAUGUAAACCGUCUGUGUGGAUGGCAAAUCAUCACAUUCAAUGCAUAUACAAACUCUGCUUGUACAGCUAACCUAAGUUGAGCUUCAUGUAGGGUGUAGAGGCUUUGUCUUCAGUGCCAAGGCUCCAUGAGGCUCACUCUUCUGAACCCUCUAAAUGCUUCCCCCAACAGCUUUGUAUUCUGUGUCGAUCGGCUCAAAUUACGGGCAAUGAUUGUUUACCACUUGUGUUGAAAGCCCUCCCACAGCAAAACAUGCUCUGACCUGAUUUCACACCCUGUCACUGUGAGGGAGCCCAGACAGCCCAGCAUGCGUGUGUGUUCAAGUUAUAGUGUUGUUAAUAUUCAGUCAUAUUUUGAGUCAGUGUCUGAAUAAUACUGUAUGCUACUUAGUGUGUGUUUUUGUGUGUUUGGCGUCGGCAUCUUGGAAGGUGGCUGACAAUAAAGACUGCUAUGCCCCACAGUAGGAUUUGCGACAUGCAGAAAAUUCCUUUCAGUAGAAGAAGAGUUUCUCCUCAAACUUCCUCUUCUUGCCACUCUCUGUGGGAGGAUACUCAACAAAUCCACUUUAAGCUUUGCAUCCGCCUUCACAGUCAAAAAAACAAAAAGUGCACAUGAUUGAACCUAAUGUAUUUGUGCACUCACUGCUUUACAGUAGGAGUAUAAAAUGAAGAAGAAAAUAAGCAUUUCACAUAAAAUGAAAGAGAGGUCAGAGGUGUUUUGAAUUAUUUAGAUGCUCUGCCAAUAAAUCUGUGUGGGGUAAAUCAACAUCACUUAAAGUGAUGCAUUCGAGAUCUUUAAAGGCUCUUGUGUAAGCUGAGUGAACAUAUAAGAGUUAAGUGUAAAUGUCAUGGUUACAUGAGUACAUCCUGUUUACCUCCUGUCCAUUUCAUUAGAGACAUGAGUGGAUCCCCUGAUGGUUUUCAAAGGUGUCCAUGUGCCUUAUCUGUAAAAUGAAGCAGCUUGUCACAGAUUGGCGACAGUGAAAUAGAAACAGGAUGCUGUCUAAUCAUAUUGCUUUCUGCCCUUGAACAUAAAAGGCGGUUUUAUAGCUUGAGCUCAUUAAACAGUUGUUGCACAUGAAGACGAGUAUGUUUUCUAAGGUGACAUACAGCAGAGAUGCAAACUUGUGUGUAAAUUAAAUCAGUGGUUUGUGUUUUAUUUGGGUUUGUUUACUCUGCUGCAAUAUGCUGUCUUCACACAAAAACAUGGUUUGGUUUAAAUGUGCAGCAGUUUUAGGAUGCUUAUCUUCUGGGCCAGUUGGUGUUGGAAAACAAGCCUAUGAUCUGUAGGACAGAAGUGAAAUAAAAUCCCAAGAGAUCCGUGCAACUAAGGCCAAACAGCAAAUCUGGAGUUGGUUUUGAUGCACUGCACGGUCUGAAGAGACUUCAGUCAUCAGCUUGUCCACAAAAAGCUCUUCCAAGUCACAAUUGCACUGUGGUUAAUUGGUAACAUCUCCUUGGCAUCGGUCAAAGGCAUCCUGUGCUUUUUGUGAUCUGCACACACGGCUUUACUCCUGCCUUUGAUUGAGUUCUGGCAGUUUUACAUUCUGCCAGAAUGAAGUAGUCUAUGCUGGAACCGCACAAGUCCUCCUUUUUGAGCACAUUGUACAGCAUGAGUUUAAUUUGAGGGGAUCUGGGAACACACAGCUCCUCUGUUUGGCCUUCUUGAACAACUAAAUGUGUGAAAUUUAUGCAGGAAUGAAUUAUAUAAUGCUUUUCCUCACAUGAUUUCCUCCCACGCUUUUUAGUUAAUUUCUUUUAUGUUUUUGCUUAAAAUGACGCCCUCUUUAAGAGCCAGGGCUGUUUUGGAGCCUUUGGCAUGAUGUGGUUUGGUUCAACUUAAACUCAGGGUUUCUAUGCAAGUAUGGAAAUUAUGGAAAUGUAUGGAAGUAAUUUGAUAAUUUUUCAGAUCUUAAAAAGCAUGGGAAAUAAAAAAUAAAGUAUGGAAAAAUAUUUAGGUUUCAAGACUAUUACUACAGUAAAAAAAAGUUUUCUGAAAUAGAAAUGUAGUUAUUUGUAACUAGGAACUUCGUAAACUCCAUCUUUAAUCGCUCUCACAGUUGCCAAAGAAACAUCCUCUCUUACCCCAAGUUGUGCUAUUUUUUUUUAAACUUAGGACUAUCACACAGUGGCCAUCAGAGAAUUUGAUCUACAACAGCCCAUGCAAUCUUCCUCAGGAAGAAGAGCCACAGGUUCAAAAACAAUUUAAUAUAAGGACAAACUACGGUUUUAUAGAUCAGUAAAGGAAUUGAGGAAAUAACCACAUAUGCAGCCAGAUGAAGAAUUAAACAAAUGAGCGGUGACAUUUGAAAAUGCAAAAACAAAGGAACAGACCGUGUUUGAAAAGAAAGGAAAACAUACAUUUCAGUGGAUUUCAUUUGAAGUGUUGGAGAAUAAAGGGAAUUUUGAAGCUAUAAGUGUAUGAAUAUGCAUCAAUGGAUGCAGUAAUUGUAUUGUACUUGUUAUCCAACCGUUAAGUGAGUAGUGCGUCAGUAAGUCACACACGUAACUCCUUUAAUUAAUGACACUUGGACGGCGUACAUGAAUAGCAUGUACAUGUUAUUGUUAGAGAUAAAAUAAUGUAUGUUCAUGCAUGUGAAAUAACACAGGCUCUGUGGGUGUGAAGUGGAUGUCCAACACGUGUUUACUGUUCUGUUUAGUCACAUAAAUGUUGAUUUAAAUCCCAGACCUCUUUUUGUUCUAGUCCUUGUUAAAUUCCUCUCAAUAAUCAGGUAAUGUCAUCAACAAUAAUGAUCACUGAUCUUUUAGCUCAGCCGCAACACUAUUAGAUAAACACCGUAGUAAAAUGCCCACUGAUGGAGGUGCUUUAAUAAGCUGACUGCUUUGUUUUGGUAAUACGAGUAUUGCCAUAAAAAGCUCCAUAUUUGUCUGUAAAUAGGCACACAGAGGAAAGCUGCCCUAUGACUUUUGUGUUUCAGACACUUACUGCUAAUAAUUUAUGCUCAUUACAGAUGGCACAAUAGUGGGACAUAUAAAGAGCCAAUCUUUAUUCAUUCAAAUACAGGUCACUAGAUGUCUUUCUUCUGUAAAUUCUAAAUUGCCUCUCUUUCUCCGUCCGCCUCUCUCAGUCCCUUUUCCUCCACCCACCAUCUCUCGGCGUUUGAGAAAGUCGACUGAAUUUAAAUGGGAUAAAUCAUAAAUCUGAUUAACUGAAUAUUCUCUGUGAUCUGGAGGGCAAUAUGAAAGAAAGGUGAUGAAUUGAGAAUGAUGAGGAGACUUCUUUCAUUUUUUUUUUUUUUGACUCCGUCUGUCUUCCCAUCCACCCCCCGUCAGGAGUUUAGCUGAAUAAUUUACCAGUAGGGCAAUAAUGUGAGGUACUUCAUUAGAUGGAAAAGCUCUCCAGUGUCAAUGGAGAUGUCUCCUAAUUGAGAAGCCUUUGAUGAAUCCUGAUCAGGACCAUGACAGUCCUAACAGUCUCUAGACGUAUUACAGUAACCUGUAAUUUUGAACAGUUGCCACAGAGGUUUGACACUGCUUCACAAACACUCAUUAACCUACUAUUAACAGUUGUUAACAGUGGACUGGAUUACACCUCCGGUUUAAAAGAGUUUGUUGCUCCAGAUUAAAAGAAAUAGCACAGAAGGGAGAAAUCAGGGGAAGCUUUUAAAACCAUUUUUUACUCAGAAUGGAUGACAGCAGACGUUUUUGAUCCUUGGAGGGACUAAAAAGCCAACAAAGUAUAAAGCACACUGUCUCGUGUUGAUAAAGGUCAGCGUUGUAAACAGAAUUCAAACCUUGACCGUGGACUUUUUGGCGUCUGACACCUCUGACACCACCUGUGCCUCAGUGGGAUUCUUACAUUCACCUGCACUGCCUCUGCACUGCCUCACCACUUUACCUCAAAGAAAAUAAAGGCCUCAUAUUUAAUCGCAGCAAUCUUUUUUACAUUAGCCUGAAGAUGCAUUUCAUUACAGGUUGUAAGGUCAGCAGGCAACAUUGACUUCGAAGCCUGAAGACUUCACAUUAUUCAGUCUUACGCCAUUAGCUGCAAAGGUUAUUAGCUCAGAGUUUUAGAGCUGUAUCAGGAGUUUGAGAUUAAUGAAAAGGAAUGGCAUCAAGUUAUUACUUGGAAUGGGUUCUUUGCCUGCUCUCUGGCCCAUAAUGUUAUAGGACAAGCCUUAAAGACUUUAUAGAAACACAAAAGACUUUACUGGCUGACAAAUAGUUGUAUGUUCCAUUACAGUGGAGCUUCACAUACUUUUAUUAUGUCCUGUAGAAGUCAGUCAGGCUGUUUAAAAUGUUUUUUUGGCUAUGAAAACAUCCAUUAACCACAAAAUGCAGAGUGUUGUCGCAAACUUAGAGCUCUUUUAGAUGCACUUACGAAGCUGUAAUGGAGUAACAAUGGAAGACUGAUAAGUAGAUCAAGUCAUUUAAAAAGGAGAUUAAAACUAUGAUUUCAUAAAUGGUAACAGAAAAGUAAUAGAUCACAUAUGUCAGAGUCAAGGCCCGCGGGCCACAUCCGGCCCGCGAGAAGGUUUUUUACGGCCCCUGGGAUGAUCUUGAUUUAUUAUUAGAACCGGCCCGCAGACCGCAGCAAGCUGGCAGCCCGCAGAUCUUUUACACGCACCAAUACUACAUUUCCCACAAUGCAACGGUGACGCACCGAGCAGUAGGCUGCUUCAUUUCAAUAUUUAUUAGCACAGCAGUCGUCAGCAUAACAGUAAAAUUAACUUUAAGAUACCCAUCAAAAAUGGCAAAACGGAAGGUGGACACUGAGAACCGGGGGUUUCAAACAAGGUGGGAGUCGGAGUAUAUGUUCACGGAGGUAGCUGGAAAACCUGUGUGUCUUCUGUGUGGAGAAAGUGUGGCGGUACUGAAAGAGUAUAAUCUGAGACCACAUUAUGAAACGAAACACGCGGAUUUUUGCACUUUAUUUUAUUGUAUUUCAAUCCAAUUAUAUUUUAAAAAUAUUUCAGUUGAGUGGAUGAUCGAAAAUUGCUAUUAAUUUUUUUUUCUUUUAAGUAAAUUUAGCCCACUUUUGCUAAAAUAGAAAAUAUAGGCUACUGAUGGUGCCUUGAAUAAUACGGGUUUCUUUCAUUUAAUGUUCAUGUUAUGGGGAUUUUUAUAUAAAGGAAAUUUGUCUUUUGUGUCUGUUGAAAAUUAAAGAUUACUGACAGAGCCAUAAGAAAAUAUUGCUUUAUUUAUCUGAUCAUAUUGGAAUAUAUUUGUUAGGUUUUCAGUAGGUUCAAUUAGGUUAACUAGACUAUAUGCGUCAUUUAAAAAAUUUUCAAUGAACAUUCGAUCAGUCCAGCCCUCGGCUUGUAGCUAAAUUUUUUAUUUGGCCCUUCGUCCAUUUGACUUUGACACCCCUGUAAUAGAUGAUGGUUGAAAUUCAAAUUACAGAGAAGAAAAUCCCAUAAUAAGGUUGUGGAUAUUUUUGACUGACCAAAAAUUGACAAAAAAAAAUUUAGAAGGUUGAAAUAUUUUUAUAAUUAAAAGACCUAAAAAGAGCAAGGUGGUUUUAAACGCACAAAGCAAACCAGACCCAACAGACCAAAUCACAGGCAGCUCAGUUAUGUAAAGAAAGGCAUACAUGCUUAUUAAUUUUAUUAAUUUUAAUUUAAAAUCAACUCAAACUGGAUCAUUUGUGACAUGAUAGAUGGUGUUUAUGAAGAGCAGUGCUGUUAGGAAAAAGAGGAAGAAAAAAGCUGGACACAUUUAAAUGAACGCAUAAAGAGUCUUUCUCUAAAGUAGCAGAUUAUACCUUUUUGUUGUCAUUACAGGGUCUUUAAUUGUGUUAUUUCUCAUGGUCACUCUUUUGCAGGUGCAUGAAUUAGAUCUUGCAUAACUUCAUGUGUUACAACAUGAUACAACACAAUAUGAUAUAGAAUGAUGGCAUCCAAUGCAUGAAAGUACAAUAUGAUUCAAUACAUGUUGACACAAUACAAUGCACCAUGAUGCACUGCAAUAUAAUAUGCAGUGUUAUACAAUACUGUUCCAUACAUAAUAGUGCACUGUGAACCAAUAUCAUGCUAUACAAUAAACUUAAUACACAUCAUGUUCCUUACAGAAAAUUGGUCUUGCACAAAAAGUUCAGCACAAAUUUUACAGCAUCUUGGCAUUAUACAUAUUUAAAAACAAUGAACAUGUUAACCCAGAGGAAUAGAUCAAUAACCAGCACUAACAGCAUACUUUCACCAAACAUCUCCCACAUACAGCAGGGAGGCGUUAGAAUUAUUCUACAUUUUCAAACAAGCAAAAAAAAGUGAACAAAUAUAAUACAUUUGGAUCUUUAACAUUAACUCUUCACAUUUGACCCCUUAAACUGAGUCUUUUGAUAAAAAAACAGAAACUGUAACAUCCAUUUUUAUCUAACCUUGGUGACCUUCUCGGCAAGAAACAUUAGAUGUAGCCCUCACUUUGCAAGCAUACAGAGUGCGGAGCAUUUUAUCAUGCUGCAGACGCUGCAGAGGAGAGGCCAUUGAUCUGUGAAACCACAGUGUCAAACCUCUGCUCUGUGAACGGUGUGUCGACUGCAAGGCUGCAUGUAAAUUGAACCUUUUUGGUCCUAAAGGUUUAAAUACUGCAUUUAGAAAAUGUAACUUUUUACUACCUCCUUAUAUUCUGCACUCCAUGCAAAAUGGUAAGGUUAUAUGGACUGUAAACCUGAGGGUGUAAGGCUUAAGUAUUGUUAUCAGCCAGUCACACUUCUCAUCCCAUCCCUAUUAAAAAGCUGUACCAGUCAGUGGCGCAUGAAGAUAAUGUAAUAAAAGCUCAUCUCAGAGUCAAGCCUAAAAAAGCUCUCAACUAGGCUCUGUCAUUUAUCUUGGCAUGAGAUGAUGUAUGGGGUCUUAGGGUCUGUUACUGUGCAUACUUGGCAUUUGUCAAGUGGUUUCAAGGUCAGCGUGCUGACAGGGUUGCUUGUCUCAUGUCCUGUCUCUGAUUGUCAUAGGCAGGAUUUUAAUAUGGAGAUCAUCCAGCUUGGCUCCUCACUGGAGUUCUUUUACAGCGCCUUGAUAUUCUGGUCAGCCUGCAGUUUUUAAAGUGCAGCUUUCUCUGUCAAAAAGAAAAGCCCGGCUUUUAUUUUAACCUUAUGCAGCUUCACCUUUCAAGUUACAUUGCUUAAUUUAUUAUUAGCACAUCCUUUGAAUUGCUUAUCAUGCAGUACUUGUGACAUUACCGAAUACAUUUUUUUUUUACUGACUGGUACUGUUCAGUGAUUUUUCCUGAAAAUGUUUCAAUGUAAGCUUUUUUCAUGUUGAACCUUGAUAUUAUAAAACUGUUUCCUAAAAAAAAAAACCAACAUAUUAAUGCAUGGUACAAAAUGGUGAGAGAAUGAGUCAAAAAAAAAUGAAAGAGACUGGCUAUAUUGACAGCAACGCCUGUAAAAGUGGUCAGUGGUAUUCCCCAGGAUGGUGGCCUUGGCUUAGUUCUAGUCAGUUAUCUCAACCUCAAAAACUGCCUUGAUGAUUGUACUAGCAGGGUGAAAGGCAUUAAAGUACCAUUGCAAUCAUUUUUUACUACUUAAAGUCUUCUCAGUGGUCUUUAAAUUGUGAUUAUUACGUUUUUAACCAAAUUCGCAUAACCUGUGUCAUUUUAAAUGGCUUUUCUUCUGCAGUGCUGUAGUAGGUGUAGUAGAAGUGAAAGGGAACAUAGGAGAUAUUCAGCUCUCUAACUCUUAUGUCUUGAUGAAAGUUAAUAUCAUAAUUAGCUUUAUUACAAGCAUUGUAAUCCGCUACCGCGCACACUUGUCCCACAAUCGUCCUCUCUACUUUUCAGGGUCUGGCCUGGAGAGCAGGGCGCUGGGGGCGGAGCAUAGAUUUGUGACGUAGAAAAUCUCACUGUAUCUGAACCUGCCGUUUGGGUCUGCCAGAGGCUCACAGAGAUUUGAAUGCAUUUAUACUCAGAAAUGCAAUUCUGCACUUACUUUCCUCAUGAUGUGUCCUCUAGCAUCGAAUAAAUGUAGAUAACGAGAAAAACAUGAUUUUCAUCAGAGCGGGUCUUGAACUAACACUGAUGGGUACUAUGCUGUACAUAGCGUUAGUAUAUGCAUGUGGUGUGAAGAGGUCAAAGUGCUUUAAAGAGUAAGGUUGUGAUGAUUGGAGAGCAGACACUUGAGCAGCACCCAAACCAGUGGCAUACCACUGAGGGAAUUUGCAAUCAUGCCCACCUACUUGUUGGAUUUUGGACAUUUAAAGUAAUAAAAACUCUUUAAAAGUCUUAUUACCUGUUACAGGUCUUAAUUUUAGACAUGUCUACAAACACUCAAUUAAAUGUACAGUCUCUCACAGUGACUUUAGGUAUACUUGUAUCUUGGGACCUUGUAAUGAACGGAGAAAAUUUAAGUUCAAAGUUCAGUUUUACAGUUAAAAUUAAACCUCAGAAAAAAAAGGCUAACUCGGGGGCUACUUGCAAGAUAAGCAAAAAUGCUUCAAAGCUUAGCAUAUGAAGCAUAUCUGCCUCACAGAAAUAGAAUUAAUGUUUCUCUGUUCAUGUUCUUAAAUGGUCUUUAAAAUUAUUUUAAAAUUUAAAGUAAACACAAUAGAAAACCCAAAACUCCAGCCCUGAACCCAUCAGAUAGUAGGAAGUAAAACUAGCAGAGCCACUGGUGGUUGAUCCAAAAUGUGACUCAGGGAUGAGUCUCACAUGUGGACCUGGGGCACCUGAGGAGUCAUUGGGGUUACUUCUCAGAAGGAUGUCUGCACUGCCUUGCAAUAUUGAGUUGUGAUAGUGUCCGGAAUUCUUGCGAUGUGAAUUAUAGAUUCUCUGAGGUACCUAAUAAUUACCAUCCAUCCCACUGUCCAUUUACUCCUCCAUACCAUCCAGUGCAUUUGAGAGAAAGAAACACAUAAGCUACACAUGCCCCCCUUCCCACAGCACACACAGCCUCCAGCCUCCAUAUCUUCUGCAGAUAUUGUGUUGCAGUGACCGGUGCAUUUAAGCCGCAAACCCCUCUAUUUCCCCAUCGCUCACUCUCACUAUCCCUCCAUCGCCAGCUGAGCGGGCGUCGGGAUGCUAUCACACCCCAGGCAAUCAGAGAUACAGUCAUAUGUCACAAAUAGGUGUCAACUCUUAUUACAGCAGGGAGGGGGAUGAAGGCAAGUGAAAACUCACUUAUCAGAAAGGACACCGCGGUGACAAAUGCUGUCCCUCCUUCUCACUUUCUCCAUUAGCCAGGCCUGUGCUAGAUAUGACCUUUUUUUCCUUCACAGGCCAGUGAUAUCUGACCAAUAAUACAAAUGUAUACCCCUUCCCUCACUCCCUGCACCCAUCCCAGUUGACUGAAUAGACCUGUAAACAGGAAGUGGAGUUGAUUCAAUGUUAUUUAAAGGUUUAGAAGUCAUCCUGCCAGCACAGGAAGGACAAACAGGUCAUCUUCUCUACUUUUAUGAAGUUUUCAUUUGUUGGAAAUAUGAUUUAUUUCUCAGCGUUGGAUUUGGCCAGGUUUAGAAAAGUUAUCGUUCAUAAUUUAUUGUGUUUACUAUCGCCUGGAGCUGGUUUCUGAAACAAAGUUUUUGGUUUUUGAUUGUUCAAGUUAUUUUUAAAUGGAAACGUUUUGUAAUUCAAUGUAGUGUUUAAGUUUGGAGGUGUAAAAAGUUAUGCAUGUGAAACUCCUCAUGGGAAAUAUUGCCCUUAAGAUCAGCCAAAGGGAUAUAACUGUGUUGCAGUUUUAUCAUUUAAAUUAAACCAAAAAGUGAUCCUUGUUGGCUGCUUAAAUUUCAGUAAAAAAAAAACGUGUUUAUUCCCUUUUAUUGAAUGAUAUUAAAUGACUGAAACUCUCAAGUAGCAAAUCUCCAUUCUUACAAAUCAAUGAAUUUUCCACCAGAUCUACACAAUGUGAUACAAUUGUAGAGGAUGAAAUCUUUACCCUUGUCUUUGUGCCAGAAAUACAGCCCCUUAUUUUACACAAAAGCACACUGGAGCUGAAGAAAAUACGGCAGGCACAGUACACAUCAUACAUGGUUUAUGGUACAUUGGCUCUGCUGAUCCGGGGCUGCAGUCUCUGUAGCCUGGGGAGACGCUAACGUUUGAUAAGGAACUCUGUAGUUGCUGCGAACAAGAGAAACUCAGCUGCACAGCACUUCCAGUCACAUCAUAUAAGGUUCCCAUUUUAAGAUCUUUGUUCUGGUCUAGCAGCAUAACCCCUGUAGAAACCAAUGUGGUUGGAUAAAGUGAAGAAAUGAAGAAGUGUGAUAAGGGAUAAAUGUUUUACACUGACACCACUGCAGAGGCAGCUUGCGACAAAAACUAUUCACAUUAGAUUAAAAUUCACCCUGGGUCAGAUAUCGGUGAAAAUGUAACUUUUUUGUAGGAUCUUUGAAUUGAUAGCUAUUUCACCAUAUUAAUAUUUGCCACCUUGCUCUACCAACAUUGGGGUUAGUUUGGGCUUAAAAAUGACUUAGACCUGUAUGUUGUAUGGCUUUCCUCAAAUCUCAGUUCGUCCACUUCUUCUUUUGGCCUUUUUGGAGUUUCAGAGCCAAAACCGACAGUUUGAGGUGGAUUUGAGAGUAUAGAGCAGCUCAGAAAUGGCAAUAAAAUCUAGAAAGCAUGUGCAUUAGACCUUUUUAUUAGCUAGCUAAUUAAAAAGUUUAUAACCGUGUUUGCCACAGAACCAGAUUUUGUUUGUUUUGGUCACUGGCCAGAGUUGAUUGGGCUAAAACUACAAGAGCUGGUAUAUGGCAGAAUUUCAGCUGGUUCUGGUGGAAGAGAGAGUGUCAGAUAAACACAGUGAACUUGUGCUUCUCAUCCCCACAGCCUGCAGUCUGCCCUGCAGGAUAAACUUAUCAACAUAAGUCCUUUUCACAAAUGUAUCCAUAAUAGUUUCUUUCAGGUUCUGAUAUUUUAAAGACGUUGCCAUCCACACAUACUUUUCACAGCAGGAGGUUUUCCAUGUGUGAAACCUCAAAAUACUCUGUUUAGUUAAGGUCCGGUGGCACAUCAGGAGAGGAGGAAAUGUAAUGCUGACUGUUUCUGACCACGAAAAGCACAAAGACGUUUCUACAGGACAAACACAACAACAGGAACAAAAAACUUACUGGAAAGUUGAAAUUGUAUCAAUAAUAAUAAUAAUAAAAAAACCCUCAAAGUCUGCUCAUUCUACCACACUCUCCCUCCUCAUGAGUAUUCCAGAUGCUUUGUUCAUACGUUGGUACUCCAGACAUUUUUCAAGGGGCAAACAGGAAAAGUCACAUGCAUGGAAAGUUACACAAAUGCAAUGCAAAUGUCACAGGGGCUUAAAAGAGAAACUAAACACUAACACACAAAGUGAGCAUGAAUAGUACUAUCAUCUAACUCACAGGAAGAGUUAAGGCUCAGGGUACUAUUGUAUAUCUCAGACAUGAACAAACCAAGGCCAUCUAUACCAAAGACAGAAGAAAAAAACUCCACUGAAAGUUAAGCUCAGUGACUUAGCUGAAGUGAACUAAAAAAAAAAAAACACCUCUGAUUCCACAAAACUUAGAGUAAUGAAGAAUAAUGAGCUUAUGAAAUGAACCCUCCCCAAUCUUGUUUUAGGGGAUGAGCUGGCGAGACCAAAACAUUUUUGUACCACACAGUAAAAGUGUUAAAGUAGGAUCAGGGACAACCUGAUCACACACAAGGUCAUAUGUGAAUAUGAGAUUUGUUUAUUUAUUUAUUUUGAAUGAGGAAUAUGCAUUAAUGAACAUUAACAUGUAAAUACAUGAGAUUAUAGCCAAGUGGCCAAUUUCCAUCCCCAGUCCCAUUAGCAGGUUGAUGUCAACACAUAAAAACAACCAUCAGUAAUAGGAAUAAAACACAGAGAGCUUAUUAAAAGACAAGCAGCAUACAUUAACCGUAGACAACCUUAGCGACAUACAGUCCAAAAUAAAACGGUCUGGGAGUUGGGGGACCAUGGUAAUUAUACACAGUGUAUUAUAAGGUGUACAGUGCUAAUUAAAGUGCCAUAGUGCUAAAGUGCCAAAUGCUAAAGUGCAGAGUGCUAGCUGCCUGGGAGCUAAGGUCCUCUUUAAAUAGCUCAUUGUCAGAAAUAUGAAGUGUAUGUUGAUUGCACGUUACCCUGCUGCCCGCGAUUGUACAGUGCCAUGUUGAAUACAAUAUUGCACAGUGCCCAUAGCACACGGUUGCUCUUACAGGAGUAUAGAAGUCUCAUUAGAUAUAAAAUUCCCAUCUAUUUGAAUUAUUUAGGUUUAACAUUCACAGGCCAAUAAACUUUAUGUGCUGCAUAUUUGUCAGCUGAACGUAAAUGAAACAAUUAAGAAUUAGAUUUGUGUAAUAAUACCAACAAACCCAAUGUGUUUAGAAUGAAUAAUGAAGAUUUACAUAUUCAUCAUUGAUAAAUUCAAUUUGUUUCUGUCUCAUUAAUGUUAAUUUAAUAAAUCUUGUUUGAUCCAUAGCUUGUUAUAUUCACACUAUAUUCAUACAUUGAACUUAUUUAAUUGAAUUGUUUUCACAAUUAACAGAUUCAUGCUGAGUUUAAGAAAUUUCAAUAAAUAAAUUUAAAGUAAUGUAAAACUUUAAAUCAAAUUAAAUAGAUGUUAAUACUUAAAAAUAAACUAUGCCAUGAUUUAUGUGAGUGUGCACAUGCAGAUGUGUGAGUAGAUAUUGCACCAAAAGAAAGGAUUGUUGCCUGUUUAUAGACUUUAUAGGCUGAUAAGAAAUCUGCAUUACCCACCAUGAAAUCAGAGUUACUCUAUGUUCUAAGCCAUAUAAAUAAAUCCUUUUUUAAUCAGUAAAAUCAGAUCUUAAUCAAUAUUUUGAGUACAUUUUUUUUCUGUAGCUUCAGUUGGUUGCAAAUAAACUUAAACUCUAAUUUGCAUAAGCACAUUUUCACUCAUUGUCUCUUCCACAGAAGUAAGGUGGUGACAAAACUAAACACAUUGUUAGUUAAUGGGCUGGUAUACAAAAUGAAAACAUGACAUUUUAAUGAUAAAAUUAUGCCAUAAGCAUGUAGUGACUGCAAGUAAUUUCUCAUUCAGCACAGAAAUCCAGCGAUGUACAGUCACCGCAGAGCUAAUAUAAUUAUGUCAAUUAACCGGUAUGACUAUGUAACCUGAUAGUUGCAUAGUGUCCUCGGUGGACUGCAUCUGUUUUUUCACCAAUGUUUGAAUCAUUGAUGGUUUUGUUGCCUAACUGUAUGAUCAGUUUACCCUGAAAGACAACAAGCGUCGUAAAACUGUGUUAUUUUUUUAAGGAGUUCUGCUGUUUAGUCCUGUUUGCUCUUCUGCCCUGCAUUUGUGAUCUGAAGACCAAGAUGUUGCUGAAUAAAUUACCUGGAUUUUCCAGGAUUUGUUUGCUCAUUUCAAGAUAUAGUUAACCCUCAGCCUACUUUCUAUUGAACUUUUUCUAGACCAAAUAACAUCUAAAAAAAAACAUUAUUCCUCGCUCAGGUCUAUUGAACCAUUUUUCCCCUCUUGCUUCAUUCUCACCAUCAUCACAAGCCAUCUGCCUAUUUCAUUUCCUAUCUCCUCAACACUUCUCCGAUUUUAUCACUUUCUCUCACUCCAUCUCCAUCCGUCCAUUUCUCUCCUCCGUGGCAGAUGUGGAGACUCCCUGGACGAAGGCUUCUUCUGGGAUGAUGGGUAAGAAAAUCACCAAACGAGGACGAGUCAGCCAUCAAUCUUCCUCCUGGCUGUAUCUUCCCUUCACCCUCUCCUGCUCUCCUUCACUAUCACUUCCUCUGUGUCUGUUCUCUAUCUCUGUCUGCCUGUCUUCCCUCUUCCUACUCUAAUCCCACCUCCCAUCAAGGCUUGGACAUGUGUGAUGGCCCUCCUCACUCCUUCAGCUAGGCCAAUAUAGCCCCUCUCUCAGCCCUCUCCUUAUUACUCCUCUCUCUUGAUAGGAUCUCCAGGAGGCUUGAAGCUAUUGUGUUUUUCUCACCCUCUGUCCUUCAGUGUCCGUCUUUAUAGAAUGGAUCCGGCUGGAAGAUGGCUUAGCUAAAGCCACAGUGAAAAUCCUCGACUGAUGGUUUCAUACAGGGGGGUGCUAUUCCUAGCUUAGCUGCCACAUCAGGCAGAAUGUGCCUAAAACCCCCUUUUCAGAAAAGACAUUUCUACUGUCACCAAGAGCUAAGAUGAUGUUGGUUGAACUGUAAGCCAAUUAAGCUGCUUUAGAAAAACCACGCCAAGAUCCAUAAAGAUAAAGUUGUGGAUUAGGUAUAAACCUUGUUAAACACCUUAGGGUCUCAAAAAAGGGGACUGGGUUAUGGCCUCCCAUUCAGUGGCUAAUGUCCAUGUAUGGAGCCUGGAGAUCACAGAGAGGUUUUAACCUACCCUGUCAGCCUAAAUUAAUGAGGUAAUUAAGGGCUCAGGUGGAAUUAGCGGCAGACACCUUAAGCGCCCUCGGGCAGUGGGGUAGUCAGGCAGGAUGUAAAGCUGCAGUAUAGCUAGAGGACAGAUGCCUCUACGGAGAGCUGUGGUGAAGGUUAAAGGUGAAAACGGACAACUGUUCGUCUGUAGAACUACAUAUUUAUUUGUUAUGGUGACAGUUCCUGAAAUGUAGCUGAUGGCCGAAAAAUGACACUGUCGGAACAGUCACAGCAGUUUGUUUUCCACUUAAAGACUUUGGUCACAAGGGAUCAGGUGAACAUAAGGAGAAUUUAGGGGGUUCUUUUAGGGACUCUAAUGUGAUUAUAUUACAUAGACUGCAGCAGUCAUAAAAUCACCCAAUUUAAAGGCCCAUAAAAGACUUCCCAAGGAAUAAUAUUCACAUGAUGGAUCCUUAAUACUUGCAGUAUAGCUUAAUGGAAUUUUCCAUCCUCUAGGGUUUUUCAUUUUCAAUCUCCUCCAUUCUUGAAACUCUUUUUUUUUGUUUUUUUUUUUGCUGGUUUCGAUUGCAAGAAAGAUAAAAUGAAAUCAUAUUUUGGUUAUUACCGUAAAGAUUUAAGUUUAUUGUAACACCAAGGGCAGAGUGAGGUGGCCGGGGGGGUUAACUAAGGCCAUGCCCGCGUGUGUACAUCUGUUCAAACUGACUUUUCCUUUGAUACUCUAUUUUGAUAAACGCCUGUGUACUCACAGAUGUUUGUGGAUAUUUCCCUGUCCACACCACAAAGCAGAAAUAGUUGUAAGGGACGGCGGGCUGAGGCUCAGUGGUUGAGUUGGUAGUCUCCCGGUCAGACGGUUGGGAUCCCAGACUAUAGUCUGUCAUGUCAAACACCAAAGAGGAACACAAUGUGAAUUCUUACUGAGCCUCUUUAUUUUGUUGGAGUUCUUUGUUACCUCUGUUUUUAUGUUGUCCAGCUGUUCUUCAAAUUUCGCGAACCGUUUCUCAAGAAAGGUUUUCUUAUUUUUCAUCGCGUAGGUUGGCAUGGAUGAUAAAGCUAGCAUAAACGUCUCAAGCUUUUCGUCGUCUUUCAGUGGAUCAAACACGGUUUUGCUUCUCAAACCUUCAGCCAUCGCAUACACACGAGUCACGGAGGCCCUGGGGAAGGAGUUGUUAAGUUAACAAUGUAAGGUAGAUGGAUAAUAUGUAAAAGUUAGGAGUGGGAGGGCAGAGUAACCGCGUUACGCAGCCAUCUUGUCUGCAGGUCACUUGAGUUCCUCUCUAUCUGAGCAUCUUUAUGAAGAAGUGAAUGUAAACAAUGUGUUUUAACUGUUUGAGAGUGCUGAAUUAAAAACUUUUGAGUGGGAUAAUCUGGUAUCAUGAUGAAUUCAAACCUAACCGUACAAAGGCUGCCAUCUCGGCACACAUGAGACACAUUAACAAUCAUCGCCACACACAUAGCAGAGGAGAUGACAUUAGUGUUUACUAAAGUGUUCAUUUUUGUUAUCCACUCAAAUACAUUUCCAUCAAAGAAACAAGUUUAUAAAAUAAAAAUCAAUAUGUCUGUUUUACACAGAUGAUAGCAUACUGAAUAUAGUCAAAGUCCCUCUGGCAUUUGAACUUUAAAGUUAGAUAAGGGUGUUUAUCUGAAUCCAGACACUGGAGGUGUUAGUCGAUGAUGGCUUCUGAGGCUGGUGUAGCUAAUGAAACUGUAAGACACUGGCAGAGAUGGAAAGGUGGAGAGUUCAACUCAACAACUGCAUCGAUUAACUAGAGAAAGAGGCAGCCAGUCUUAAAAGACAGCAGCAAUGUGAAAGGCUCAUGACGGGGGUGUUACACUGCUGUUGGACAGAUAUGGCCAGGUGAUGAGAACAGCUGAUGAGCAAAGAAAAUAUAUGAGUGAGCAUGUGUGGAGGAGUGACAACAACACAAAGACAUUAAGACAGCAUGAAGAAUAUCGUCUUCCUGACUGAACUGUCACUUCAUACAAAACAGAUUUUUUUUUUUACAAUCUCCCCCUCUAAGAGCAUUUCUACAAAAAACUGCUUUCAACAGCUUGAAGCUUUGUGUACUUUUGGAUGGGAGGCUGAAAUCCAGAGGAAAAAAAAAAAAGUGAAAAACAGUCACAAAUGUGUGGGCAGGGCCUAAGUAGGUCGUACCUCUCUCAUCUGACUUGGUUACUACCUGGUCCAUGACUCACACCCACUCAGAGUGCACCAGUCCUGAGUAGGAGCACUCGUACCUGCUCCCAGUCUCAUCAUGUUGGUCCACAUCAACAUUUGUGGUGUUGAAAGUCGCUGCAAUUUUCUCUCCUCUUCCAAACCUGCAGAGGUUGUGAAUAAAAUCAUCUGAAAAAUAAAAGUGAGGUCAUUUAAAUGGGCCAGUUUUUGGUAAAUAAUCUAUGAGACCAUGGAAUAAAAAUGUUAUCUACAAGUGAAAUUUCUCUGAAUUGUCACAGGCCUCUAAAAAAUUCACCAGAUAAAAUAUGAAAACAUAUUUCUUUUUAGAAUCAUUACAGCAGGAGCAUCGACAUCUUUGCCACAGUUAUACCAGGAAGUUCUGGUUGAAAUGGUGAGCCUUUCAGGGUCAUCGAGCCAAUCGUGAUAUUGCUUGAAAUAUCUUUUUAAUAUAAGCAGUGAUUGUACAUGCAGGUGUCAAACCACUAUAAUGUACAUAAUCAGACAGGACUUCAAUCAAACUGGACAUAAUUUGAAGUUGGUUUAAAUUUUGCUUUAAGCCCUAUUUGCACUGGAUUAAUAUUACCAAGGAACUUCUGAUGAUUUGUAAUAGAUACAGAGGAUGUCUGCUUUUUGCUUUUUUAAUCCCACCUGAAUCAACCAUGUCUGAAAUGUGCCGAGUUAAAAUUUCAGGGCAAAUCACCUACAGUAUUUCAGGACACACAGAGACCCUCUGAUAAUGAUAAUCCAGUCUGGGUCGACAUCUCAUGAAUUUGAGAUGGUAAUUUGGUUCCAAGAAGUUUUCUGCUGCUUUUUUGUGCCUCUGUUCCAGAUAAGAAUUAUUAAAGGUAUUUUAAAUGGAGGUUCUAACAGCACUUUGGAUGCAAAUUCAGCUGAAACAAAAUAAUUUCUAUGUACGGCAAUGAUGAGUAAAUAUUGUAAGGCUAAUUAGAAUAUUAAUAUAAUAAUUUAAAAAGGAUGGGCAGUAGCAUAUGCAUGUUGGGCUCACUACAAACUGUCGAAUUGUGUUACGUCUAUUCCCAAGUGAACCACACUGAUGCAUAUUGUGUGUUUCCCAUAUUCUUUUGUCAGUCACGGGAAACGGCGUAAACUCUGUUUACUUAGGUCGUAGUCACGCCAGAGGUGCUUAGUCUGCUUUAAAUGAACCCUUGGUCAGGUUCAACAGGACCAGUGUGAAAACAAAGAGGGCCUAAGGCAGGAGGUGGCAUAACCUGCAUUGCAUUGUUAUGUUAGUGCCUUGCUGACAUACCCAGCAUUUUUGUAACCAUGGCAACAUGUUGUAUUUUAUCACUCUUGUCAGGACUUGACGCCUUCGAUACUGAUUUGCUCAUGUACAGAACAUGGUUGACAGCUCGCUGCCUCAACUGCUGCUCAUACUGGGUGCCUCCUUGGUGUUCAUAUUAUAAACACAUUUAUUAUAUACAACACCGAAGCAGAAACCUAGAGCAGCAGAAAUUACAUGUUGCUCAACUGUGUCUGUGGUGAAUAAGCCAGCCAAAUAGGAUUCUGUCUGGUCCAUGCUGACCCAUAGAUCAUCUUCUUUAUAGAUCAAGUGUUUGUUUGGUAAAGUCACCAUAAACAGGCAGCAAUCGUACAGUGCUCAGCAUAAAUGAGUACACCCCUUCAGAGUUGUCAGAAAACCUUUAGUUUCCUACGUUUUGUCAGACUAUACAACAAAAUACUUCCCCAAAUGUGGGCCAUUGAUUGCAAACAAUAUUUUUUAAGUUGCAUACAAAAAAGUAUAUAUGUAUAUAUUUUUUUAAUUUAAAAGCAGAAUGCAAAAAUGAGUACACCCCAAUCAAAGUUCUGGAAGCAAAGCUAAAUUUUAGUUACCAUACCAUCCUUAUUUUCAUCUUACGGUAAAGAAAAUGUUGUGUUAAACUCAGCUUUGUCAAAACUUAUGAAAAUUGUACUUUCGCUCAUCCAGAUAUUGAGUGAUACUUUUAGUAAUUACUUUUAAUAAGGGAUGUACUGACUUAUGCUGGGCACUGUAACUAAUAGCGUUGUUUGGACUGUUGGGUUCAUGUGCAGUCGGAGAGUGAGCCAAACUUCAUGAAAGUGCAAAAAUGUUGUAAUUAUACACCCACAGCAAAUCUAGCUCCCCCAGACUUCCACAUGAAAACAACCUUAAUGAAAACUCACUCUUGUUAGACACAAGGCUAUAGGGCAGUGACUGUGUUGCAAUGAGCCCAUAUUAAAAAUACUAUAUUGUUACUGAGAAUGAAAUUGUCCCAAGAACUAUCGGAAAACGUCGCUUUGACUUGGGGUGACAAAGCAGCCCAAAGUAAACCUGAAUCUCGGUGAUAACUGAGCAGCUGUGGCUCACUUCAAGAGUUUGUUGUCUCUCAAUUAGAAGGUUGGGGUUUAAUCCCUGAUCCUGCUGUCCACACAUUUAAGUGUCCUUGGGCAAGACUCAUAACAACCAGCUGCACCCCGUGUUGUGUAGAUGGGAUUAGAUCAGUGGCGGCUGCUGGUCUUUCAAGGAGGGGAAGCUCAUUUUUCUGGCCUACAUCAUAAUUGUGUUUGUUUAUUAGUAUGUAACAGAACAGAGUCGCCAAACACAACGGUAGUAGUUUUUAACAAAGACAAAAGUCGCUGAGGAUCGGUAAAGUCUCCGGAGCAGUUAAGAACAAUGGAAUGAAUAACUUGGAAAAUGCUCUGGUAGAUGUUUUAUUCUUCAAGAUCGCUGAUUCGCUUGUUUAGCUGUCAAUCAAAAAAGGAUUUCGCCUCAGACAGCUCAUCCAAUCAUGGAUGCAGGAGCUCGGAGUCCGGGAGAAAGUCGGGACCGCCCUCUCGCCAUAGAACUCCAGUGAAGCUGGGCUUCCAAUGGGCGGGACAAAGCCCAGCAUUUAUCCAAUGAGCGUCUAGUUUCGCUGCUGGAACAACCCACUUUGAGCUUCCACAUUGAAGUCAGCAGAAGCCCAGCGUCCGGCUGUUUAAAGCGCUGAGGCGCUGCGAGGAUGAAUGAGAACGAAGUUAUGCCGGUUACAUGUGAUUAUCAGCUUCUUAUCACAGUGUCUGAACAAAAGAUGAAGGCUUUCUAGCGCGUAUUUAGUUGAUGAAAUGUACACACAGCAGUACGUAUUUCACCACUUUUUCUUUUUUUGGGGGGGUGACAUUUUAAGGGAAGCCGAGCUUCCCUUGCAGUCUUAGAGCAAUCGCCACUGGAUUAGAUAAUACUGAUGGUUGCUUUACAUGGAGGCUUUGCCAUCAGUGUAUAUGCGGCUAAUGUGACAUGUAAUCUAAAAGUGCUUUGAGUGGUCAGAGGACUUCAUAAAUUGCAAUAUAAACACAGUCCAUUUGCUAUAAGGGAGGCAUGCGCCUGACUAGAUUGCUUAAAUUGACAGAAAUCUUAAUGUCAUACUCUUGCAAUCAUUUUGAGUAGAGUGCAGAAUAUCAAUAACAUUUCAACUCACAUAUAUAAAUCUAAUAACACCAGCACACAUACAUACAUACAUGCAUGUGAAGCUGAGUGAAUCUUCCACAACACUGACUGUGAGAGAUAACAAUUUUCCGACUGAAAUAUCAUAAAUAAUUGUAGCACAGCAUUUACUGCAAAAGAAGAUGUCAACAUGCACCGGGAGAUCUCUUUCUUCCGAUGAACACGGAGGAUAAAAAUACAAAAGCAAAGUUAUUUUUGGCGCGUCAAUAUUUCGUUGUGCUCUUUGACUGAACAGAAAUGUCGAAGUUGUUAAAAAAAGGCCCCAGAUAAAUUUGGAGGGAAAAGAACCUGUGAAAAGAGUCACAGAGAAGGAGGGUUGAACACUUGCAUAUCAAAAUGUCAGUGUCUUUAGGGGCUGAGCACCCCUAAAGGUCUGAGCUUGGAUAUAAAUUCUAACCCUUCAUAGCUAUCAUAAUAUCAUAGAGUCUGAGACACAGGUGGGUUUUUAACCUGACGUUUUUCUAAUUCAAAACACGGCGGGGAGCUCUGAUUCGUUUUCUCAGGCAACCAGGUUAAAGCCUUAUUACAUUCACAGUGAUCAUUUUCUGUCCAUCGGGUAGAGGUAAUUAGGUUCCCUACCUUACACUUUCUCUCUCCUGGUGUCAAAGAGAUCUCACAGUGCCCACAAUAAAGAGAGAUUAAAAUGAGUGAUUGUUACGGGGGACAUCAUUCGUGGGUGUUUCUAUCAAUGAUCUACCACCUAUAUCUUAAUGUGUGGGUUGACAAAUUUGUCCACAGAAAUUUAACAGCACACUUAAUGAGUUCAAGUUUACCUGACUUAUUCUUACUGCCAAGUUGCAGUUGGAAACAGUGGAAAUCCUGAAGUCAAACUAUCUACCUUUUAUGCUGGAAUAAGGAUGAAGGGACAGCCAGAAAGGAACUCUUACCAGCCACAACUUACAAAAUGUUCUCAACAAACAGGCAACAUUAAAUGUUUCUGCAUAUAUUUUAAAUUUUAGUGUUUCUUUUAAACCUGCCUGACAUCAUGUUAUUUUAAACACAAUUAAAGUAAAUCAUAAUUGAAAGAAGGCGUUUUAGUUGGGUGUCAGUUAAGAGAAAAAAAUUGGCACAUAAUAAUAUAAAUGUAGACAGUUUCCAUUUAAAUUGAGUGAAUAAAUAAAUAAAUAAAAAAUACGUACACUUUUAAUUUGAAAGGCCAAAUACCUUCAGGUUGUUGGUUUUGGGCACUUGCACACAGGAGCACAAGGAUUAGCAGACAGGCUUUUAUAAUGGAGGGCUGGGAUAGGCAGAAAUAUCAGGGCAGAUACCUUUCGGCCCACUCCAGACCUCGGUAGAAGUGGUGCAUACCAAGUGGCUGUCUACGGUGUUGGAAAUGCCGCCAGAGCAGAGUGCAAAAAAACCUGGAGUUUCUCAAGUGUCCACUUGAGGUUGAUUGCAGAGCUGACAAAGGGCCUUUGGGUCCAUGUUGAAAAGGCCCAUUAUUACAGCAGAAUUAGAUGUUAACGGCCUGUUUUAAAAAAAGACUUUAAAACCAUUGGUUUUCGGCUCAUUCACUUAUACAUACCCAUUGUACAGGAGGUAAUUCUAAGGUACAUUUUAGAUAAAUUACAGUGACUGACAGAUGGGUGUACUGUAGCUGAUUACAAGGCAAAGAAAACCCUCCUUCAACUUCACAGCUUUCCUUGCAUCCAGGUUGAUUGAGGCAAUAUGGCGCUCUCCACAUCAGGGCUUCAAAACAUCUUCAGAAAUGCAAGGAUGUAGACCUAAUAUACGGAUGUUUUACUACAUCCAUAUUAUACAGUCCACAGUCCCAAUGUCUAACCAUGAUUUAGUUAAUAUGGGAAUUAAUGUCCAUACAAAAACACACAAAGCGCGGACAACAAUAAACAAAGCCAGACAAAUGUCAAGGUAGUCAGUUUCUUUGUUAAAUCUCAACUGAAUGUCCUCCUUGCAUAUUUUGCCUGGCUUUUUUCCAGUUAUGCCUUUUAUAACACAACUGAACAAUUCUACAUCACAGUGUUACAAAGGUUACAUUAAAGCAUUAUGAGUCCAAGAAUAUAACAUUUACAUCAAAUAUCAGGGGUCAAAAACUGACUUUGUUGAAAGGGUAAACAGUAUAGUCUUUGGUAUGGCAGCUAACUCUGCAGCAGUGCUCGUGUGUGCUGUUGUUGUCGGGAUCGUCCUUACAGAGUGUCCUCUGGUGUCAGUCAAUAGUUUGGUUCCAGCAGGUUUGACUCUUCCUCUCUAACACAUGACAAGAGACCUGCCGUGUGCUCGGUUGGAUUGACUCCCGUCUCCUCUUCUCCCUCUCCUCUCUCCUCGCUCUUUUCUUUUAUCCCGGGGUUAUCCACACAUGACACCUGCCAGAGAUGCACUGUAGACGGAAUCUGACAUUUAAUUCUCACCCGCAGAUCCGACCUCUCUCCUUCAUCACCUUAACAUUGAGUGUUUUCACUCAUUCCGGCGACCUCAGAGUGUCCACAAUUCAACCCCCAAAACACCAUCUAAAUGUCAGAGAGAGGGAUGAAACUAGACUGGUGUGAGACCACCGAGCACGGGCUCAUUUUUAUUGGUGCAGUAUGAACCACUAGCUUAAACCCACUUUUUGGCAUCCAUGCUUGGCCAUGUUUCUAAGCCGUCUGGGAUCAGGCCACAGGGCACAGGUGAAUUUUGUUGUAAAUGAUAUUUUCUGCUGCAGCGUUCUUCUUCAUCUUCCUCUUCUUCCUCUUUUUUUCAGGCUCAGUGAACUGAGGGAAAAUGACAUUUAAUUACAGGAGAGCAGUCACGCAGUUCGGCUAAUUACGAUCCCGGGAGUUCAGUCAUCAUAUCUAAUUAACUUUCACUUUCAUGAAAGCUUAAUGCAGCACCAUGGCUAGGCGCUGCAUGUGCUACACUUCAGGAAUAUUGACAACUCUUUGGAUAUUAAUUUUAAAAUGCCUUCUUUCUCUCUCUCUCUCCCUUCAUUAACAAACAACAAAAAUUACAGAGGGUUGUUGAUUUGUGAGCCCCAAUUUUUCCUUUGAUUAUUCUGUUUAUGGGUCUCUUAAAGAUUUUCAUAAUUGAUCUCACCUUGUAUUAUGCUUAAAUAAAAAUGAAUAUAAUCAAUCACUUGGAUGGCGGUGGCAAUUUAUAGCUGUAUUGAUUGUUAAAAGCACACUGCGUAGUCUGCUUCACAUUCAUUAUGACACUCUCAGAGGACAAUCAAUUCAUUAUUAGGCUUGCCCUUGACCACAUUGUUAGUGUGCUUACUGGGGCAUAAUCCUCAUAUAUGCAUGUGUGUAUUUGUUAGAGUUGUCAUUUUUCAUCCCAGUAGUACACGAGAUUGGAGGACCUACUUCAGGCCAGUUUGGUCCAGCUCCUCAUUAACAUUUUUGACCACAGCUUUGUUUACUGAUAUUUCUUUAAAAGUCAAAGAAAAAUUACUUGUUUAAUCCCUUAUUUCUACAUCCAUUGUUCAAACCAACCCACUGUGAAACAUCGGCAUUGCCCACCAGUGUUAGACCUCUACUCCAGAAGCCUCUUAUGUGUCCAUUUGUCGUUGGUGUCAGAAUGCACGCCCUGCCUCACGUUUUAUAUGCUGACGUUGUUGGUGGGACGAUAUGAACCUCUCUCUGAGACCUGAGAUUGCACCGGAGCAGAAACCAGAGAGCUAAUUGGUGGCUUGAAUUCCCGUCAGUGUAUCCUGAGCCCAAUAAAGGUCAUCUACACACAUAAAAUGGAGUGCUCACUUGUUUUAUUUUAUUAACAGGCCUGCCAGAAUUGGCCCAGAAAAUCAAAUAAAAGAUGGUACUGAAAAAUGAUUGCCUAUGGCACUUUUAGUCACAAAGGUUAUAUUCAGCCACUGUCCCUGUCUCUGCCUUUUUGAACUCAUAUCAGCAUUGAACCGAAUUGCUGCAAAAACAUGUAACUUAUAAGUUUUGGCACUUGUAUAAAUCCCUAAAGUUGUAAAAAAUCUAAUUGACUUAUGAACAUUUUAGGAAAUAGAGCCUGCCUCUAAGCUUCCACGCUUAAAUUGAUAUGCCAGAACUGCUAGCUUAGCAUAAUCCAUAUAUGCUUAUCGGCAAGUGUCUGAUGGGAGUAUGUGCACUGCUUUCUUAUUUGUAAAUUAAUCAACAAGAGAUGAUAGUCCGCCUCAGCAUGGCGACUACAGACGAGAGGAUGCAGCUCCUUAACUUUGUCCAAAGGUUGUAACGUUGGACAUUGGACUAGAUCAACCACCAACUCAUUUCAACCCCUCCUUUUUUUCUUUCUUCCUUUCUUUCUUUUUUCUUUUUUUUUUUAUGUCAUGCAUAACCAUAAAGGUUAUAAUCUACAAACGCUUUUUUUCUUACAUUAUGUACUGAGCUAUUUCUCGGCCAGGAUCAUGUGCUUGAAGCAAAAUUUUUCAGUCAAUUAAUAAAAAAACAAAAAACAAAACUGUGUAUCAGCAUAACAUUUGUCUCGCAUUCAUCAAAUUCCUAAAAACAGACAAACUUUCACCCGUUUUAUCAGGACAUUUUUCUGCCAACCAGCAUAUAAAGUUUUGUUAGAGUUAUGAAAAAAUAGAGGCCUGGUGAUCGGCUGCGGAUCCCGCUGAACCGCAGCAGAACAGAAAGAAGCUGGUGGAAAUUGACACAUUAACUUGAAUGGAAACGAUCAGCUGUGAUCAGCGCGUACAGCCUUUUGGCCACCGUUAGGGAUGUGGUGGAAAUUGGGGGUUAGGGUUAGCCACUUUCACAGACAUAUUUGAAAGCAAUAUUUAUCCUUUACUUACUACAUUUACAAGCACAGUACAUCGUGCUACGGUCAGAGCUUGAUUAGGUGUAAAUUGUACCGCUGUCCACGUCCCAGUUUACAGGCUCCAAGCAAGAGUCCAUUUAUCGACAGAAGUAUGUCUGCCUCUGCUACAGUAGGGAGCGCCAUGCCUUCUUUCAGCUUGUUUCAAUCGGGCCGUCUCAGUUGAUGCAUCAGGUAUCAAAAUAAUCAGUAGAGCCCAUUUGCAAACGGGUUCAUGAAAAAGACAGAGUAACUUUUACAGCUCAGUACGGUUUAUUUUUACUGUGGGAAAGUUUCACCUUUUUUUUUUUUUACAUCCUUUUUUCUCUCAAAGUUUUGUUUGCUAUUCCAUUUCCUAGCUCAAAGCUGGGCAUGCAAACACUAAGGCAUGCAAAGAACGUAGGGUGACCAUAUUCUCAAUUCCCAAAAAGAGGACACGACUACUGGGAGCUGAGUCACGGAGUCGCAUGUAGUUAAUUUUGAGAGUUUUCAGGUUGGAUCAAGUGUUAUUUUUAUGUGCUUCUAACUCACUUCCAUACAAAUGCCCGGACAUUUGAAGGAUUUUAUAAACUCCCCCGGACAAAGCCGGACAGCCCCUGAUAAAGAGGACAUGUCUGGGCAAAAGAGGACGUAUGGUCACCCUAAAGAACACCAGUAUCAGUCUGAGCCGUACACAUAUAACAAAAAAACCACCCUCAACCAUUUUAUCAAGGUAUUUAAGUUUGACUACGAGAAGUAUAAUUCAGUGCAGUUUCAGUCAGACUAAUGUGUUUGCAGGAGGCACAUUUUUUUCUGUGUUAAAAGACUAUCAACUUCAAAAACCAAACCUUGUUUUGCCAAUCCAUGGAAUUUGACUUUACUAGCACAUAUUUAUAGCACAUUAACCAUCUACUCUUACCUAUUUCUUCGCCAGGACUUCCGUUGUUGUAUAACUUAUAAGAUACAGACCAGCACUUAUCUUUUGGAGAGGGUUCACGCUUGUUGUUUGCCUGUGUUCCAGCUCCGUGUGCUAACUGAUCUCUCUAUGCUGAGUUGUAUAUAUGAAAUGGACUGACGAGGGGAAAAAAUGCUGCGUGUGACUUUGAAAAAUUCACACGUGUUGUAUUAAAACCAAACACCCACAAACCUUAGAGCAGCUUUAUUAUAAUGAUGACACAACAUGCCAAGCACAUAGUUGUGAUUUAGUAUUAUACUUACCCUCUAAUUUCAGGCCCUGCCUCACACAGCAGAGACAUGAAAAAUGUUAGUGGCCUGCCAUAAUGCUGCAAACAUCAGCGAACCCCACAAGGAGGAUUAAUGCCUCGUCUGGCUGUUAUUAUGCUGUCCUGCCGUCCUUCGCAGGCUGGCCAUUCAUCCUUGUAAGAUGUCCAUAUCAGCUCUCAGUGUGGGCUCAUACAUGUGUGUCUACUCGUGUGUGUCCCUGUGUGCAUUUGCAUGUGCUAUGUAUGUAUGAAGUGCCGGCUUACUGCCUGUAUGAGAUCUUUGAGAAGUUUAUCCCAGAGGGGGUUAAAUCACUUCCCCAGUUGCAGGCUUUCCAGGGCCAUGUCUGGCUUGUCUUAUCAAUCUAUCGAUGUGGCACCUGCGCUGCCGGUUGCACUUGGAGGCCGAUGCAGUAGACGGCCUAGGGGCCCCACUGUGGAGGAAUACUAAUGGGGAUGCAGAUAGCUUUUGCUUUGGCCACCUCAGCAGACAUUGAUCCCCCUGCGGACUUCCACGGUGCUGACAGAUGGACUGUCACCUCUGAAUGAGAGGAGAUUGGGACACGUCCUCUCGAAUCUCCCUCAGCGGGAUUCAGUCGCUGUCUCUGUUCUGUUCGCUGCUGUGUGCAUGUCGCUUCGCCUGUCCUUCCUUUCUCUCCUAGAGUCCUCUCCUCCUCCCUCCAUUGUAAUUCCUCUGUUUCCUCUCCCCUCGCUACAGACUUGUUGUGAGAAAGUGUGUUACAUAGCAGGAAGGUUGCAGGUUAAAUGUCUGCAGCUGCCGAACGUGAUUUACAGACACAUCCUCCAGUACCAGAGAUUUUCCUGGAGUUAAAGUAAAUACAGUCACAGAGGGAACAUUUUCCAAUGAAACUAUCAAGACUGGCUGACUCAAGUUUACGGAGAAACGAGGAGGAGCCCCAGUUUGUGCUGAUGACACAUACAGGCCCCUCUCUGCUGAUCGCGAGACAAUUAAGUUGAUGGAUAGUUGAGCAAAUUUUAGAAGCAGCUGUACUUUACUUGAGUUUUAUUAUUAUUAUUAUUAUUAUUAUUAUUAUUAAUCAAAUCUGGGAAUCUAAAGCAUGUGCGUUUGAAAAAAACAAAUCCUAUAUUAAUUUGAUAAAUGUAAUGUAGCAGAAUUAACACCUAUGUAAACUUGACUGAGCUCAUGCAUCGUAAAAAUAUGUUGUCUCGAAUGUUUUUUUAAAUAGUGGUUGAAUAUUUAAGUAUUACCCAAGUAUUUUUAAAAGCAAGUACUUUAGCCCUGAGAGUUAUACUUUGACUGAGCAGUUUCACAAGGAGUACUCCUGCUGUGUAAUCAUAGCAUUGUUGUCUUGUGUUUGUGUCUGUGGGUGGAUGUGUGUGUCCUUUCGCUUAGUGAUUACUUGAUUUCAAAUGGUUUUAACAUUUUUUCAUAUUGCACUUUUCUGUGCAGGUUGUAAUUGGUGCAGCUGGUUUUGUCAAUGCAUGAUUUUUUUUUUUUAAUUGUUAAAUUAAUUUUGUAAGCACAAUCACUGUCCAGUCUGGUGGGUGAAAAAUUUUGGGACUCUUUGGCCCUGAGGAUUGAUAGUUUUCCUCCAGUAAAAUGCAUCAUAGUGAACAACAGUCAAGGCCACAUUUGGGCGUCUGAAAAGCUCCCAAGAGAAAGCCUGGCAUGUAGUCUUACACAUGUAGUCUGACCUCAGCAUGGAGAUAAGAAAAUCUGAUGAAGUAUGAAUCGCUGGAGUUGUUAUAACCAAAAAUGAAAACGAUUUGAUUUGUCCCGCUUCAAGAAUUUGAGGAUUUGCUCUUUUCUCUUUUGCAAAUUGGAUUCCAGUCACCUUUGGUGCUGGUAUUUCUGUGAAAAUGAACACUUUGCACUUCUUUUUGGGUUAUUGUGGUGGGUAAUUAUCUAUUUCUUUUGUCCCAUGGUGUUCCAUGUAAUAAUUCAUAUCUUGUUAAGCAUGGACACAUGGACUUUAUUUUAUUCAGAAUGAUAAAAAGUUGCAGCUCAAAUAGAGAACAACAAAAGUGAAUAGUUUAAAGCAAACUUUCAUAAUUGUUUGCUUUUGGACUUCAAGAUCUCUCUGAAAUCUUUUAUUGGAUUUUAGCCGAAGAUUUUAUGUGCACCGUCUCUCUCCUGCUCACCUGUUGAGCAGUUUCUGUUCUAACCCUUGAACCUCUUUUUUUUCUCCCGUCAUCUUCAAAUCCCACUUAUCAGCCACCAGCGCUUGAAUCCUAUUGAGAGGAGCUAUGCAAAUGACUGAGAGGGAAAGGCCAGAUCUAAUCUUAAGGUUUAUUCUAAUUAAAAGUGAUUUACUUUCCCCGCCAUUCCCUAAGAGGGGAAGCUUAAUGUCCUGUUCUCAGAGGAGAUGGCAUCCUCUAACUCAAUUAGGUAGCAGAAGACGCACUUGGGUAAAGUUUACUCGAGAUGGAACUGCUUAACAUGCAGCUUAGGAGCACGCAGGGAGACCUUUAGACCAACGCAGCGAAAGGACGGGGAAAAGUCAAGGUUAAGGACUGCCCCAGUGUGUUUCAGCUGCUGGUUGUGUUGGUGAAUUUGACAGCUUAAUGUUUUCUUGCUCAAAGGCAAACAUAACCCCAGACUUCAUUCAAAACUUAAAAUAUGUUCUUGUUUGUUUGGCUCGUGAACUGAGCUUUUUCUUGGAAGUUUUGAUAAGUUAGCUUUUAACUGUUCUUGACUGCUUUCCCCGCUUGUGUCAAAAAAAGUAUUUGAAGACAAGUUUGGUGAGAAUUUUUCAUUCGAAGGAAAUGAAUGUUGCUCGGUGGACUGGGUCAUUUGCUAGUAAGUACAAUUUGACAAGGCGUUCAAGCCAAAUAAAUAAAUUGCUUUUAGAUAUCUGUCUUGAAUUACUUUGAUUUGAUAUUUUUAUUCAAUGUUAUGAUUUAGAUUUGAUUUUGUGCCAAGGCAGCUAGAAAACAAUUCAACUUUGGAAACUCAGUGUAUGAAAGAAAUAAAACUUAUUUGCUGGAUGAAGAGUUAGCUUAUUUUGGUUUUGGUUUUACUGCAGUCCCACCCCGCUCUGUAAAAAUAUGCUUUUUGCUUUAUAUCUUUGCUUGAUUCAUCUACUAUGAGUUUGCACAGGUGGAACAAAUUUAAUCUUUCAGCAGAAUUUAAAGUGAUUUAAAAUUUGAGCCCGCUCUUAGAAUUAGCCCAGUUCAUCCUGAUUGAGGGUUUUCCCAUCUCCAGGUUUUCUUUAAGGCUCAUGUUUGAUACAAAUCUCACAUGAAAGCAACCAUUUCCAUCUUUGAGAAUCAUUCAGAUUUUAAGAAAUCAAUAUGAUUUUUAUCUGAGUGAACAAAGUAUGACACAUUUUCCAGUAAAAGAGGAAAAAGACGGCACAAAGGAGCUCUUAUUUUGUAUCAAACAGAAAAUUGGAAAAUCUAUUCAUCCAUCCACUCUAGACGUACAUGCUUUUUAGUUUCAACGGCAAGUGGUUCAAAACCAGAUCUCAGUUUGGCAGAGUGGAAAAUUCCCCUGUGUAGAAUCUAUGCAACAUAUUUUUUUUUCAGCUCCAUUUUUAUAUUGAACUAUCAUCCAAAUGUAAAGAGUUUUGGUUUGUUCUCUAAAUCAUCAGGUCAUUGCUUUCAAAGUGAGCAAACGUAGAUUAUCUGACCAAACAAAGUGUUGAGGGAGACUUCAGUGAACCAGAAGGUGUGGAGCAGUGUGCACACAGCUCUUGACCACGAGGCAAUCCUGUAUUUGCUCGACUACAGUAGACAAAGAGCAAAGGUUUGCUUUUCACUUUAAACGGGAUUUUUUUUCCCCCAGAUCACACAUAUGAACAAUUUUUAUUUGCAUAUCAAAUAUUAACAUUCAUGUUGAACAGUCAUUAUAGAUAUUCUUGAAAAUGACUGUUACUGAUCUAAGUUUGUAUUCCUACAUGAUAACCUGUUUAAAUUUAGACACACUUUUGAGAUUGUAUUAAACAUCAACUUAAACCCAGCUACCCAUUGGUUAAGAUUCAAAACUAAAUAUUGUUUGAAAGAUGAUUUUACAGAUUUCAAACAGCCUUUUUAAAUGAUUUCCCUUUGGGGAUAAAGUUAUCCUUAUUCUUAUUUACUUUUGUGACUUCGCCUUCUGCUGUGAUGAUUGAUAGCAAAGUUCUCAUCUGCCUACAUGUGGUUCAAACCCCUUUUCAGCAAAAGCCGUACCAUCACAACCAGCUUUACUGUACUAAAUCACAGUAAUGGAGACACAUAAGCAACUUUCAGAAAACAGCAGUAUCUCAAUCUGCCCCCCCUACAUCACUCUCUGUUUGCAUUUUCUUUUCACUUAGCCAGUCCUGUAGCUCUGCCACUGUGUCAUGGUUGCUUCGUUUCUGUUUUCUUCAGUUUGGUAGAUGUCUCUUCCACUUACAGGUCCUUGUGUGUAAGUGUUUGCACAUUUGUUUUUCCUUCCCUUGCCAUCUUUUCUCUGCUUUUGACCUAAGAAUCAUAAAACCAUAACUUGAGAGUAAUAUUAGAAACAAUGUCGACAUAAAAGGAUCAAAUUUUAAACUUAAACAUGAACAUGCUGGUGUGUGAACAUGCAGAGGAUUUAUUUGAUAUGGUGUGAUCUGGUUUUUCCUGGUGUAACAGUUGCUAUUCAGACUGAAUUGCUGUUGCUAUGGGGUUGACCAAUCAGAAGGAAGAAUCAAAAACACAGCUGGGUGAUUAGUUUGUUCCUGAUAAAUGAACUAAGUCAGAAGUUACUCUGUUUUUGUUGAAAGACACAUUUGUCUCAAUCACACCUUGACCUGACCUUCUUACAUAGAAAUAUAUGUUUCAUUAAAAAAAUAAUAAUAAUAAUCAGUUGUUAUAAAGUACAUGAUGUACUCUGAUUUUGUGGGUGUAUUUUGCUACAAUGAUAAAGCUGCUAAAUUAAGACAGCCAUUAAAUUAGUAGGUUUUUUAAAUGUUGUUGUUGUUGCAUAAACAGUUAAUUAAACUCGUUAAUGAGUUGUUUUCUUGCAUCAGAGUUUAAAUAAAUAAUGUUUUGUUGACUCUUAACUCCCUGACAUUUUAGUAACAUUCCCCCUGCGCCCUCAUCACAGUCAUUUGCUCACAAAUACACACCAGUUAUAUAAUUUGGAGCCUUUAUUGUGUUUAAAGAACCUGCCAAAUAAUUAUGUGGUCUAACACCUCAGUUUGCUUUUACCAAACACCUCCGCUGCAGCUGUCCAUCUUCUCUCAACCACUUAUUCCGCUAUAAAAUAAAGAAAUGAAUAAAUUACAGACAAACCUGAUGCCCUCUUGUAUGUACUCUGGAAACUCCCAGUUUAGCUGCAGGCAAAGAGAUAAAAAUAAUACAUGUUGCUUCCUUAGGAAAAUGUGCAAUUUAUUUCUUUGCAAAUGUAGAAACAUUAAUAUGCCUUAUCUUAAAUUUAUAGACGGACAUUUGUCUCAGAAAAUUGAAUUUUUAAAGAAUAUUUUUCUGAAUAAAUAGUGUGGAAUUAAAAUAUGAACGCCUCUUUAUCCAAGUGUGUGUGUGUGUGUGCAGGUGUUUGUAAGUCUGGGCAUGUGUGAUGUUAGGAGGCUCCUGUUAUGCUCAGACACACCUUGACAGCGUUCAUGUCAAUCCUGGUCAUCAAACGGGGAGAUGACACACAUGCACUGGUGGAGUGCACACACUCUGACAUGACUGAGAUAAAAACCAGCAUUUGUUUUAUCUCUCCUACUUUGGAGUCUGUCAAUAGUUUACUGACAUGAUAAAAAAUAUUUAUAUAUAUCCUAAGAACUGACAUGGAAUCAUCUUUAAUACCUGGUUUGAAAGUUUAUUUUUAAAUGGUGUGCAAAAUGCGAAAACAGAUGAACUUAUAAAACAACAGUAAAGCAUCUAUACCAGUGUUUACAAAAUACAUAUGUAGUAUCUAAUGCAGAAUGAAUUAGGUAAUGCAUUAUUAAGUCUUAACAGAGUGCAGCUGUUGUAAACUUAGAAAAAUCCUGUCAUAAAUAUUUUCCAUCAUUGUGUGCCAAACAAGUGCCAAAUGAAAAGUAAUAUUUCUGUUAAAGCAACAGCAACACGACAAGUGGGUUUAGUUAUCACAGCAUCAUAGCAGGCUGCUGUUUUGUUACCACAUGGCUGCUUAACUGGGAAAAUGAAAAAGACUGUAUUUUAAAAGUUUACGUUCAGGCAGAAGUCAUGAAGCCCUAGAUCGUGUUUCCAUCACGCUCAUCAGGAAUGCUAAUAGACAGGGUGAAAUGUGCAUUUCCUGUGCAGGCCCCCUCAUUGACACGGGCACCACUUACCGCUGUCACCCCCCUCCCCUCUCCCUUCUCAGCACCUCCACCACUUAGUGAAUAAAGGUCAGGCAAUCAGGCAUCUGGAAGGACAGCUAAUUUGUCAUCCCUCGACAAACGUGUCAGCGUCCGAUCUUGUCCGCAGGGCUUGAUACCGCAACAAGCCGUAAAGGUUAAGAGAUUCAAAGAACACUCCCAUUUCCCUUUCCCUCUCCCUGCACGCCCUGUCUCCAUCUCAACAAGCAACAUGCGACAGAGCAGAAAAUUCAAUUUUGGAUUUGAUACUGUGAGGGCUCUGCUGUUUCAUGGCUGUAACUCUUCAGAGUCUUUAGGCAUGCCGUCCGCCGUGCUCAGUUAAACUCAACUCAAGCCCUCUAGAUCGGGACAUUGCUAUCUUGUACAUGCCAGUCUCAGCUUGUAGAGUAUCUCAUUGAACUGAUUACCGUCUAACCCUUACAAUGAAACACCAAACGAGUGUCUUGACUCGAGGUUAAGGUGGCUCUAAACGAGUAUGAUCCACCUUUAACAGGUUUUCUUUUCACGAAGAGCGAAAGUCCAAAAUGACUUCAGUUAUUUGAGAUUUGAAUUCCAAAGCGGUGCAAAUGCAGUCAUCCCGAGCAAUCUGUUGAAGCACAUCCUUUGUGAUUAUAGAGGAAUUACAAGCUAUCCCUGUCGUCUCUGAACACAUCCUAAUGGCCUGUUUAGUGAGGCCAUCUACAGCCGCAGGUGUGUGUCCCUUUCUGGCUCCCAAGAGUGUAAGUGACAUGGGGUAGAAGAAAGAGAGAGAGAGAGAGAGAGAGGGGCAGAGACACGAAUGAGUGACUUUGAUCAGGUGAGUUCACCAAGCUUCUUUAUGUGUGUGUGCGUGUUUGUGUGUGUUUGUGUGUGAGGAGCAUUCAGUGCGGGAUAAUGGAGAGUCAGGCUGACAGCUGCAUGUCAGAUACGCUUAAUGUACAUCAUUGCCUUGAAUGGCUUUAGCCCAACCGCAACCACUCAUGAGGGGAGGGGAGAGGAUGGGAGGGGAGGGGAGGGGGAGUGCGGUGUUGCUAACCAGUCUUUAGAGCAGUGGUGGACCAAUUAAUGUCACUUACGGUGCAAACAGGGAAACAGAAACACUGCGGACAAAACCCAAAAGCAGACUGCAGUGGCAAAAGUGGUACUUGAUUAGAAAGUAAAAGCCAUUUCAGAGGGGUCCAAAACAGACCAUUAAAUACAACAGGCAGGCAUAAAAAUUAAAUGUCCAAAAAAUGCACCGUCCAAAACAAAGCAAAGUGUAGAAAAAAAAGACUUGAGACCAAAGACUGCAGAAAGCUGGAUGGUUUUUCCAGUGGUGCACAAAGUCAAACUGCCACAGGAGGACAGAAAUACACCGAUUAAAUACAGAGGGAAGGUGAGACUAAUUAUAGAGAGGUGAAACCAUUCAGGGCAGGGUAGACAAUUAAACAGGUCAGAAACAAACCAGGAAAGGAAGUGAAGUGUUUCAAUUAAGGGGAAAGUGAGCUGCUGAAAAUAAAAACAGGACAUUUUCACCUACGACUGAAAUAAAUGAACCACCUUAAAAACACAAAGAGGCACCGAAAUCAGUCACUGAUUGAUCCUGUGUGUUGAAGCUCCCACAGCUUAUCAUUAUACCGCUGCUUCUGAGCUACUUUGUUUUUUUCUUGGUCCAAAUGCAGCACUCACAGGGAGGGGAUCUGAACUGUUGCCAAAAUUACAAACAACUUUGGUGUGGUUGGCACCCUGAAAUAAAACACUUCUCUCUGAUUUCAUCUAAAAUGUAUUUUUGCAGUGUCAUCCAUCAGUUAACCUCAUAGACUUUAUAUAGAAUUGAUGCCGUCUGCCUCCUCACUGGGUGAAACCAUCCAGAGAACAGCACCCUCUGUUGACGGGCUGCAGUAUAUGUCAUAAAUCCCGCCUUCUCCAGCAAUCCCUAUGGAGCUGUGGACAAACUUUAGAAAUUUAUUACACAGAAUAUACAUUUUUCUCCCCCCUGCUUGUGAUGUUGACAUGUAGUUACUGUAAGACUGGUUUGUGCUCAAGUCCUCUUUUUUCUGUGCAGCUCAAUUUUUAAAAGUUAUUAGGGGUUCAUGUUUUCUAUGAUUGACACUUAAUACUGCCUAUGGGCGUACAAAGUUUGCAUAGCUCACCCGGGGGAUACGCUGUUUGAGCCGAGCGUCAUCACAGUGAGUCUCAGCGACUCUCCCGCUGAAUGCGUAUAACGCUACUGUGCAAUGUUGGUGUAGGAAAUGGAGAAAAAUCGUGGAAAUACCAAGAGCUAUUCAGUUUCAAAUCUGUAUUCUUGUGGAAGACAGAACCAAGUUGUCCACAGUAUAGAGUCUAUGGUUAACCUUUAACCAAAUCUGCUCAGGGGUUACUUGAUCCUGUGGUCCUAGUGUGUGUUUUUCCAAUCUUUCUCUAUCAACUUCUUAAAUCUUUAAUUUUCACCAUCAUAGCUUUCUACCCUCCUCCUCUUUGUGCCUCCAUGGAAACUUUCCCAGUUUCUUAUUACAGCCUGUAGCUUAAACUCCAUUCAAGAUGCCAGCAAAUGAAACACCACAAUGCUUUAUUAUCUGUUAUAAAAGUCCAUAUAGCAAGUGGACAUGUGCAGACCAGAAAUACAAUCAGACAGAGAUACAUUUUGUACAUCUGCUAAAAUCUAUAACUGAAGCUCCACAGGGUGCCUCGGAUGCAAGUCACUGCUCUGGGCUACAGUGACUGUGGCCUCCCCCUCCCUUCUAUUGCAAGAGCUGCGUGGUGGGUGAAACAGCAUAGAGAGGGUGGCAAGUUUGGUGGACUGUGAGACGUCAUGCUGAGAAAACAUCACACUUGUGUGAAACCUAAUCAGGCACAAUCUGCUUGCUAUGCUUGCCAUGAUGCAACACGCAACGUGGCUGCGUGUUUUGUAUCUAUCAAGUAUUAAAGCUGUUGCAGGCUUGUUUCUGCAUUUCAUUAUGCAGCGCAUUAAAGGUAUCCAGUGGAGUCGAUGAAAGAGUGCAGGGGGGUGUGUGGAAGGCUCUUGUGCAAACGUUUGCAUCACAUGUUCCUUGAAUGUGAGUGCAAAGAAACACAAACAGCAGCAGCAUCUCUUGCACAGGUAGCGUGAACACCUCCUGUCAUUGUGCAUGUUUACUCAUCCUUAAACCAAACACACAGAUUUCAACACUUUGCUUGCAUAUUGGUAACACGUGCGUGAUCAUGCAAAUGAGAGAUGUACGCCACAUUACAAAAUAAUGAAAAUCUGAUGCAGAAAACAAAGGAACAUUAAAAAAUCUGAACAGCAACAAACUGUAUUUUUAAUCUUAGGUAUUUUGUGAAAAAGUCGCUCUGGCCUAAAACUAACAUUUAAAAUGAUCUUUCAUUUCUGGAGUAAUCAAGUUUCCAAUCAUGUAAAUAUGAAGACAGUGAAUCCUGUUUUAAAAAACUAAUAACCAGGUGUUGUUCAUGCGGUUAUGAUGAAAUCUAGUUUGAGAAACUGCAUCACUUUAAGUGAGACAGCUGUAGUUCGAAGUCAUUGUUUUCUUAACUGAAAGCUAGUUCACUUUAUUUGAAGUUUUUUUUUUUUUUUUUCAUCUUUUGUUGUUUAUACAUUAAUGAACCAGAUUUAUGGAAAAGGUCAAGACUCAGUGGACCAAAGGAGAGAAAGGAAACAUUUUUUCUCAUACUAGGCAUAUGAGAUGUAAGGUGACCUGUUGGCACACCACGACUUUCCUGCAUUACAGGAUACUAGCAGCUUUUAAAUGACCGUUCCCUGCCUCACAGAGCCCCUCUGUUUGACUGUCUUUUUGGACGUUAAAUCAGAAAACUGAAUAGAAAUGCAUCUUUAAAGAAAAAGUUCCACUCAAUAAGUUUCCAUGAUGUUACACGGACUUGGAUUGCUACUCUGAUCACACUCUCUGUGUGAAAAAAUAAAUGUGCUUUAUGUUGAAACCUUGAAAAGCUUCCAUAUUUACUCUGAGAAGAGUGUACACGUUAGAGUUUUGUACAGAAGAAUCUUCGAAGCAGCGACAUACCAAAUAAAAUACUUAAGUCAAAACACCUAUCAAAUCAAAAACCUUCCAAAAAAGGGCAGCCUUGAAGUACUCGCUUUCAUCCACACAAAAAAAUACAAUGAAGCCAUUAAAGCCAACACUGUUAGCAGUCUUUUUGCAGUCAGGGUAUGUGCAACCUCUGCAGUCGGUUUCUAGACGGAAAAUUAUAUUUGGAAAAUAGUAAAAUCAUCAUUCAGAUUCACUUAUGUGCUGCAAUAGUAUGCAGUAUGUGAUAGUGUGUCGUUCGCGAAUGAUUCCUUCAAAAGAGCAAAUCUUUUAAGUGAACGUACUGAGCUUCCUCAAGUGAUUCGUUCGUGUCUCACAUCAGUUGAGCUGUCAGCAGUGCAGAUGCCAUAGCAUGCAGCAUCCGGCGAGCGAGGGGCCGCACGCGCCAACGCCUGAAUCACUGGGUGAAUGGAAAGAUUUUCGGAUACACUUCCAUGGCGACUGUUGUUUUAACAGAUUUAGAGAACGGUCCAUGGUCAGUGUGAAUCCUUCACUAAAUGUACUGUAGGGUAUACAAUCAGUGAACGACUCACUCACUGAGCCCAAUUCACUGUGUAGACCAGAUAAAUAGCACACCAUAGGACAGUACACUUUAAACAUCAUGAUUUAUAGAUGAGCUCACUCUUACAAACAUGUUUGUCAAAGCAACACGGCCACAACACUCUCAUCUCCCGGUCCAAGAAGCCUUGAACUGAAGUAAAACCUGAACCGUUCAGCUCUGUAUCAGUUCAGGAAGUCAGAAUUGCAGGCUCCUCUCGCCGGGCGCUGAAUGAUCAUUUUAGCGAACUGAUUCUAGUAAUUCAGUACAUCUAAAAAAAAAACGGCCGUGCCCAUCACCAGUAUGUGAAAUAAUAAAUCCAACAAUCAACAGCAGAAUUGAAGUUCUUGUCAUGCUACAUAAUAAGGACUGAUUUUGUGGAGGGUUGAGGACUCUCCAGUGCUGGUGAUGUGACACAGACACCGUGUUUCAAAGCCAAUUCAUGAUUGGAUGCUGAUAGGUGAUGCUGCCCAGAGGGUUCAGCCACAGCCAUCAUCUCCAUACCAAAAGACCAGGAAAUAACGUGCCUUUCUUGGGUCGUCCAAAACGUGGCAUAAAAACCAGCUUGUCAUUUCAUUGGCAAUGUGGACUUCUGAAUUGUUAUAGGCUGUGAUCCCAAAACAGCCAUCUCCCCUCAGUGUGCACAACCUCUGGAAAAAAAAAAAAAAAGUCUUGUUUGGAAGCUGUGCAAGUGAGCAGUAAGAAGGGAGCUUUUUUCCGCUGUGAAAUGGUGACUAAUUUGGGGUAAAGACGUGUGGCCUUUGAUCUUUGCUUUGAAUAAAGCUGACUGUGCCUGUCUCGGAGCCCCUUAGGCCUCAUUGUCAGUCUGCCAGAACGUCAUCUUUCUCCCAUCACUGAAUAUAAAGCUGUGGAAUACAUCAUGCAAAUAAUCACGCUGGAAACAAACACAAGCAGUGCUUUCCCCCAAAGGAAGAGGCAGCCGUCUCUAAUGAGCAGGGUAAAAUUGGAAUAUUCAUACCUCCUCUCCCUCCGCAGAAACGAGUGAGUGAUUCCCUCGCCUCCCCGCCCGUUGCUCUGCCUCCCUUCCCUUCCCCGGCUCCUCUCUCUUUCAUUCACCAUUCUGUCUGUCCUCCCCUCUCGCUUCCAUCCCUCUUUCCACUCAUUCUUCUUUUUUCCUAUACAUCUUCACCCCCUGUCUUCCUGGGAUAUAGCGAUAAACAGUAACGUGGAAAGGCAGCCAGCGAUGUUGACAAAGCCAUCCACAGAUCACAGUCACAAAUCUGCCACAGACAAGACGCUUGUUCUUGGCAGAAUCUGCGAUAAAUACAAGAAGAAAUAAGAUUUAAAGAAAGGAGUCACGAAAACUUCCUCCCCAGAAAUCACUCGGAAGAAAAAUAUCACUGAAUGUAGAAAAAAAUUAAAGAAACUAACUAAGAUUUAAUGGAAAAGUUUCUAUACUUACUGACCCUAGACUGCAUAUUUGCACCGGUGACAGAUGAACGCCUGUAACUGAAAUGAAGAAAAAUGUGUGGAAGUGGAGGAAGAUGAACAGCAUGAUGUACCUCAAGGCCAGAAAUGGAUGAUGUAGGAGGAGAGGGAUUUUAUGUCUCUUGACCACCUUUUGAGAAUGACCCAGAAUAGGAGAAAAAUGAUCCUUCCCACAGGGUAUAAAAGUUUCUUUUCUCAAUACAGUAAGAACCAAGUUUCUCUGCAUUACAGGCAGAACUUAGCAUUAUGACAGCGAGGCCACAAUCAGCUCUUUAUAUUCUGAUUGUUUUUUUGUUGUUUUCAGAAAAUCAAACCUGUGAAGCUUAAAUAGAUUUUGUAUCACAAAAGUAUAAAAGGAAAUCAGUAUGAAUUAGUUUAAUUCCUCUUAAAUAUAGGACAGCAAUGUAGUUUGUUUUAGACUCUAUGUUGGAUAAAAAACAGGCAAAAAUUGUAUAAAAAUGAGAAAAGGGUAAGUGAGCUAAUAUGAUUUAUGCUGCUUUUUAGCCUUAAUAGAAACAUAAUCCUCCCAUUAGCCCUCCCAUGACUUCUUCAGCACUCCCGCUCUGCUUUUCCAGUCCAAAGGAGGAGGAAAGAGGAACAUUUCUGCCCGGCUGCAUUUUAACUUGUCGAAAGUUAUAACAGGAAAUUGGUGAGGAUGUGUGAGAGGAAAAGAGAAAGAUAAGAAAAAUGACCGACUCAUGAGAUAUUUUAAGUUUGGAUUUAUUUCUCCUAACAGCAAACUGCGAAAGCCUCAACGCUUUCUGCAAAAUUACAAGAGCGCCACGAUUUCUGCUGUAGGACAGAAACAGCAUUUAUUCCCAAUGUGUAGUUAAUGGGAAUCUCCAUUUUGGGGGGAAUUAACUUGUAACAUGUUUUUAGUGGUCAAAUCCAAGAAUCAGACUUAAGUUGGGCUGGACUCCCACUUUUCAUGGCCUGUGGCUUGACUUUCAAGCACUGAUAACUGGACUUGGACUCGGACUCUAGCAUUUACCCCAUCAGGGGUUUGGAUCAAAUUUGAUGACGCGCCCAAAACAUGGCGGUGUAUGGCAUGGAGAUCCGUACGACCUGACCCAUUAUGACUCGACCCAGAUCGCUGCUACAGAGACACACAGGGGGGGCACGCAAGCAGAGUCAUGGCCCUUUUUGGAAAUGGAGUCUGUUUUGGUCAUUUUACUGUUGGACCACAACCUGUAACUGUUUUUGAUCAUUUAUUAGUUGUUAUUAUUAGUUUGAAUAAAGUGGUUCUACUGGGGCUGUCAGGAUGAUCAAAGGGGUCUUAAAGGGAUAUUCCGGCGUAAGUUUAAGUCAUGGUCAAACACACUGAUGAGCCCUGACCAAUCGAACACCGAGUGCAGUGGAAAAUUUAUGAUUAUUACUUGGUGGAAAUGCAAUCAGACCAAGACGCUAAGGCAGAAGAACUACCGCAUCUGCAGUACACAUACGAGAUACACAAAAACUCUGAUUGCAUUUCUAUGAAGUGAUGAUCAAAAAUUUUCUUCCUUGAGCUGCGGAACUCCGCUGCAAUCAGUGAUCGACUCGUCAGGGCUCCCCCACAAACAAGUGGCUGCUGGAGGAGAGUAGGUGAGUUGUGUUUGGUCUCUCUGCUAAAGAGAUGUUUCAUGGUGAGUACUAUGGCUGGGACCCUAUACGUACUGUUGAUGAAGUUAGGUGCUGUUCUGAGCAUUGUUUGUGGCUAUACAUUUUAUAUUAUCGUAAUAUUUGCGGCCUUUAGGUUGUGGUUUGCACAUGGAGACAUAGACCGCUGUGUAUUGCUAUCGUGCGGCUGUUACUCAAGUUGGAAUAACUAGAGAAGCAAGCAGUCUGCAACAUUCACCUCUCAAGGGGAUGGUCUAACUCGGUGAUACGGUGUGUUUGACCAUGACUUAAACUUACGCCGGAAUAUCAUUUUAAGGGGUCCCAAAUUGAGAGUGGAAUAAUUAGUGUCCACUAAUAUAAUUGUGUCUUAAAGUAAGACAGUAUAUGACAGUAUAGACAAUAGUACUCUAGUUCAGUUUUCUAACGAGGAGAGCGAAAGUUCACCUUUACAUGAAGCCAAGAAGUGUGUUUUUCUCUCCACAUAUUUUUCUUCAUUACCUUAUAUAUUACACCACAGCAGCUUAGUGGACUCUGUUUUGUUAUAAUAAUAGCAGCUAUGGUACAUGGAGGUACAAGGUUCAAGCAUAGAUGAGCAGUGGGCUGCUUACAGUAUAUAACUUAAGGCUUCUUAUCACAGCUACCCCAGCAGCCACAAAACCCUUUCACACCCUUUUCCCACAUUCAGCACUCCCUGUCUCCUGUGAGCAGACUUUGAUGCGUAUCAGUGUGUCCUCCCUUUCAAAGCAUCAUACAUGUGGCUUUCAUGAUCAUGAGCAAACACGUGUUUACACCGGGCUUAUGUUGCUGUCUUACAAAUAUGUUGAAUGUAUUUUCUUUCCCAUUUAUUAGAAUAUGUUAAUUAGUGCCUUGAACACAUUCAUGUUUGCGGUUUGUUUUUUCUUCCACGGUCUUACAUGCUGUAGGUAAUCCGUACUACAACAGCUGCUGGUUGCCUAAUGACCACACAUCUUUGUAGGGCGCUUUACAAAAAAAUGUUCCUGCUUCUAAAUGUAAUGAGGUCAGUGAAGUCGUCUCUUAAAAACCUGGACUGAUAUUACAUAUGCAGUCAUGCCUCUUUUGUCUGUUGUUCUUUCAGCCUCAUCAGUGUCCCCUGUCCUCCACUUGUCCUAAUUGCUCUCCAUAAUAGCUUUUAAGCUAUCCAACGUGCUCAUCUGGUCCUCCCCAAAUCCCCCCUCUCAUAUGACCAUCCUGUGGUCAAAUGAAUACUGUGGGUCCCAACCCACACAAGUGUUACUAUUGAUUGCUUGUUAUUCCAAUGAUCUAAGACAUUAAUUCUCUUGUUACUGCCAUCAAGUCAUUCUUGAUUUGGGAAUCUGCUAGUUCCCUAAAAUACAAGAAUAAACCCUGAAGUGUUAGCUAAAGUUGUAAUGAGAUGCAAGGUGGGCAUUUGAAGGCAGGUGGUGUAUUAAAAACCACAUGGAGGAAGGGCAUUUGGGACAGGCAAGCUGGCAGUGAUAACGAGGGAACAGCAAGAAACAAGAGGGGUGUUAGUGGCAGGUCGAGGAGCUCAGAGGCUGGGGACUGAAGAGGGUUUUUUAAUCAGGGUGUGUGCAAAAUAAACAGAAAUUAAAUUUGGGCUCUACAAAAUAUUAACUUGUGCUUCAAACUGUGGUUAAAAAAAAUAGAAAAAGAAAAAAGUUUUGGAUGAGCUUGUUAUGGUUUGAUAAAUCUACCCUUUUUUUUCUGUGAAUUUCUAUCCUCAUUAUUGUUAAGAGACAAAAUAAGAGUAAUUUGGCUAAUUGCUUGAAAAAAAGUAGCCAGUACUCAAAGAAAAGGUAAUCCUAGUAAAUAAAAUCUUGGUAAAUAUUUUUUUUCUUACAACUUAGCAAAGAUUACACCAGUUACAGGCAUUAAAAAUUACAAUAUAGAAAUAGCAAAUCUUGUUAUUAAUGGUCUCAUUGGCUUUUGUACUUGACAAAAAAAGUUUGAGUAUGAGUUUCAGUCUACUUCAUUAAAACUUUUCCCAGGAGCUUUAAGAAAAAGAUGGUUAGGAAAAAAAGGGUGGUUUGGGUAACAAGAAGUUCUUCAGAAAUCAAAUGACCUAAUAUAAUGAAUCCAAAGUUUUAUCUUUGAUACUCAAAAAGAAGCUUUUGAAUAUCACCCCCGUGUGUGCUCUCUCAGCCUCUCUCAAAGGACUCAGCACCACGAUGAAGAACAUUGUUUUUUUUUUUAAUACAACAUGUUGAGAUGAAGGAAAAAAAUCAUCAUGUAAGGAGCUCCUGGACCCACCCUGUUUAUGACCUCCUAUGGGAGGGCUUGGUUUAAUUUUUGCCCACUUAAGCCUUUAGGAAACCCAACACUUGCUAUAAGUUUUACCCUGUCCUCUGGAUGAAAGCCCUGCGUUCAUUUGAGACAUCGGUUACCCUUAAAUACCACCCUGAGUAUGCUUUCACAAUCACCCUCACAGGACUUCAUUAAAGAACCAAGAACUUUUAGAGGAGAACCUACAGUAUCAUACUGUAAAGUUCUAGGCCAACAACCCAGCUGCUACUGCAUUUGACAAGUUUUCUGUCACAACUUUAGUGUGGAGUACACAAAAUCACAAAAGUCCUGUUAGGUAAAGGUAAAGGUCCGGAGAUUUUACCAAGCCGGUCAAAGACUGGUCUGUCUGUCUUUCUUUCUUUCUUUCUCUUUAUAUAUAUAUAUAUAUAUAUAUAUAUAUAUAUAUAUAUAUAUAUAUAUAUGUGUGUGUGUGUGUGUGUGUAUAUAUAUAUGUAUAUAUAUAUAUAUAUAUAUAUAUAUAUAUAUAAAUAUAUAUAUAUAUUAGGGAUGCACGAUAUUUAUCGGACCGAUAAAAUAUCGGCCGAUUUGGGGGAAAAUUACGUCAUUUUUUAUCGGUCCGAUAGGUGCAUUUUUCCGAUAGAAAGAUCCGAUAUAUUAAUGAAAUUACGAGUAACGUUUGCAGGCGGAGUAGCCGCCCGUCCGAGACGCGCUGGUUACGUCAUCUAUCGCGCCUUACUCGCAGGUCCCAAGCCUGACCCCGUCACUAUCUGACAGAUAAUAAAAUGUCUUCACCAGCAUGGUCGUUUUUCUCAGUGGCAGAAGAUGACAACAGCAUUGCUAUAUGCAAAACCUGUUCAGCGAGGAUUCCGAGAGGAGGAAAGAAGACGUCGAGUUUUAACACAACGAAUGUGAUAGCUCAUCUGAGAAGUCGCCAUCGCGGCGAAGCGGUAGUAAAAGAAUAUGAGACAGCCGCCGAAGCUGCUAGCGGUACUAAAGCUAAGACAACAACACUACGGAGGAUCGAUGUCCCCAUUCAGCAGGCGUUUAAAAACUGCAAAAGCUUCUCAAGAGACAGCGAAAAGGCUAAAGCCAUUAACGACAAAGUGAUGGAGUUCAUAGCGGUCGACGACCAGCCUUUUUCCGUCGUUGAGAACCCGGGUUUAAUAGCACACUUGGAGCCACGUUACACUCUCCCAAUCCGCCGCUUCUUCUCGGAUGUGUGUCUUCCUGCACUCUAUGAUAUUGUCGCCACAUACAUUCACAACCUGAUCGACAAGAACGGACUACACGUGAGUUUUACCACAGACAUAUGGACGUCAGAUGUUAGUCCGGUCAGCGUGCUAAGCCUAACGUCUCAUAAUAGCUCCUUUACAGUUUACAGUUCUGUUGAACAGUUCAGGGGAUCAAAUGAAGCUCUGCUUUUUGCUCUGUUAUUGUUAUUUAUAUCAAAUGACCACAUUUGAAGAGCCAAAAACUUUUGUUUGUUGUUCUAGAUAGGCCAGAGCAACAAAAACAUCAGUUUUCAAUCGCUGCAUCCUGCUCAAAUUGCAGAUUAUAUGAAGAUUAUAAUAAAUGUAAAAAUAUGAAUUUAUCGGUUAUCGGUAUCGGCCAUGAGAAGAAGAAAAUUAUCGGUUAUCGGUAUCGGUUGAAAUUUUUCAUAUCGUGCAUCACUAAUAUAUAUAUAUAUUUAUAUAUAUAUGUAUAUAUACAUAUAUAUGUAUAUAUAUAUAUAUAUAUAUAUAUAUAUAUAUACAUAUAUAUAUAUAUAUAUAUAUAUAUAUAUAUAUAUAUAUAUAUAUAUACAUAUAUGUAUAUAGAUAGAUAUAGCACUUUUCAUACAUGACCAUGUAGCGCUAAGUGCUUUACUCAGAAAAAGGAAUACAAGAAACAAAGAAUACCCGAAUCUACCCCAGCCCAACCCCUCCUCCCAUCCUACGAUCUCAACACAACAGACCCAGUAUUAAAAUGCAUGCUUAAAUGCUUAAAAAGGGCUUGACUUCGUGGAAACAGUAUGUGUGCACUGAGCAAGCGCCAUUUUAAAACUCAAGAUAAGGAAACACUGGAGGUUUAGGUUAAAAUCUAAAGUAACAUAGAAUAAAAUUUUUGAAAUAAUAGAUAAAAUGAAAUAUAAACAACAGUAAAAGAUACUAAAAUAAGAGCACCAAAAUAGCUCAAUAAGAGACUAUCCUGUCAUUAAAACUAGAAAGAGAUCAAUGCUUAAACACUUAAACAUGUAAAAUUUAGUUAAACACAAGACUAAAAAGGUACGUUUAGCAGCACGUGGAGCUAAUGUUCAUUUAAUGAGCUUGUAGCAACAGUUAAUAACAUUUUCCAGCAACAGCUGUCAUCUAACAAGAUAAACUGACUGUUGGCUUUUAAAGAUAAGAGGCAUGAUUGCUUUUUCUGAAACUGAGGACCUGCUCAAAACAUUGCUUUGUUCGAGUGAAACUAGAAAAUAAAAAAACACAAACAAUGCAGUCUUAUAAGAAUUUACCUUGCAAUCUAAAAUACAAUAUCAAUUCUAUCCUUUAAAAUUCCCUGAAAAAAAAAGGAAACACAUCUAGCUCAGUGUGAGGACUUUCAAAUCAAUAUAUUUCUGCAGUAGAGAUUUAGUGGUUUUGUCAUACUCCUCUGAGAUUUCAGGACAAAUGAAUGUGGAAAUCUCUCCCAUUAGGGCCACACUGAUAUGUUCUGCCAGAAAUCUGGGAAAGAAACCGAACACUCACUAGAGAUACGGACAGAGCAAUGUGACAGGAGGCACUGGUUGUACCAAUUCUUUGAGAAGCAGGGAUUGUGCCCCAGCGCUAGUUCUGGGAUUACCAGGGAGAACUUAACAUAUCUAAUAACAUCCACAGGGGAGAAUGAUGUUGUUGACACUGCUGCAGAUGAAUAUGGAGAUGAUAAAAUUAUCUCUCUAGGGUUCUAGAUUGUGAAUUUGAAUUGCAAAAGCUAAUGUUAAUAAGCACUCCAAUGGAAAAGCUAACGAGCUUUAACUACAUGAGACGGAAGUUGGGUUGGGUGGCUCGGCUACACUCACCCAGAAUAGACAAGACGCUGAGUGAAAGCUCUUUGUGAAAAUAAAACACUCUUACUUAUUCUGAUUUCAUCCACAGCGUGCCCCCUCCUCCAGCUCUGGAUUUAAUCAUUAUUCUGGCUACAAAAACAGCUUACCCACUGUUUAAUAGGUUUCAAUAUUGGCUAAUAAAAUGCAGAGCAAAUAAAUGAUGUUUUAUGAGCACCAUGGUGUCCAUCAGGCCAACUGUAAUCAAAUUGUUAAACUAUUCCUUUUCCUCCUCGGCAGUAUUACUCUUCCGCGGUCAUGAUGUUUAACAGCUAUUUGUAGCAGAGCAGAAUGUGCUCCUGUACAUAAAAACAUGAAUAUUUUUGAUUGGUAGAUGCUGUUGCCAGACUGCAAAGUUGGAUGCAGACACAAAGUGCAACAUGCAGACAUUCCUCUUAACUUUGAUCAAAUAUUUGCUCGCCUUCCUCCCACAGCACAUUUCCUUUGUAUCAUUGCCCAGAGGUUACUUCUGAUCAGAUUUGUUUUGCAUAAAUGUGUACCAACAUUGCUGCUUCCUUGAUUUCGCAGUAUGAGUGCUGUCUCUGUCUCUGCUAAUAACGGCAUGUCUCUUAUAAACAACCACUAAUAUGUUAAAUAUGGAAAACAGUUUCACUCCUUGUGUCUGACUGUCUCUGCAGAGCAUGUCCUCAUCCCACAUCAUAUGUGUUAAUGAUGUGCCAAAUGGAAUCGAUUAGCACAAUUUAUAGCCAGUUGACAGGCUCAUAUGGGUAAUAUUUAUUCAUAUGUGUUUAGGCUGGAUUAAGACUUGAUUAAAAGAAAAUAUGAAUCCACCAUCAAGCUGUUUGGACAAAUGAAUUGGGCCAAAAAAUAUGCCUGAAUAUCUGGAGAACAUUGCAAUAUUUCUAUGAAUAUCUACGAUCAGCAAUACCUCAUGUGUUUCAUUAGCGUCGGUGUUGUUAAGCAGCUACAGAGCUUAAAAGUUGUGAUGUUGUUUUCCUAAACCUUCCCAAAACCAAAUAUCCCUCAUAAAAAGACACAAAGAUGGAUUAAAAGGUGUUUUCAUCCCCAAGCUGCAGUCAUUAGCACGCCUUGAUAAUUUGUACAUAACCACACUUGUCUUCCAAAAGCAUUUCAUUAACUUUGUGAUCUUCCCUAAAAAAAGAUCUGUUUACAUGAGCAGGUAGGUCGUGUGGUGGCCCUGCAGCAGUGACUAAACACUUCCCGCUCCUACUAAUUCAAGGAGAAUUCUGUUUGUUAAACCCUUUGGCGAGUUGACUCCACCCCUUCCUCGACUCUUCAGUCUUUUUAUCUAUCUCUAAAUGAAACGUUAUUCAUUAAAAGCUCAUCACUUCAAUAGAAACACAUACCUGUGCUUUUUUCUUUUGUAACAUAGAGUCUUACCAAGAAAACCUGAUGUUUAGAGAUGAAGCCAAGUGCAAAACACUGCAGCAUUUAAGGUCCUUACACACCAGGUGCGAAUUCACCAAGCGAAUUAUUCGCUUUUUUUAAAACAGCAUAAAGUCAAUGCAAGCUUCCACACCAGCAGCGAUUUUUCCGCGGGGAGAAAAGUGUUUAUUUUUUCGCUCUUGUGUCGAAUUUUUCAGAGAUUCUGGACCUGCUAGACCUCUGGCCAAUUAAAAGUCAUGUUGUUGAUGACAUCACAGACCCAUGCGGCUGCAGUUCACAUGACACACACCACCACUGGCACCAAGAGCAAUGAUGGGAGAGAGGCUGGUAAUUGCGGUACAGGACCACCCCGCGUUGUGGGACAAGUACCAAAGACAAUAUAUAUUUAUUAAUUCGCUUUGCAAAAUUUAUACGCAUAUUCGUUUUGCGCCCGGUGUGUAUAGGCAAAAGCGAUUUUUCAGACCAGCGAAUAUUUUCGCAUUUUCGUCUCGCUUUUUCGCUUCGCUCCGCAAAUUCUCUGGUGUGUAAGGACCUCUAGACAUGUGGUGGGCUGAGAAACCAGUCAGUCAGAUUUUGUUCCAUUUUAUUUCUUUAUUCACACUGUAGGGGGAAGGUUUUUUUUUUUUUUUUUUCCAUUUCACAAUGCAUCAGUUAAGAUCAAAUAAAAUAUAAAAUAGAGGUUGGGUGUUGCACAAAAAAUUGCACAAUUGAGGGCAUGGCUUCACUGACUGAUAGACUGACAGACUGCCUCCUCAUGGAUGUCAGAAUAAACGGGAAAGUGAAGAGAGGAGAAAGAAAGAAAGAAAAUGCACUUAAAGAUGGUGUUGGUCCUUUGUUAAGACAAAACCAUGUCCAUUAAGUGUUUUUUUCAGUCCAUACAUUACAUGAUAAAAGUCCUUCGGAUUCCUGAGUGACAGCAGUCGUUGUGUCAGAGCCCAGAGAGGAAAUGAUUCUCCUUUUGCACCUCUGUCUGAAUACAAAGACCCUGUUUAAAAAUCAAUAACAAGAAUCUGAGUGUUAAACCAGCCCAGUGUUACUAUAACUAAAUGUGGUGUGUGAGGACAAAAAGGCUGUGAGGCGCCUCUCAGCAGCUGGUACAGUAAGUCAAGACGGUUUUAUCAGCAGUAAAAACCGGAACAAAUAUAGAGAUGUCUAGAGUCUGGUUUGACCCUGCAUCACACUAACAUGAUCAUUCUUUUGAAAAUUUUCACAUUUUCAUGGUACAGGCGGUUGUUUCUAUUAUCUGAGAAACAGCAAAAUGUCUUUCUUUCUGUAGGCGGACAAUAUAUAAAGGCCUUAUGCCAAUUCUCUGUAAACUGGACUGUUUUGUUGAAAAAAUCCCACGCACAGUGUAUGCUUCUACAUGCAGGCAGGCAGGCAGGCAGGCACUGUAAUACUGGCUCUUCUAACAGGGGACUGAUCAGGAGGUCAGCGCAAGAUGGAAAGCAUUUCUCAGAUAAUUAUGAAGAAGCUCUUAUUUUAGAUACUGUCUGCUUUAGCUCACAAAGACAUGGAAAAGCUGCCAUGACUUGUUAAAUAAAAUUAACAACUAUAUUUAUUUUAACAUAGAACCAAAUGAAUGUUCAUUUUUAUUCAAUAAUAUGAAGAAAGGCUUAAAAAUAUCUAAAUUUCCAUCUCUUAGUUCCUCUUGGUUUUAGAAUUAGAACGAAGACAAUGUUAUUGCCAAUGACAUGUUUCUACAAGGUGAGGGUAAAAAAGCUUAAUUUUUCACCAUUUGCUGUUUCUUUUAGAUGCUCAACAUUUUCUUUUUCUUUUUUCUCUGGCUAUGUUGUGUUUACUGAGAGUACUCUGCCACACACACACAAGAAUCAAGACUGUUUGCUGAAGUUCAUCAGAUCAAAAAAGAGCAUUUUGUAUUCAUUUAGAGAUAGAUAAAAAUAAGCACUGUUUUUCAAUUAAGUUUUCAAAAAUGAAAGUUAAAUUGGUUACUGGGAUGGAGACCUGGUGUUGUUUACCUUAAUUCAACUGUGUUUCCCAUGAUUAGUAUAGCGUAGAUCAAUGAGAGAGACUGAUACAGCUUAACUAGUUCACUGCAGUAUAAGCCACGUUGCUACUAUAUGUAUCUAAGAUACCUAUAACUUCUGCAAAGUGAGUCAUUAAAGUAAAGUGAAUUACUUUUACAAAUGAGUUUUUACAGUAACUUUCCCCAGCAGUGUUAAAGAUGCCGUAAUGUCAGUAAUUCAUCACUAUAGAUCCAGUUCCAGCUGAUGUACCGUACCUGGUAAGUGGUCCAUGCUAGUGAUUAGUGCUAGAUUAAUUUCUUGUCCUUUGGUGUGAAGCAGAUCCAUUUACACUGAUUUAGAAAAGGGCUAGCAGUAGAUACUCACUGCGGUGCUAUUGGCAGCUAGCUAGAUGGUCAUUACUAAUCUAAAGGCACCCAGGAGAGCGAGAAGGGAGCGGAGGGGUGUGAGUGUUUCUGCAUGAAGCAUGCAUGCAUGUGUACGUGUAUGUGUAUAGAGGGUAGAGAGGUUGAGGCAUUUCAGUGGGGUCAUGCUCAUAAUAUGUGGGGGUCAACUGCAAAGAUCAGCUGAGGUCAACUCUGUAAUGGGAGCCAUUUUUCAUAAAGCGCAUUUCUCAUCCCCGUCUCUGAGGUGAGGGCGAGAGUGAAGUAGUGAACUGCAGGAAAUGGCAUUUCAAUGUGCGUAACCUCUCCCCUUCCAACGUCCCCUCUUGACGGGAAAUGGCAGGUCCUUCUCAUCUCUCUCAGGCGGGCUCGUAUAUCACUCACAGCACUUGCCCACCUCUCCAUCCCGUGAGACGCAGGCCUCAGAGAGCCAGAGGAAGAGCUGGAGUGAUGCGGGUGGACGGCUCUUCAAUCUAGCAGCUACUCAACAAUCAGCAACACAUCUAUCACCAGGCCUCAAAGUAAUUUUGAACCCCCUGACAUACAUACACGUGUAUCCUCAGCCUGUGAUACAGAUGGAUUGUAGUUGACAGGCACCGAGCUGCCUUGAACAUUUAAAAAGGCAUAUCAAGUCCCUUUAUGGUGAGUAAGUCCAGCACAUAGCGGCUGAGAUGAGAAGGAGGGAGACUGCAGUGUGGUAAUCCUCUGAAAAGCAAGAAGGUGCGGCCACUUGGUGGCACUAGCAGCCAAAAUCAAUGAGAAAAAACAGACGGGAGCAUGUCUGAAUAAAACAAACAGAACUGUGUGAAUAUUCCAUUUUCAUAAAACGGCAUCAGCAAUGAAUCUUCUCAACUGCAGGCAUAGGAAUUUCAUGUGCUGUAAACAUUGUGCUAAAGAUGAACAUUUUCUAUUCGGGGGCAGCUGUGAGAGCAGGAAGGGCUGCCAAACACUCUGUGGUGUGAGCCGGACAGUGAGCCCACGCACAGAGCUAUACACGUGUAGUGUGAAUGCCAGAGAUCCUUCACCAUCAGGCUGUUGUUAUUAGUACUACAUGUCACUGACCAGAGAGCAGCCGGUUAACUGAGGAUAUUAUUCAGGAAAUGCAAGACACUGAAAAGAAAACCUCUUCAAGUAGCUCUCCCACCUCUAAAAGAUGACUCUGUUAUUUGGACAGUUAUUAACACACAUCUGCAGAUGAUUUUUAAGCUAUUCAUCUCACUAGCUCUAUUACUUUAUUUAGUUGUUCCAAUGCAAGCAACCAAAUGCAUCAACUUUCAAUGGAGCAUAACAUUUUUUCCCCAGAUAAAUCUUUUCUACAACCACUUUCUGACAUCUUACCGAUCAAGCAAUCAGAGGAUCAAUCAAAGAGCAUCAAUAAUUAAUGUUUGAGUCACUGUUCAGGGCAUAUAUGCUUUAUGCAAUCUUGCAUGUCCACUCAAUAUUAUUGCUAAAUUUGUCUGCUAUAUUUAUGGGACAGCUGAGUUGCAGUGCUUGCAGUACCGUAUCACUGCAGCCUACAUGUACUUGGAUGCCUUACGCACCAGCAGUGGUGAUCUCUACCUGCAUUUCUGCAGCUCUUGCUUUGGCUGAAUCAACACUGCUAAGUAUUGGGAGUUUUUGCAAGAAACACUUAGAAAUCUAAUUGCACUUUGAAUUGUAGGGCUACUUGAAAUAAUGGCACUACUGGAUGGAAGGAAAGAAAUUGUCAGUAGCUGCGUUUACAUGGGCACAAAUAAUCGGAAAAAAAAGUGUCAUCUAAACAUGUAGAUUGGAAGAUUUUGAUCCAAUUUGGCUUAAUUGAAAAUAAAUUGUAUUCUGAUCGAGAGGGGUGGUUUAUGUCGAUCGUUAUUCCGAAAUGCGUCCAUGUAAACACUUAUUCUGAUCGUGUCUCUAUUACUUGACCCGAUCUUUACUUUUUAGCCUUUGGCUUAUUUAUUGAGGCUAGUACAGGCUAAAACACAACAGAUGUUGUGUCUGCUCCUCUGGUAAAAUAACAAGGCAUACAUACAGUGUAAUGUAUCUAUCUAUAUAAUAUAAUCUCUUCUGUAAAUAGUAGAUGACUUUUAGAUUGACAUGACAAAUGAAAUGACAGACAAUUGAAUUUCCCUUUAGGGAUCAAUUAAGUUAUUCUUAUUCUUAAUGAUGUCACAUCUGCAAUCUUUGACAGAACAGUAAAAUAAGUACACAAGGGCGCUAUCUAGUGACAACAUUUAACGGGGAAAACUCCUGAAUUGGAUGGCGUGAACCACUACAGUGUUUGUCGGUUUGUUGACAGCAGCACAGGCGUAAAUACAACUCUUCUUCUGCGGUUGUUUUUGCGAAAUCAGACACCUCUGUGCAUGUCCAAAUGCUUCAAAUCAGAAUAAAGCUCGGUGCAUGUAUACGCACGUCAUGAUCCGAUUAUUUGAUUUUGCAUCCCUAUAAACAGUGGAUUUAGAUUAUCCGAUCCCUCAAUUUUUUAAUCGGAUCAAUUAAAUUUUUCCCAUCAACAUCUAUCAACAGCAUGCUAAAUUAAAUCGAUAAGGUUUUAUGUUGAUCAUGGUGGAAGCUGGUGGGGAGGUAGUGGAGCUGCUAAAGCAGUGCGACAGCACUGUAAGACUGCAGGAAAAAACUAAUCUUAAGAAAAACCAUGCCCAAGAACCAGAAAAAAGACAAUAUUUGUCAUAAUGUGGUUCCUCUGCAGCCAGUGUUCAGGCUUGUAAUCCAUUUAAGCAAUCACUUAUGACAAUUUUCAGAGUCAGAGGAAUUCAUCCACACAGCUGUCUGUAGAUCUGAUACUGCAAUUACUAAUGUUUCAUCCUGAAUUUCACAUCGUCGCUGUAAUAACUGACACUCUGUUCAGCAAUGUCACAAGCAUUUAAGGACAUUUUAAAAACAGAAAAGCCUUGUUCGCUUUGGGAAGAAGGUAAUGAAUUAUAAGAGUAUGUUUUCAUGACAUUGCUCUGUGUCUCCAAUAUUGUAGCAGGAUGCAGCUCAUUCUGUCCUGGUAAUUAGUCGGAAGCUAUUCCUCUUUAUAAAUAUUAAUUUUCUUUCUUUGCCAAAGCCUGAGGCGCCCACACAGGUGUUUUGUAAGGAGCUACGGAGGACAACUGGCUAACUGCAGCAUGCAGCAACAGGAAGUUGUUAUAAUGACUGUUGUCCCCAGUGCACCCUGGGUAAUAAUCAGCACUCGUUUGUCAUAAUAGCAGGUAAAUACUUAGGCACGGCACGGUAGUCCUCACAGUGGGACACUGGAAGCAGCAGCAGUCCACAGUCAUUUUUAAUGUAUUUUUAUAAAGUGAGCAGGCGCAUAGGUAGCUCUCUGGAGCUUGUUAGUGUUUACAAAACAGUAGAAUGAAAAGGGCAAGUCAUGGCAGUAGAGCAAAAGCCAGAUUCAAACCUGAGGUCGAAGUAUACGCAUGGGUACAUGAACGUAGUCAACCGACAAGGGUCUGUAUGAAUUAUUUAUAGGGCAGGUUAUAGACGUGUUUACAGCUCUCCUUUCCUUGAUUGCAUGUUGAGGGAAAAAGAAUCAAUGAUGCCAUAUUUAGAGCAUCAUAAUUUAAUAUGAGACAAAGUCAGCUUGCUUUGCUGAGAGGGGUCGUUUUAGCAGGGCCUUUGCUAGCUGGUUGUGAAAUGUACAAAGCAAAAGCCCGAGGCUGAGUUUCUCUUUUGUGUUUGCCAUCUGAGUGAAGAAACUCUGAGAUAAGACAAAUGGUUCAAAUGACCUUUGAAAAGAUCACCAUCCCUCAGUUUGCCUGAGAGAGGGAAAGUAAGAAGCAGAGAGAGGAUAGUGAGGGGGGCUAUUUCUAUAAAGUGAGGGAUAAAAGUGGAUUCCAGCGCGUGUGAGCGUAUGCCCUAACCCCCUCCCCCUGCUUCCAACGCUUUCUGCUCCAUUUACAGAAGCUAAGUUUAUUUGUCUCUGUCCAGGACUCACUAGGAGCAGCAUACCCGAGCAGAAGAGGGAGAAGUGGUUCGACUGUGAGUUUGAGACUGAUCAACUCACAGCCACUCAGAUUUUCCUCCAUUAGUGGUAACACUUGACUUGAUGCCUAUCUCUAAAAAAAAUAUUAAAUAUAUGUAUAAUGAGUUAUAAUGAUGUUAUAGCACUGUAUAGCUAUAGUUAUUAACACUCAUAAAUGAUCAUAAUGCUUUAUAGCCUUAGAAUAAUUAAUGAGUGUUUAUAAUGAUAUUUAGUUUAUAGUUUAUAAGCAAAUCAUAACACAUCAUAAAUAUAUUUAUAAUGUAUUAUCUUUGUGGGCAUUGUCAGUGAGUUGUUAACAGUUAUAACACAUUAUAAUACCUGACCUUGUAAGUCAUGGUAAAAUGCAUUAUAAUGUGUUAUGAUUAUUGCCAUUAAGCAUUACGAUCAUUUAUGAGUGUUAAUAACUAUAAAUAUACAGUGCUUUAAUGUGAUUAUAACGCUUUAUAAAUAUAUUUCUAAUGUGUUAUAGAGAUAGGCGUCGAGUAAAGUGUUACCCUUCGUUUUAAUGGAGAACUUCAGUUUUGUCACUACAGAGGUGCACCAUCCUGCCAGAUAUUUGCACCUUUUACGGUCCUCAUAACAGUUUCUGCCCAAGAAUGCUAACACCAGAGCUUGCUUUUUUCUAUUUUUGUUUUGUAAAAGUUGUGUACAGGAGGGAAAUUUACCAUUAAUGUGCAAUCAUAGUUAAGGAUUUGCAAAUAUCAAGUGAUUUUCUCAAAUUAAGACAAAAUCGCAGAUGUGUCUGGAAGGAAUCAAAGAAUCAAAAUACAGACAAUGAGAAAAAAAGGAAAAGUUGUGCAAGUUUAAAGUCAGGUGAUAAUUUAAAAGCUUGGGUGGAGGACCACAAUCCAAACCUCAAACUGGAAAAGCAGCACAGUCUCAAGUAAAAUCAAAUGUCUUAGUAAUUUAUGAUUAUUUAAGUUAAUAGAAAAAACUGCUCUUACUUUGCAUCACAUUCAUAAUCCCCUUUUCAAAAUAAUUUUAGACAGCUUGAUAUCAUACUUCUCCUAGAGGCUGUUUUUUCUUGCCGUCAUUAUUGCUAGUUGCCUAAAAUUGAAGGGUUUACCAUACAAAUUAUUCUAAUUCUACUGCAGCACUCACUGCUGGGUAAGUGCAUUAGCUAAACGCUGAUUCGUGUCGAAUAUGCAACAGCAACAACAACAGGGUGUUUCCUGGCUCAACAAAAUUAAAAUGUUGAACGAGUAAUGCCUUCACAUCAUGUAACCUAUUAAAUUUGUCGGUGUGUGUGAGGAGGGAACAGGAGGAGGAGAUAGAGUCCAACAGCAACAUCGCUGUGUCCCAAUUAGCAAUGCAGCGCUUAGAAUGGGUCUUUAACCUUAGCAGAGCUUAAUCAUGUAAUUAACGAGAAGGGGGAAACUGCAUGUCUAAUGGUACCCUCCUGCUAGAAAUAUUCCCUCCAAAACAGUGUCUAGACUCCACAUUCUCUCAGAGGAAGACAUCAUUUGUGACCUUUAAGACAAGAAGAGAGUUUGCUACAGGAUGCAUUAGUCCUUAUUUGACGGGCCUGGUUUUAAAUUAGCGUCUUAUUGUUAUUCUAUGCAUGUGCUUGCGUGCAUACAUAUGUGGCUGUGUGUUGAUUAUAAAACCGGUACCACAGAGUUUGUGUUUCUGUGUGUUUUUGCAUAUUAAACACUGUCAGGACUUCACAUACAGGGUCUCUGCUGAUGGCUGAUUACCCACUGCUGGCAUUUAAGAGUCUCAGGACCGCAGGCUCUUCCACUUGGACAUGCCACACAUCAGGCUCACUGAGUGGUUAUUUACUACAGCCUUGCUUUAAUUGCUUAUCAAAUUAUUGGCUUAAUGAUAAGGCACGGGAGAUUGAAAGGGACAUAUGGAUUCGGACAGUAGCCAUCAAACGCUGCCCACCACAUUGUGGUUUUGCAUCUGCAGUGUCUAUUAGCCAAACAAGCUGAGGCCUAUUUAGCAGCAAUCAGCAGAAGCACGGUGGAAGAUAAAAAUCAGGCGUGGGCAUUAUUUUCCCUUCAGCCUUCAAGAGUGACAGGCCUAUUAUGCAGUGCAUGGAAUUUAUGAGAUGAUCAUCUUUGAUGGCCUGGAUGUCCGUCUUUGGCUGUAAUGUUUUCUAUGGUAAUGAUGCUUCCCCUCUGCCUUAAACCACAAAACCUCCAUCCUUCUCGUGACUCCGUCUCUGGGCUGAAAAGUGAUUGUUGACGGCUCCAUUAAGGGCUGAAAAAAUAUUUUCUUUUCCCUCCACCUCCUUCCACCCACUCAGAAGCUUUAUAUUCACUCGUCAACUAAGCUUAUUUAUGUCGUCUUCUUCAAGGCGGGGAAGCAUCACGUUUGAACUUGUCGCUUUGAUGGGGACGGGGCUGAUUUGAAACGACCUUGAUGCAACUUCUGCACAUGGGGGAUGUAAUGUCUCCAUGGGAUUGUAGAGGGAAUCAAAAGCUGUGGCAUGGAACAGUGCGCACUGUUGUUUGUUGGUUAUUAUGGCUGCCCUAUAACCAAGCCACAAAUCUCACAUCCAUCAGAGGUGUAAAACCAUCACAUCUGUCUCAUGAAAAAACAGUUAGGUUGUGAAAGAUUUAUACGAAGACAUCAGCGUUAUCAUAUACCUUUAAGGAGAACUGCUUAUGGGCGUGACCUCACAACACAUUUAUUUUCAUCCAAAAAAACCUACAUGUGAUUGAGGCUCGAUUUGAGUGGCUGAAAGCCUCCCUAAAGUCCCAACAAGAACAAAAGACCACUGGCAGCAUACGAUGUCAGUCAGUUUGAUCAUCCUGUAGCUGCAUAAGCAAAUGAAAUGAAUACAUAAGCUAAAGAUUUGGCCUGCAAAAUGUACUUGCUUGUCAAAUGUACCCCUGAGACUGUCUGUGCUGGUGUUGGAUGCCUGUUUGAUGACAUGUGCAGCAGCUUAAUCAUAACACAUUGAUUACAUGUCUCUUAGUAAUAGAUAAGUGAUCUGUUCUAUUUGACUCCAUGAGCAGGUACAGAAUAAGCUGUCGAUUAAUUAACUCAAAAAUACUUUAUUAAUAAUAGUGCAUGUUAAUUUAUGACAAAACCUAGAGUUAGCAUGCAUAGAAUUGGCCUUAAAGGGAUAUUCCGGUGUAAAAUUGAUUAAGGUUCAAACACGCUGUAACACUGAGUUAGACACCCCCUCAAGAAAUGAAUGUUACUGACUGCUUGCCUCUCUAGUUAUACCAAUUUUGUAACGACCGCACGAUAGCAAUACACAAUGGUCUAUGGAACCACACACAAACUUCAGACUUUAAGACUCUUCUGUAAAAAGUUAGAUGACUUUUAGAGACAUGACAAAUGAGAUGACAGACAAUUGAAUUUCCCUUUGAGGAUCAAUGAAGUUCUUAUUCUUCUUAAACCUCAACCAAAGAGCCAAUUUAUAACCACAAAUAAUGCUCAGAACAGCACCUAACUUCAUCAACUGUACAAAUAGGGUCCCAGCCGUAGCACCAGCCACCAAACAUUUUUUUAACUUUGCCGAAUUUCUUCAGCAGAGAGACUAAACACAACUCACCUACUCUCCUCCGAGUCCAUGGAAGGAAGAACAUUUAUGAUCAUUUCUUCAUGGAAAUGCAAUCAGACUAAGAAGCUAAGGCAGAAGAACUACCGCGUCUGCAGUGCAAAAUGAUUAAAAUGGUUAUUAUUACUUCAAGGAAAUAAUAAAGUAAUGAUCAUAAAUGUUCUUCCUUGAGCUGUGUCACCCCGCUGUAGUCCGUAAUGGACUGGCCUGAGGUCUCGGGACAAACAAGCGGCUGCUUGAGUGAGUUGUGUUUAGUCUCUUUGCUAAAGAAAUCAGGCAAGUUAAAAGGAUGUUUGGUGGCUAGGAUCCUAUAUGUACUGUCGAUGAAGUUAGGUGCUGUUCUGAGCAUUAUUUGUGGCUAUAGAGUGGCUUUUUGGUUGAGGUUAGUUUAUGGCUCCUCAGACUGCUGUGUAUUGCUAUCCUGCGGUCAUUACUAAAGUUGGUAUAACUAGAGAAGCGGUCGGUAUCAUUCAUCUCUCAAGGGGGGUUGUCUAACUCAGUGUUACCGUGUGUUUGACCCUAAAUUAAUUUUACGCCUGAAUAUCCCUUUAACAUCAAACUUUGACUGCCCUUCAUACCUGCAGAGUUCUUAUUGUUCACAUCUCAAUCUAAUAUCAAUCUGCUCAAGCUCCUGUGAUCUCUCUGCUGAUUUGAUCCUGAGCAAAUGAAAUAAAAGUGGAGUGUACCGAUUAUAAGUCUCACCUAGCUUUGUUUUCAAGAGUAAAAUCCAUCAGUCAUUGUGAAUCUGUGUCUCACAAAAUGAAAUAAAGGUUAUUUCAACAAUUUCAUAGUCUGUCUCCAACCCUGCAGCCGGAGAACAGGCUUUUAAAUAACUCUAAAGUAACUGCUCCUCUUGAUAGUCAUGUUUGCUUUUAUUAGUCAGAUGCAUCAAUACAGACCUCAGAGUCAAGUCUCUGUAGAGUUUGUCUUUAUAUUCUUUUUGAAUGCAGGGUCAGAUCUGGAAAAAAUAAUAGGUGUCAGAAACACAAGAUGAUUUAAUUACAAAAAAAAAGUGUUAUGUUCCCAGUGAGCUUCAUUAGACAGUGAAACCAAACACUUAAGGAGACAUCACGGCUCGAUUUCCAUCUUUGUAUUAUUCAUGGCUGAUGGUAUUGUUUCAGGGACAGUCUGGAAAGUUCAGUCAGUCAGAGGAUAGCAUACAGAGAAUAGCUAAGUUUCCUUUUUGCCUGGUCCCCUGUAUGAAUGGACUUAACUUCCCCAAAGCAAAUCAUUAUCAGCCUUUUGUUCGCCCACAGAUUUUUGUUUCAACCCCUCUUGAAUGAAAUGUUUGUAGCAGAGUUUUUGUUUUGUAAAGUUUGCUCUUGUGUAUUAAAUUAUUUCAAUUUUUGGCACAAACAGCCACAUAAAACCAUCAUCCCCCUGAUAUGAGCAGACUUUGAAGGAUCUGUUAGAAAGUAAGGGAGGAAUAAAUUCAUCACUAAUCCACACUUUCUGACCUGAUGUCAGAACUUUUUGACUUACAAUCCAAUUAUUAGGAGUAUUAGGACCCUAGACUAACAAAACAAAGCAACACUUUCAUCAUCCUGAACAUCAAUCUAAAUCAAACACUUUUUUUUUUUGAGACUCAAACAACGGAGCGAAUAUAAAAUCUGACCUCAGAGAUUUGGAUCUUCUGGCACCUCUUGUUCACGAUGGGAAUCAGAGCAGUAAUUGCUUUGGAGGGCUCCCUGAUCCAUUUACACCAGACUCUUCUUUCCAAAGCUGGAAAUAUACUUUGUAUUUGACACAUGUCCUCUUUUCAUCUCCUCUUAUGUCUGGGUAGUCUUUGUGAUAAAGUUUAUUUGGGAUAGAAGUAGCUUUCGGAGUCUGAGACCCCUGGGUAGGUCUGAUUGAUUUGAAGACAGCAUUAUUUUGUUUUUUUUCCUACCUGGGGCUUUUGUGCUUCUCUGCACUUUUACAAAUCUUUCUGCUAAUAAAAAAGAGGAAAUCUCUGCACAUUAUUUCAGAAAUUCAUAAAACAAAGGCUAACUCAAUAAAAGAAAUUAAUAUCUAGAAAAGAAAACAGCGCCAUAAAAGAACAGCGAGGUAAACGAUCAAUCCUUCCUGUGGAGCUGGGGCUACCUUUUUUCUUGCAGUCUUUGUAAUCAUACCAAACACUGAACAACACAAACACCAAAGAACUAGACACUAUAAACACUCAAAUUGCAAUCCAAUAUCCUGUCUGUUUUUCUCCACUUUGGAUCUUGAAUAUGGAGGUGUGCAUUUCAAUUAUCCUUGGUUGCAACACGAAUGCCAAAGAGUGAAAACAAUAUCCUAAAAAAGAGAGAGGAGAAGAAUUUGAAUCUUUGCUGCAGGGGAUUCAUUUAGACUAUAUCUGAGGGAGGAAUUGGAGAGGAGAGGACUGAACGGGGUCCAAUCAAAUGUGCCUGCUGUCUUGUUGUGGGUGUGUGGUGGCUAUGUCAUUGGCAUCCACACAAGCAUUGGGCUGAGAAACUUAGCAAACAUCUCUUUUUCUCAUUUGUUUGUGUCCAAGCACUUUUAAUUCAUCUAUCAUGGCAGUCACCAUCUUGAUUUUCUUCUGCACUUGCCCCUUAUUCUCAGAAUUUUAUUCCUACUUCAGUCUUGUCAGAUGAUGUUAAAAUCAAUGCCAGAUCCAUGUUUGGGUCGUUUUGUAGAGCGAUUCUUUCUGAGAUGUCUUGGGAGAAGAAAACUUCACUGAAAUGCGAGGACAGGGAUCGUGUCUUCACAAUUAGAAAUACACAAGCUUUUGUGUUGCAGUGAACGGUUCUUCUUCUGCUCUCCUCUUGCUGGUUUUGCUAUAAUGCUGCUAUAAAGACAAACUGGAAAAGAACCUUUAUCUUCCUCUUUAAUACUGGCUGAUUUAUCUUGGCCCAGCACAAGGACGAUAGCCUCCUCAGGCUGUGAAUCACUCUUGCCAGCUGACUCUAAUCACCAGCUAAUUAAUAGUUGAUGCGCCGGCUUACAAAAACACGACUGCUAUUAACCUGUACAUGCUAUUGAUUUAGCCUUGCUUUAGGUGCUUUGGUGGAUUCUUUGGGGGGUGGUUAAAAUUGGAGCGAGAAGACGGUCUAAUGUUCGAGGAAAUCAAAGUUUAGAGUGUUUACUUGAAAUCCUGGAGGCCUCUGGUGGCACAAAAACUACCUUUCUAAUGGACGAAUAUUCUGUUCAUUUGACAUCUAAGUAAAAGCCCUGGUCAUGCCACCACUUAAAAGGCAAAACUCCAUGCCAGAAUUCAUUUAUUCGUUUGGGGAAAAUGUGCACACACUGUAAAUGUCAAGUUCACUUUGGUGCACCUUGACCACUAUUGGAGCUUCUUGGCAGUGCUGACCUUUGAGGUAGAGGAGAGUCUACACUUUUUUAGACAUUUUUUUUGGAAAAACUCUUUACAAACGUGGGUUAUGUUUAUCUGUGUGCAUAUAUUUUUAAGUGUUUACUGUAAAAUAUGAAAUAUAAUAUGCAAUAGUUUGUUGGACCUCAUUUGUUUGAGGAGUGGCUAUAUGUGACAGGACUUAUGCUGCAUUCCAGUUGUACUAGAACCACUAAGUCAGAAUUUCUGAGCUCUGAGUCGGGAAUUCAUCUGACUCAGAAGGUCAGACAAUCCUCACCAACCCCAAUUUGACAACAAUAUCAUAAUCCAAGAUGGCAGCACAGUGCAUCAACAGUAAAGAGUAACAGUGAAAGCUCUCGUAAUGUAUUAUCUAUUAGCACUUCUGUUUUGUUUUUGCGAAGUUAAAUAAGUGGUAUAUGUUCAACUGCCCAAUGUCUAACUGUGAACACGGUGCUAUGGUGUUUGUAAGAGUAAAAUAGUGUGUUAUGUGUUGUUUACAAUUGGUAUAGCUAACAACAACCGCUAACAACAACUGACAAUAGCUAACAACAGUUGAUAAUUGUAAACAACAGCUAACAACUGUUAACUGUAGGCGUCCGCUUGGUUUGCCGACUUGUUAACUGGAACGCCGUCAACUCAGGUGUAACAUUGUUCCAAGCUCCGACUUCAGAGGUAACUGGAACGCAACAUCAGAUUGCUACAGCUUCCAUGCAGCUGUGUAGAUCCUUCCAGUACCAUAUGCUAUCACACGCCAGCUAUCCAUACAGCAGUUGAGCACAGUUUAAUGCGGCAUUAUUUGUGAUGUACAGUGAUCUGUGGUGGCUGGUACUACCCUCUUGUGAGUCACUUGUUGUCUGAAACCGAAGAGUCCUUUGAUUAAACCAUCCCUCCACCAGUUUGAUUCACUAAAUGGUUAAACACUCAGCCUUAGAUGCUUAUAAUGAUCCAGUGAGGGAGAAAGUGUGCAAAAGUGCCACCACUAAAUUAGUUUAUCAGCGGCUUGCUAUGCUCAUCGAAGUGGUCGCUUGCUUCUUUUACAAAAUAAAAUCCUGAAUUUCUGUUAAGAAUUUUCUUCACACAGCCCAAUAUGACACAGCUCACCUUUUAGAUAACAAAAAAGCAUUAAAAAGUGUUUUCUUCAACAAAUUUCACAUGAAUAAUAAUAACUUUACUUAUCCAGCACCUUUAAAAAAAAGGAGGCUUACAAAGUGAUUUGACAGAGAAAGCAGAGUAAAUAAUAAUAACAGCAUACUGAAACAGAAAAGUGAAAAGGUAAAAAGGUAGAGGACAUCACAUCAGAAUAAAGACGGAUUACAAAGAUAAAGGGUGAGUGAGGUACAAAUAAACUGACCAAUAAAUGAAUAAAUAAGUAAAUAAAUAAAGUAAAUGUGAUCAAGGACAGGAGGGGAUCAGAUGAGGACUUGCAAACAAACUGCUCAAACAAAAGCACAAAAAUAUGAGUUUUUAAAUAAAAUGAAGUCAACGAGUUCGGGUUGAAAAGAAGUUUGAAAGUAGAUUUACAUAAAAGCCAGUUAGUUAAAGUGAGUUUUCAGAAGUGACUUAAAAAAAUGUCACUGACUGUGCUCGCCUGAUCUCCUCAGGGGGGUCGUUACAGAGUCGAGGGGCUCUGAUGGGAAAAUCUCAAUCUCCUCUGGUUUUGAGCCUCAACUUUGGAACGACACCUGAGGAUCUCACACUGCAGGACGUCUCAUUUGGUGUCAGCGUUUCUGUAAUUUAACUCUUGGCAAGACCCAGACAAACUUUAAAAGGGAUCAGUAAAAUCUUAAAAUCAAAGCACACAGGGAGCCACUGGUUUACCUACUACUACCUGUCUCAAAGACUGACAUUUCAGGAAUCUUCAUCCUCUAAACUUCUCAUUUUAAGUUUGCUUAGAUGUUUGACAGAUUUAAACAAAUGUCCACACUUUUAUUAAUGUAUUUUUAGGCAAUGUGUUAAAGGUUUAUCAUUCUCCACAGUGAACUCUUAAAAGGAAGAAGAAAAAAGCUUGGAGCUGACCCAGAGCUAAAAGGGAUUUGUCUUUAAAAAUGAAACUGCAGUACUGAAUAAAAACCAAAUAAACAGAUCUGGGACUGGAACUGAUGCAGUGUGUUAAAUGAUUAAUUGUUUGUCUCCAAGAAAGGACCAAAUAAAAGUCAAUAUGCUUGUGUUUCUUUCCAAAACCCAAAGAUGACAUCUUACUUCAGAGUUUCAGUUAACUGUCACUUAAAAUUCACAAACCUUUCACAAAGGCGAAACUUGAAAUGCCGAUUAAUCUCCAAUCCAUGAGCCUGUGAAUCAUUUCUGUUCUGGUUUGAACUCACAAGUAAGAAGUCACGGCGUCCAGGAUGACAUUGCAAUGAAGGCCAUCUUCCUAAAUGUCUAAAUAACAAAUAAUCACAGCCUCAGAUUUAGAAGUCUGUAGUUAAGUGGUUUAAUAACUGUACUUGGUCCCUUUAAUUGGCAGUUUUGCUGUAUGAUUAGCUCUGCUGUAGCUGCGUCUUUAAAUGCUUGCUUUUAAGUGUUUUAAUUGGUUUAAUUUGUCGUAUCCUUGUUCUGACUUACAAGCACCUUCUCAGCGCUCUAAAUCUCCAAAUCCUGAUGUGUAACUUGAGUAUUCAUGGUACCUAAUAGUACCAUGAAUGCUCAUGGCUAUUUGACAACUUAAUCUACAGCUUUCAUCACACGGCUCCGUUUUUCUCGCUUUUUCCCAUUGCCUUUUUCUGCUCAGUUACAUUAAUAAAUUAGAUUUCAUAGAAAGACACAUCUCUGGCUAAAGCACAAAAAAUAUAAAUAAAACCAUCUCCCUGAUGUCGCAUGUUUUACAGCUCACCGAGAAGCCGCUGAAUUGAGCGUGAUGCAAACCCGGCAAAUUGAAUCAAUUUGCCCACUCUAAAUAGAUGUGAUGCACGGAGACUGAAUGCUCAAAUGAAUAAGAAGGAAUCUCUGGAUUUAAUGAUGUUGUUUUUGUUUGUGCAUUUCUUUUCCUCUGCUUGAUGAAGGUUCUCAGAGAUCAUGUGUAAAAGAGGAAGAAAGAUAACGAGGAAGUGUGGGGGUGCCGAGCAUGCUCCGUGUUUAAUCCACCGGGAGUGAGGUGACAAGCAGAACGCAGGGACACUACAAGAGGUGAGCAGAGCAUAUUAAACUGAUCCAAGGGCAUGUGGAAACACUGAGGCCACAUACUGUACAAACAUGGUAUGAUCCAUAUAUAUAUGUAUGUGUUUGGAAGGCCAUGGGGAUAGAAAAAAAGGCAGCCAUUUGUAGAUAUGGGUUUCAGAAAUUCACAAAAAUAGAAAAAUAAAAACACCUUCAGCCAUGAGUAGUUUAUUGGAAAUAGGUCCCUUGACAUAAACUAAUUUAAAUUAUGCAGAAAAAAGGGUAAACAAUCUAGGAGAGCUAUAGAAAGAGGUGUAGCCUUAAAGUCCAGUGGGAGAGCAGUCAAGAAUGGACAUGAGCAGGGUGAACUAAGAUAACUGGUUUUCUUGUCGAUGCAUUUUGUUGUAAUUUCUCAGGUGAAACAAUCUUGACUCCAAGCACUGCCCUAAGAGUCAAACUGAAAAAUGUUCAAUAACAACUGCUAAAGAGUUACAAAAGACUUCAGUAAUGCUCCCAUUUCAUUCAUCAGAACAAAACAAAAAAAGACAAACAGCAAAAAAAAAAACUUACCAAUCGGCUCCAAACACACAAACAUGAUGGAUCACUUAGUUGAUGAGUUAAUGGUAAUCCAGUAAAAUCUUCCAGUAGUGUUCACCUUUCAGUCACCAAGAUCUCUUUCCUUAUGAGAAAUGAUCAAGAGCACUUUAUUAUCCAGUGGUUUAAACUGUAGUUUUAUCUCUAAGCAGUAAGUUUCAGUUUAUGGGUUUAGUUGAGCACUUUUUUGCUGGAGUGGAUUGGAGCCGCAGUUUUAUCCUGAAGUGUUUACAUGAGUCAUUUUUGUUCUGACUGGACCAAUUUUUCAAAUUCUAGUCUGCUUGGAGGAGGUCACGUAAACCUACAAUGUUUCUCCCACAGAAUGGGAAUACUGGUUACAAACUGAGUGCCUUUGUGAAUGUAGUUGUGGUUGUUGUGAACAAAAUAAUUUGUGGGACAAAGGGUUUUGUUGGUAAAAACUUGAGGAACAUACUUUUAUUCAGAUUUUUUAUAAAGUGCACCAGGAAGGAAACACCCAGUAAACAGUCCAAAUAGAGCACAAUUGAUUUAACAGCCCUACCAAGACCCUACCUAACACAGCCCAGCUCUAAUAUCACUACUGCAACUCCUUACUGGCAGGUCUCCCUGUGUGCAUGUCACGCUGCUUUUACUCCUUGUUAGCAGCGUGCAUCAAAUAUAAAGUCUGACUUCAUGCCCACAAAAUGACACAAAAAACUGCUCCUCAUGCAGGUCUACUCUCUCCCCAUCCUCUGCAGCAGAUAUAGUUGACACACAGUUUUAUUUCCAUUUUCUACCUCAAAAUACCAGUGCCAUGCUAUGAGAUGCCAUCUGCCUGUUCAAACCAUAGACUGUGUAUAGAAUGGACGCCGUCUGCCUCCUCGCUGGGUGAAGCCACAACGAGAACAGCACCCCCUGGUGACGUGCUGCAAUAUAGGUCAUAAAUCCUGCGUCCUCCAGCAAUACUUAUGGACAUGUGGACAAACUUUAGAAAUUAAUUGCACAGAAUAUAAACUUUUCUCUGUAAGACUGGUUUGUGCUCAAGUCCUCUUUUUUUCUGUGCAGCCCAAUUUUUUAAAGUUAAAAAGUGACUCUCGGCAACUCUCCCACCGAAUGCGCACAAUGCUACUGCGCAAGUGGUGGAGUGGUACAACGCUACUGUGCAAUGUUGGUUUCAGGAAGUGGUGAAAAAACCCGGAAUUACCAAGAGCUUUUCGGCUUCAAAUCCGUAUACUGGCGGAAGGUGGAACCAAGUUGUCCAUAGUAUAUACAGUCUAUGGUUCAAACCUUUAGGCUUUAUGAAAAAAAAUAUGGGUAAGUUAUAUAAAAGCUAAACUCCCUGCAGUAGUCAUGAAUAGAAAAAUGAGCCAUGGGCUAAAGCUUGUAUUUGCAGACUGUACCUGAGCUGUGGUUGUCUGACUUUUAAAGCUAUUUUGAAAUUGACGAGCUUGUUCCAUACUUAAGCAGACUCUGGGAAGUUGCUACUUGGUCUCCUAUUUGUAGAGAUAGACAAAGAAGACACCAAACAUCAUGCCUUUUGAUUUAUUUAAUUGUUAUUGUUUGUUUUCUUAUUUUUUGUUAUUCCCCCUCCUUCGUGGUAGUUUUGCUUCUCCUGCCUUCACAGACCUGACAUGUGCUGCCUUUCUCCUGCACCUUUCUUCAUGCAUGCAUGUCAAAUCACUUGUAUAGGAGGAGUGCUCUCUUGCAUAAAUGUGGCCAAACACUGCGGACAUUUCUCAGGGACAUCCUGUCAUCGUUGUUGACAUAUUGAUCAAGAAUAGCUUCCUUUAGUGCAGGCAGUCUGUGACACUUACUGAUCGAGAUGGAGCACAAAGGUUCCUGCAGUGCGGACACAUUGACAGCCUGUGAUUAAAUCAGAGACCGUGGAAGCAUUGUUGACGACAAUAAUGGGAGCACUAAGGGCACUUAUCAAAGGAAAAGACCAGUUCAGCUUUAACACCCCUGCAACCAUCUUAAAGAGGUGUUCAUUGUUCGUGAUGGAGGAAAUUAAUCUGUGCUAAAAACAAAGCAUUUCUCAUCAAACCGAGCGGUCAGCUAACCCGCAAUACUGCAGAGCUUAUGAGUAAUUGUUUCCAAACCGUAUUUUUUGCCUGUCAGUCAGAAGUGCUCUGCGUUAGAUGUAAUACAUCUGAAUUAAGCUCCUGGUGGCACCCUGUCACGUACAGCCCGUCGUAAGCCGUUAAAUACAUAAAUCGGGUUUAAAUGAACACACACACCACUUGUCUUGCUUGGUUUGCAGGGUAAUUCAUCUUCCAACUCCAUGAUUCUGUUAUGCAGUCAAAUUGACAAGUAAUCCAUUGCUGGUGUCCUUGUUGUCAACAUUAAGGUCAUUUGUGAUUGUGGCACUGAGUGAACAGACUCUCAGCUUUGCAGGGCUCUGCAGGGGGUGAAUAAAAAUCUGCUUGGUGAUUGUAUCAAACUAUACUGUAUGAGAUAUUUUGAGCUGCAGUAAUAACCCUGCCAAGGCUACAGAGAGAAAUAAUGGUUGAGAAACUGUAGACUCUGCGUAUGCCCUUGUUUGUUUUGUAGCAAAAUUAAUUAGUACACAUCCUGCAAAGAAUUUAGUUUUUUGUUGGCAAGUCACACCGCUUCUUCUUUUCUUUUUUUUUUACGUCUUUGUUCCAGAUACUGAAAGGUACAGGGCUGUGAAAUACCUGUCAGGGGACUCUCCAAAUUGUGUAGAACAUACUUUUGAACAAGUGUGCACAGGCUUUGAAUGGAUUAUAGCUCAUUAUCCCCAAUUAUUCCUCAGAAUAAGCCAGGAAAUAGAGAGGAAACCUGACAUGGGGGUUCGUUAAAACCGCCUUAAGAAGACAGUUACAGAGGGACCGAACUGAUAGAGCUUAAAAAGAGUCAUUAUUUCUUAUCUUAUUAGUACUGUGAAAGCAGUUCAUGUUUUGGGGUCAAGAUUACGACUGAUGGUUGCUAAAUAAACUUUGGAGUUUACCUAAAAAGGGGGUAUUAUCCUCUUCUAUUUGAUAAUCACAAAGUUAUAACAUUUGAUGUCUACAUUAAAGACAUAUUGUAAUAAUCCUAGAAAACUGAUGUAAACUACUCAGAAAGGUUCACUGCUGCACUGCACUACAUGAUUUCUUGACAUGUAAAUCAUGUGAAGCUAUUAAAGAGGUACCAGAGAGGAAGUGUAGAGCCUGAAAAAAUGAAAUAUACCCCAUCUUUACUUAAAAAUAAAUAAAUAAAAAAGCAGGCUGGAUUUGGAUUUUUCUUCUCAGGCUUUGUUCAAAAAUGUGUAAUUUAUCGGUGCAAGGAUAUAUAUCUUAAAUAUUUACCUUGGUUUUUCAACUUACUUGUGAUACAGCACAUUCAUUGUUUGUUUUUAUAAACUUUACAGCAAAUAAGGUGAGUUACAGUUCAGUUUAGGAACAACUGCAAAAUAUACCAGCCGGUUCUGAUUUGCAAACAUCCAGAGCAGGAAGUAUCAUACAGAUCUUGUUAGGUAAGAAACAAAAUAGUUGCACAGUACACAGAUAAAAAGUCUAGUCUCAAAUGAACCUGAGGGUGAACAUAGAUGUCUUGCUUUCACUGUGCCUGGCUGUCAACAAGAUCUUAUCCUUUAAAGGGAUCAUUAAAAGCUCCAGGUGGUAGCAGGUCUUAUUAUUUUCACAUAUUGUUAGAAAGAUCUUGGUGCUGGAGCAUUAACAACUUAGCAGACAGGUAAAGGUAUAAUGACAGAGGAUGAGACACAGUUGUCUGUAACAUUACUUUUUUUUUAACUUGCCAACUUGCUGAAGAAAACCCACAUACAAGUAAAAUAUACAGAUGAACUUAAAUUACCUCCACCACAGCUGAAAACAUCAGCAAACCUGGUCGGAACCAAAAGAGUAAACAGCUCCCAGCACCUCUUCCUAAAGCCACUCAAAACCAUGGUGCCAGAUGUUAUGUAUUUACAUGCUGAAUGGGCAACUGUUUCUGGAAAAACAGAUUUUGCACAGGGGGAAAGGGAGACAGAGGGGUCUCUGCCCUGGGCUGCAGCUAAAUCUAGGCUAUGGAAGUGGAGGUGAAGCCAAUGAUGUCGAUGGAGGCUGAUGAAGCUACUGCUGCCGUUGAAUGGGUGGAAACAAAGAAAUGAGAAAGACAGUUGGGCUUACCAAUAUAGAGAAUAAAUGGGAGAAAGAGACUGCUGUAUGUAAAUAAAAAUAGCAAUGCAUUUUAUAGUUUUAACGUAGCUAGCUCUACAUUUACACAAAGCAUUUUAGGUCUCUGGAAUAAAACCAAAUGUGAGCGCUUGUCAAGAGAGCAAUCUAAUUUAUGAAGCGUUAUGCUAUAAUUAAUAAAGCAAUUGGCAGGUUAAAGUAAAACCUUACAGAAGAUAAAGAAGUAGCGUUGUAGUACUCGAGAUCGGUCUUUUUUGAGGGUCUUGGUGUCGUCUCGGAAUCGAAGGCAUUUUCACUCGGUCUUGUCUCGGUCUCGGUCCUCUCUGGUCUUGGAAAUAUCGUGGGCUCGGUUGGGGCAGUCUUGACUGCAACACUACAAAAAAGCCAUGGAUUAUCCUUUUUUUAUGCAUCAUUAUCUGGUGAUAAUAACUUAUUAUCUCACUAUCUCGAUAUAGCCAAGUUUGUUUUUUCAUAAUAAUUUUUUUUUCCUUAUCUCGACAUGAUAAAGAUGGUUUUCUUGUGAUAGUGAAUAAUUUUGCCAACCUAAAAUGGUCGCUUUUAAAAUGCCCUAGAGAUUGGGAUAUUUCUGAAAUGCCACAGCCACCGUCGUCAAACGCAAGCUUGGGUUUUUGAUGAAAACGCUGAUGGCACGCUCUACGCAUGGGCAUUACACUUCCAAUGUGGAAACAUUUAACUACCAUGCAUGAAUUGCACAACAACAGUGACAAUGGCGUACAAAUAAUUUAUGAAUUAGUUUUCAGGAGAAUACAAUCUUUGUUUGAUCGAGAUGAUGAGAUUAUUAGUCAUGAAAAAAGAAAAAUCCAUGGCCAUUCUUGUCUUCUGUAAAACCUAACACUUUACGCUUCUUUUUAGAAAUUUGUGAUUGCUUUCAUAAAGUUCAUUCUACACUAAUCAUAGACAUAGAGCUGACACACCUGACAUAACUGCAGGCUGAUUUAACAACCACAGCUGCAGCCAAUCAGGAGGUGAUUAACCAACCGAAGAAUGCCCAGGUUGUACUUCCUCUUGAGCCAACUUUUGAAACAGCGAGCAAAACAGGAAAAAAAUGACACAAAGUCUGGACACGGUCUGUGCUCUUUGAUGGAACUGCAUAUUCGAAAAGGAAGAAGAAGAAGAAGAGGAAGAAGAAAAAGAAGAAGAAAGUCAUUAUUCUUUAUUUUUUCUUUGGCUUGUCCGAAGAUGACCGUCGUACUGCACAUGCCGGUCAUACAGUCACACAUUGUGAUGGGAGCAUUCUGAGCGACAAUGAAAGAGGAGAAAGUCUAGACAGCCCGAGUACCCAAGAGCAACCCCUUAAGCCAGUCUGCUCCCCCUCUGAGCACACAGUCUGGCUUCACAUUCUCUUAACCUGCCUGUCUGAAAUGAAUCCAGUGAUUCACCCAAUCCCAGCUAUCUUUAAAACCCCCUCAGGCUGUGUGUUUGUGUCUUCUUCACCCCAUGGUAAAAAAAAAAAAAAAGCUAAUGAAUCCUCUCCAAACAGCCUUACUCAGAUGCAGGUCAUGUCACAGCUAAAAUUGGUUAUUUUUUUAAUAUUUAAAAUGAUGCCUGUUGAAAAUGCUAUACUCACCUCAUGGGAAACACAUGGUUUCAUCCAGAAAUAUUUUGAUGUCUUAACAAGGCAGAUGACAGAAAUAGUACCUUUUCCCACCUUCCUCCUCAUCUUACUUUUCUGUGCCCGUGCUUUUUUAUUCAAAAAUCUACUUGAAAAUCAUUAAGCAAAUGUUUAUUAUUCAUCCUUGAGGAAAAAAAGACAGAAAAACAUCUGCUCUGCCAUUAUCAUCCAUCUGCCACUGUCAUUUUCCCCCGUACUCCACUCUGGAUUUCUCCUCUUAGCCCACUGCAUGUUAUAAGUGUCAUCUGCCACGCCAAUGAGCCAUGUAGUAAAACCGCCGGUCUUUAUAUUUAUCUCAGCUAAUCUCAAAGCCGUCAUGGCAGCCAUUACACAGGGAAAUGAUGUUUUAUUUGGUGCGGCUGUGGAGGAGGAACAGGAAAUUGAGUGGGAGGGCACUCCUAAGGAUGUCGUUUGGAAAACCCCUCACCUCCGUGACGCAGAGUCGUUGAGGCAUAGAUAGUGGGUGGUAUCUGGUGACACAGUUUGAUGUGGGUUAGAUACUUGAUACAGCGUUGAUCCUUCCCACUCUUCACUUUGCUGGAAAGACAUAAAGAAUCACGGCUUUACAUGUCAUGUUAGAUUCCACUUGAAAAAGCCUUAAGCCAUUUUGAUCAUUUUCACUUUACUGUAACGGUUUCGAGCCUCACUUGUCUUGUUGUGGUCGUGCUGUCUGGCUCUAAGGCUGACAACUGAUGGCUAUGGUAGGAGCAAGGAAACCCAUGGGAGGAGAGAGGAUGUCUUAUAAAAUAUGAUGUGCCGUUUAGCCACAGAGUCGCUUUCACAUCCUGCUGUGCUACUUUUAAAGCCCCACGGAGCUGUUGUGAGUGGAUCCAUCAUACAGCCUCUGUGUGAAAUGCUCAGUGAGUUUGCACACAUUUACGUUGUUGCGUCAUUGUUCUGCCACAGUGGGAAUACUGAGUAAUCAACAUGUGCAUUUGUCCGCCUCUGCACCAUAAAAAUAUGCAGGCUCAACACUCACAGAUUAAUCGCAGAGGCCCUGUGUGGACGUUAUAUCUUCAAGACUGCACUUGCAAAGUUUUUGAAGUUUUAAAGCUCAUUUAUUUUCAAUGAUCUAAUUAAAAUGAGGACACAGUCUAAUGGUACAAGUUUAUUGAUGAGAACAAUUGAUUUAACUCUCACUGGUGACAAAAAAAGUGAAAUUCAACACCUCGCAGAAGACACCGGUUCUGUCUACACACUGUCCACAUAGCUCAUCCCAGCCCCAGCUGUGAAUCUCGCCCCCGCAACACUAAUAUUUACCCCGCUAAUAAAAGUCAUUGUUGUGCUGCCCGCUCUAAAUCAGAGGCCUGCUUCUGUCGAGGAUGACAGAGGAAAAUAUAAAGCAUCUCUCACAGUGAUGGAGAGCUCCAGAGGCUUUUAUUAGCCUGGAGGAAGAGACAGCUCUCAGAUGAUUCUAGUGUAUGAAUCCAAUUGUGUCUGAAGCUGUAAUGCAAUAUAUCCCCUCUAUCUUCACUGUCAAUUCGAGAUUUCAGACAUAUAAUCAAAUACAGAUUAACCCUUCAGAUGAUUAAUGAUUUUUAAUACUGACAUCUAAGAUUACUAAGGUGGAUUUAUUGCAUAAUUAGUCAUCUUUGACAAAACUGAAGUCAAAGUAACGGCAGUGUUUGACUCUGAGCUUCUGAGUAACUAUUCCUAAAGGAAGAGGUACACGCCCACAGGUUGUUAAAGCAAUAAUAAUAAUAAUAAUUCUAAUACUAAAAAUAAUAAUUCUAAUACUAAAAAUGAUAUAAUAUUAUAUUAUAUUAUAUUAUAUUAUAUUAUAUUAUGUAAUGUUAUGUAAUAUAAUAUAAAAAUACUUUUCAUGAUAAUAAUAAUUAUGAUAACAACAACUACAACUAUUAUUUGUAUUAUUUUUUGUUUUUAUUUACUUAUUUAUUUAUUAUUAUCAGGAAAAGCAGAGAAAUUUGAAGCUUAAAUGCUGUAAAGACAGUACAGUGAGACUAUUUCUAAAAUUACUUCUGAUUUACAAAUAAAUAAAUAAAAAAAUUGGUACAUCCCUUCAUCCACCACUGAACCAGAGCAGCUUAUUCUGUCUCUUGUGAACAAUUGAAGGAUUUUUUCCUCAUAUGAACAGAUAUUUCCCUGCGAGGAGUUUUGAAAUCUCUUCAGUCUGUGUUGUGUUGCAGAGGUAGCUCAGGUAUAUUGCAUACACCCACUUCUCUUUCUGACUCCAUUGCAUUUAUUCUCCUCUGAUGCACAUCAAUCUGAAGUUUUGCUGCAUUUUUUUCAAAUGUACUUUUUAGGCAUGGCUCCUUCCCCGCUGUCUCUAAAACUCAGUAAUGCCCCUUUUCCCAUACUUUCCCAGUCACACUGUGACUUUCACAAAUAGUGAUAGUUAAGAAGAUCUGUGUUGUAUCCACAACAAACGCACGCUUUGGCAGGACACACAAAUCUUUGCUGCAGGGGGUAAGUAGUGCUCAUGGGAAAAUAGUCUUCAUCCUGGAAAAAGCAAACUCAUCCAAAGGAGCCACUAGGAUCAACUCCACAUGAACCACCCCCAGAGCUUUGGAGAAAGAAAUCUGAGAUUUUCUGGGCUUUCAGGUAAAAAUAAAGAUUUUUGAGAACUUAUUUUAAUUGUAAGCAGCUCCAAAACUCAAUUUGUUGGAAAAAAACAUGCGUUAUUAUCUUUUAGCAUUGUUAGAUUUUAAUAAUAAUAGUCCGAUAGCUGCUGAUGAAUGUAGGGUAAAUAUAAGUGUUGAUAUAUUUUUUGCCCUGUUGCUUGGUUUUUACUGUUAUUGUUGUCUUGUUGUGCACUUUGAGAUUUGUUUUUAAAUGUAAAGUGCGUUACAAAUAAAAUCUAUUAUUAUUAUUAUUAUAAUUAUUGUUGUUGAGCACACAUUUGAUUAGAGAUUGUUUACCAGUGCUCUUAUCCUCUGAUCUUCUUUACUUUUUUUUACACUAACUGAUAGAGGAGCCUCAAAUUGAAACGAAUCCUGGUGAUUUAUGUUACCAUCAGGUGAAGAUGUUAUUCGAUGAAACAUUUAUGUUAUCUAUAAUGAGGCUGCCAAUGCUAGACCGUAUGUUUUGAAGCAAAUCUGUCCCCUAGAAAUGAGCAAACAAGAUCACCUGAACAUGUUCAGGCUUUUCGGAAAAACCUCAGCAAUAAAGCUUUUCCAGAGUGCAGGAGAAGAUUGAGCAAAUCUGUCUUUACAGUCCCUAAACACGAUAAUGGUGUUGUAGUUUCUUCUGUGGGUGUAUCCUGCCAGAGCUUCACCUUCCUGUUUACAGGUGUGUACUGUAGAAACAAAUGACAGGAGGUGUUAUGAUGACCCGUUAGGAUAGCAGCUGCUGUUAUUUAUUAGCUUAGCAGGUGGAUGCUGGUAAAAAUGUGUUUUUAACCCCUUUUUUUUAAUUUGGCCUUAUUCUUGGUUCAUAAUGGAAACAAGAAAAAUAAGAUUUUAUUAUCAUCUCUCUUUUGCCUGGCUGUGCUGGGAAUAAUGUAACCACCUCAACUAUUUGCUUGUGUGGUCUCAUUUUUACAGUGUGGACAGACUUCAUUGUCAUGUUGUAUUUAAAGAAAUAGCAAAAUAAUUGUUGCCUAUAUACAGCUGAAGGUUGCAUUUCAAGUGUGCUGGCAGGCCUUUAAGAUGAGACUCUCUCUCUCUCUCUCUCUCUCUCUCUCUCUCUCUCUUUCUCUCUCUGUCUCUCUCGAUCUCUCUCUCUCUCGUAUCUUCAUGUUCAAAGGUGCACCCAGACCCAGACUGAGCCUUCUUUCUUUAUAAUAGAAACCUAAAGGCACAGCUGCCACUUUUGUAUUAUGAGUCAACAGUCCUCUCCUGCGUGCUUUUUCUGAAUCUCAAUCAACAGUCAAAAGUCCUUGGUUUAGAUGUGAACGAAAGUCAUUUUGAAGUUGGUUAUUAUAAAUGAGUGGCUCCCAAAGUGGAGGUUUGGACCCUUUUGAAGGUCGCAACCAAUUAUAAGAAGUUUCAAGAUGCCCUCCAAAUUAAAACAUAUUCUCUAAAUCGCUGAAAACCGUCCACUUUAACAAUUUUGGCAACAAUUAACUCCAAAAUAUUAAUUCUGAUCAAAAUAAAGCCAUAAAAAUAAAAGAAAGUUCCUUUAUUUCCUGCUUUCUUAGACCCCUGAGUUCACUACUAUAGAUACAGAAAAGUAUCAGUUGUUAUUUUACAGCUGAAAAAAAAAAAAAACACAGGUGCACACAGACUCACCUGUUUGUUCGUGUAUUAAAUGCUGCUUCAGUCUGAAUAUGGAGAUUUCUCGUAUUCUCCCUCUGGCUAUUUUUUAAAAAUUGCUAUAGAGUAACAUUACGGUUGCUUGGCUUUAUGGUUUUUUGCUGUUUAUUUUGAGAGUGUUGUAUUAGUGCCUGUGCGUAGCAGUGAGCAGUAUAAACCAUGCUCAGUAGACAGAAGGGGUCAUCGGUCCCAGACACCAUUAUUCCAAGAGUCGAGCACAUUGUUUCCUGAAGACUUAAGUUGUGCAUGUUUCAAAAAUGCUGUCUGUGACCACGAGUAAAUACUUUUAUCUACAAAUAAAAAGGCUGAUUUGCACAACAGUCCAAAGCACAGAGGAAGACGUCUGUUCAGUGUAUCAGGAUGUGAGAGAAAAGUGAGACAGAGGUCAGAGUGUUAAUACAGAAGACUUUGUGGAGUGUGAAAAUGUGGGUUAAUCUUUCACGGCCUGUGCUAAUGCGACUGUUCAGUGAGUGAGAGAGCAGAGACAGAGAGGGAUGUACAGUAGCCAGCAGUGAAGAGUCGCUGCUGCCAAAUGCACCGAGGGCUAGACGGAGACGAGCCCUUGCCAUCUGGGCUGCUCGAGGCGAAGCUGAAAACAACUCCCAGCUCCAUCACUGGCUCUCCAACUCACAUUUACACAUGGUUUAUAUAUUCUUCCUCUUCUUUUUUUUUGCUCUUUUGGCCCGUCUUCUCAUUAAACCAUCUCAUCUUGACCUCCCAUGUCUUUCUCAAGCUGUUUUUUCCUCUCCUCGCUUACACUCGGCUCUCAACCCCCCCCCCCCCCUCUUUCUGCCCUCUCAAGGAUUUAUCACUCUUAAUUAUCUUAACUAUCCCGCUUCAUACUCGGCUUGUAUCUAGCAUAUUUAAUCUAGGAUUCAGCAGGGCUAUUAGUUACACUCAACAUGCAGAGGCUAAUUGAUUCAAGGAAGCAAGAUUUGCUUGUUGGUGCUGAUGGGUUUAACGAAAAGCUAAUAUAUGAGGAAGGAGAGCAAAAAUGGAUGGAUAGACGUGAAAAUAAAUGCCCAAGAAUAAGAGAGAGAGUUUCUGCUUUCUUUGUAAACUUUGGAUUUCUUUAACAGGCUUUGAAGCCCAAACCAGUGAAUUUCAACUUUUUCCGAGCUCAGAGAGAUGCAGUAAACUGCAUGGAAAUUAGGAUUAAAAACUAUUUUAAUGGCUUGCAGUCUUCUCUGGUACAAGAGGGACUGUUUUUUUUUCUCCCCUGAUUUACAUGGGGAAACUGUGGUUUGGAUAAAUAUUUUUGGUUGGUGGGGAAACAGAACAGCGAAACAGAUGUCUGUUUAAAUGUCAUGUUUGUCGCCGAGGCUGUGCUGACAUUUUAGUCCCAGACUUUCACCUCUUUGGAUUUGUUGGCUGUGAGUCAUUACUAGAAUCAGGUUGAGUCAGAGUUGUUGUUGUGAAUAAAUAUGAUCUAAUUGAUAGCUGACCUCUCACAUUAACAAGCAAACGCAACCAAAACCAACACACGUCAGUAAGACUUAACUAUGUUUCACUGCGUUUACAUUUUUUUUUUUGUGUGCGUGUCUUUUUUUGUCCCGUCUGGUCCCUGUGUACGACUCCUGCAUAUGCUGUUAGGGUGGCUGGUGGCCACAGAUAUUGAUAAUGGCGUUGGGGACACUCAGCUUCUUGUCUUAUUAAUCACAGCAGGCUGAGCAGUGACCUUUCUCCAAGCCCACUGCUUUGGGCCGAGCCAGAUCCCCCUGCCUCCCCGGCCCCAUGGGAGUAGCAGGCUGACAUCACUCACCCUGUGUCCGCUAAUGUCAGCCCCAAGCUUGGCCGCAGCAGCUCAGCAGCCCCUGCCUGGUGCCCCGGACACAGCCUGGGAUGACAGAGACAUUGAUCACUCAGGAAGCUCAGGUUGUCCGGGGCUGGCUAGGGGGUGUUUGUGUGCAUGUGUGUGUUUUCGUACAACACCAAUUGAGACUAGUGAGCCUAAUUACAUUGUAGACUUCACAUCUGGGCCUAAUGAGCAAAUCAAGACCCAUCAUUGAUCAAGGAUCAACUGGCCUUGAGCUGAUUGGUUAAAAGCUGCACAAGCAUAGUGGGGUGCUGGGUUAGUGAUUCCUAACAGCUAAUUACAAACAUGAAUCUACAUGAUACAGUUGAACACUGUGAGAAGUACAAUAAUCUUAGACUGGCACGUCAUAGUUACUCCUAAUGGAGCUGUUUUGAUCGAAGACUUCAGAUUGAAUAUGCAUGCAGAAAACCACUUUGCUGGAAUUGAGAAUAUACAUAUAUAUAUUCGCACUGAUGUUGAAGCAGUUUGUGAAAAAAAAGAAUAAUUUUAAUUUAUUUAUUUAGACAGGAACACAGCAUAUUAAUGAACGUAAUCAUAAUGAAACAAAUGUAAAUAUGCCAACAUCACUAAAGUGCUAAUUAACAUCUGUAGUCCCUUGGAAGGCAACGCAUAAAAAGACAAUACAUCAAUAUAUACAUGUACAAUGUGCAAAUACGCAAUGAAAGACUGCUGUUCUAAAGCUGUUCUAACAUUAAUGUUACUGUUGAAGCAGUCGAAGGAGGGUGAAUCUGUAAGUCUUCAAGGCAAACUGGAUUAACUUCAGUCUACAAUAAAGAGAGACAUUUGACUUCAGGGUUCGUGGUUCAGCAGGUUAAGAUUAAGUACUUAAUAUAUGCAGAAGACAAGCUGAGCGAUGACAGCUCUGUCCACAGGGGGCGCCAAAAGUGACAGAAACAGAAUGUUCCUGGCAGGAGCUUGCUAAAGUAGACAUAUUUAGAUGAAAAGAACUUGAAUGAAAUUAAAUUUACAUUGCAUUUAAAUAUUAAUGUUAAGGAGUUGAGAUACUCAUUACUAACAGGGCUGUGUCUAGACCUUUUUUUCCCGCAAGUAGACCAGUGGGGGGUUGACUGAGGAAGGAGUGGCGUGCGGCAUGUUGGUGCAUUAAUUGUAUUGUAGAUUAGACACACAGUGUAGGGGGUUAAAAUGUCUGCUUGUCCAUCCACAAAAGCCUUCAUUUAUUGUUUUAGAUGGUGGGGUUGGGCAACCAGAUGAAGAUAAUCAUGACAUUUUGGGGCAAAUGCUGAUGAUUAAGAACAAACCAGAGCAGUAGCAGAGCACUGUAGAGCCAUUUGUUAAUUAAGAUCAGUUUAAAAAUCAUGAAUCUGUUGGCAAAAUAGACCAACACAGACAUCAACAUUUUAUAAGCUCUAGACUUUAAAAUGAAUGUCUCUAAAUUCCUGUCUAGCUCUUUGUAGGUUUUAUGGCAGCAGUUGCAAAGAAGAAAAAAAAAAGGAGUAAAUCAUUUAUUAUGUAUUUUUAGCCUAAAACUCAAAGUGUAAAAACUAAUGCCUUCAAGUUUAAUCAACAGAUACAGAAGAAAGUCUAGGUUUUUGUGCCAGAACUGCAAUAAUUCAUGGUUUUGCUUUCUCUUUUGCAAAGAGGCACAGAGGAAUCUUGUGUGUCAUUGUCUGGUCAAUACUUUCUCUUGUAUGUCUGCUUGUUGGCAGCUUCACAAGGCAGCAGGAGACUAAGGCCUAAGGGAUUCCCAAAACAUCGAGGAACAUCCUGUCUGGAUGAUGCAGCACCUGUUGUGUGGAUUGAAAAGGCAUAUGCACAAACACGAGCCGUGGUAACAUGGGACGAAUGUUGGCUGUGGCUUCUGAUAUUUGGAUGCGCUAAGCCCGUUUAAGUAAAUUCUUGGCACAUUGCGCGCGCUCUGCCAGCGCUUUAUUUUUAGAAGGAGAGUCUUUAAAAACACUGAAAAGGAUGCCACGGCAGCACAUAUUGUUUGUAAAGUUGUCUCAGAUUGUUGAAUUACCUUAAUUGUGUUUGAAGCUUUUGGCAUUUCUCGGCACACAGAUGUCUUGCCAGACAUGGAAGUAUCAAGAUAGGAGUCAUUUUGCUGUGUUUCUCCUGCUGCAAAAGCAGAGAACUGGACUCUGAGUAAAGUAUCUUUCUUUUUUCUAUAUUUCACAACUUUUAUUUAUGCACAAGAGUCAGAUGCAGCAAUAUCGUCGAGAGGAAACAGUUCGGAUAGCUCUGCAAGAAACAAACCCAAAUCAGACACACAUUUAAAAAGACAUCAAAGUGUACGUUGAUGAGGGUGCAGCAGCACAGGGGCACCAACAUUAGGCAAAAUAAUUUAAUUCAAAUUAUUCAAGGAUAAAAGGGUAAGAAGGAGGAUUGCAAAUCAGCAGUUAUAUUUGUAGAUCCUGCUGUUCUUGGGCUUUUUCGCACAACUUUCAACAAACAUAUUUCAUAACAGCUGCAGUCGACACCUUAUUCUGAUCCUUUAAUGAGGCUGAUGUCUUUUAUUGUUGAUUUGGUCCCCAGAGGACAAAUGAGCUGUGCUUUGUAACAAUGAUUACCGAGGUUUCACCCUGAUGACUUCGCCCUGCUUUUGUAAUAAACUUUUCAGAGUGAAUUUAUGGCCAAACUCAGCAAACAAACAAUAAACAGCAAAGAUAGCUCCUCAUCAGAGGCAGAGCGGACUGUCAUCAGUGUAUAAAAGACUUCAUUACAAAAAUAAAUGUUUCUUUGUCUCACGUCACAUGUGGCCUAUGUAUACUUUAGUCUAAAAAUGGGUACUGGCGAGUUUAUUUGUUCUCUCUCUCUCUCUCUGGUAUUAUUCAGUGCUUUGACCUUUUGCUUUGUUUACUGUUUCCUCUCAUUCGUGAAGCAUCUUUAAAGCCUUCAUAAUGUGGUAUUUUUGCGUUUGUGUAUGCGUGUCAGUGCUUGUUUGCCUCUGCACCACUGCAAAGUUCUGACAGACAGAGAGCACACACAUAUAAUCCAAAUGGGGCUUGUGUGUGUGUGUGUGUGUGUGUGUGUGUGUGUGUGUGUGAGUGAGUGUAAGUGUGUGUCUGAGGUCUGUUGUCUACUGCUGAGUGUUUAGAGAACAGAUUUCUUUGACGUUGACGGCACCAAAGCAAUACAGAUUUGGCAAUUAACCUUGAUGUCACUGUAAUUACCAAGUCACUUUAGUAAAAUGAAUUAAUUUCCCAAAAGGACUCAGAAACAAAAUUACCUCCUCUCUUCCUGAAGAGAGCCAAUAUGGCGUCUGAUAAUUAGGGGAGAAAAAGUGAGCCGCUGCCAUAUUCCUGUCCCUCAUUGUGUGUAUUCUGUGUAAUCUGCCACAGGGGGAAAGCCACUGAUCUGCCUGCCGCUCCCAUAACUUCCUUGGUGUUCACGCUGCUGUGUUGCUCACUUGCUCAUUUUUCAGCUCGCCGCGUGUCGAACGGCGUAACUUUUUUUCUUUUUUUUUCCUCCGAGCUUUUCAUCUCCUGUCCUUGUCAGCUCGUUUUUCAGACAAUAGUCAUAUUGCCCCGUACGCUCCAAGGUUUCCAUGAACUGUUGCUGUCACUGAGGUAUGCUAAACAUUGUUGCUUUGCAUCUCGCAGGAUCCUGUGCAUACAUCUGUGGAAGUGUAAACAGACUUAAGACAGCUCACUUUCCCAGAUCUUGAUCUCAUAUCACCCACUAAGGGCUGCUGUGUUAGUCAGGCCCUUUAUUGUGCUUUUUAUAGUUUGUUGAAAUUAAAUGAAAUGUGCCAAGUUAGGAGGCUUUUCUACGGAGCCCUGGAGGUGACAUAAAGUUUUUUUUUUUUAAUUUGCACGUGCGAUUUAAUAUCUUGCACGUGCAUUUUAUUAUAUCGCAGGUGUGAUUUAACUGUUUGUUAAUAAAUAUAAUCACUGUCUUUAAGUCUGAAUAUCGCCGAUGUCAAAGUCGAUGUGCUUUAAGGAUCCUGAUGAGGUGUCUCCUACUCAAAACAAUACCAAAUGUGGCUAAGCUAUGAAGUAUCUUUUUGUUAGUCAUACUGAAAUGAAAGAAAAUGUUGAUAAUAUGCUCUCUGUCCAUGACACUGUCCUUCUUUUCUCACAAAUGAGGUGCAUGGAGGAUUAUUUACAAAAACACAUACGCAAGAUACAAGUAAAACGCAUGUACGAGACACAUAUAAAACGCAAGUGUGAGAUACUAAAUCACACGUGCAAAUUAAAAAAAAAAAAAAAAGUUCAUGUUGCCUUCCAGGCUCUGUACUUUGCCCAGGUUAUGCCACAUUAGCCAUAGUUGCUACUAGAAAUACAAGUAACUGAAAGUGUUGAACUUCAGUAAUGAACCUUGGUCUCCAGUAAAGCAUCCAUCAUUAAAAUCAAAGAAACAAAAACACUUAAAGAUAAGUAAUAUUUAAAGAUAAGUUAGGAAAUGUGUAGCAGAUCUAGAUUUUCAGAGUGGUAAAAACAGAGUGGCAUAUGACACACCAAUGGCACUCUAUGCCAUUGGUGUGUCAUAUUUUGUGAAUUAUUUCUUGUAGGUAUUUUGUCUUCUUUGAAUAAACAACUUGAGAACCGGAGGAAAUACUGGGUAGGAUAGAGGGAGGGUGACAUGCAGCAAAGGGUGAGGGGUCAGAGUCAAACCCUGGAUAGAGCAUUGGAUUCAUACUUGAACCAAUGGGAAAGACAGAGGCCUCUUUGUGAGUAUAAUUUUAAAAAUCCCACCAGCUUUGACAUAUGAGAUUCCCAAACAGUCAUUUCUGCUCUCGUUUUUCCUCCCCCAAGACAGACAAAGAGAUCGUGUUUUGAGAGGAUUGUCUCCCAUCUGGACUGGAAUAACUCAGCUUGCUCUCUAUCUAUCCAAACAUUUAUGAGACUCCCCCCCCCUGUGAGAUGCCUGAAAGACUUUAAAAGAGAUUUCAAAAAGUUGAUAUUUUUGCUCUUUAGCUAACGGUGUGAGCAGGUGGACAAUGAAUGUUAGGUAGCUUUCUUAAACUUUACAGUGUUUAAUGCUAAUCUAAUGGUUGUCUUUGAACUUUGACAGUUGACUAAUCUCUUUUAUCUGAUUCAACUCUAAAUGUAGAAUUAUUAUUCCAGGGUUUGGAUUUUCAGCCCUUUUAAAAAUUAGAAAUAAUUAAUCUGACUCUUUGUUCAACAAAUGAGAAUUUAACGAGUUGUUUUCUUUUUCUCUCAGGGACGAAUUUAACAAAGUCUGCAUUUUGACUUUUUAUAAAUCUGAAUCAUAAUGUUGUAAUUUCAUCAGACUUGAACACCCAUAACUUGGGUAUUUCGUCCAGUCAAUUUUGAGUUCUGUUAAGUUGACCUUGUUCUUAACAUUUAAGUUUGUAAAUUUGGUUUUCUUGAUUUGGGUGCAAUAAUCUUGUGCCCUAUUGCUUGGUACCUAACAGCAUAGGAUGACCUAGUAAAGUAUAACAUUUGUAGGAGUGGUCGACUUCUGAGCUUUCAACAUGAAUAAUGAAAUCACUCAUGCAUUGGUCUAUUGCUAAUCAUUGGGACAUCAACAGCUGUGUAGCUAUCAGCUCAUUUUGAAUGUUCAGCCACAUGUGUAUUCAAUGUGACCUUCAGUAUCCAACAUUUUGUAACUGUAGUUAAUAGAAAUAAUAAAAAAAAAAGAUGCUGCCAGCUCAGGUUUAUUUCAAGUUCAAAACAUACUUUGAUUUUCAGAGAGUCCGUUAAAGCAGCAGAGCCUUGUCUGCCUAAGCUAACAAUGGGACUGCUGUCUCUUACUCACACGGUCCAUUAAUGGUCCUCUUCUUUUACAUCUUGUUAUCAUAGGCUUACAAUAAGAUAAGAUAAGAUAUUACUUUAUUAGUCCCACAAAGGGUAAUACCAAUUUUACAGCAGCGAUAAAUACAGAAGAGAGACUGAAGAUGGAAGAAACUUAGGAUUUAAAAGAUAUGGAAAAAAAAAAGAUAUACACACGAGUGUUAAUAUGUCAUCCGUCUUGAUUAAAAACAGGGUCUGAACUUAUACUUAUAGCUUCUUUUUCAACCUGAUUCCUUAAAAGGCCCUCAGACAAAGUGACCUGCCUGCUGCUCUUCAUCCAGCUCUGUUAGGUUGUACCUCAAAAUUGUCCUUUUUUUGUCAUUAACGCAGUCAGUGACUACGUCCUGUAAUUAUCAUAAGGUCAAACCAGGAUCUUCAAAUCAGCUGUACUACCAUGACAUUUGAGGAGUUGUCUUAAGGUAACAUUUAAGUUUGCUUUUUAAACAAUGUACUCCUACAGUAUGUUUUAUAUCAACGUGUGCCUUUUUAUCUCCUCUGGAGCUGUGUGUUAUGACAAAUGGCUUCCAGUAUAAUGAGCAAAACAAAAGGCUUAACCUCCUCUACCUUACAUCGCCUGUCAUGAGACAGUGGACAAGACACAGCCAGUGGUCAAUUAGGACCACAUUCAGACCUACAGCCUGUAUUUACAUAAAAAGAGAGAGAAAGCACGUUAAGCAGGACUUGACCAAAGUCAUGGGUGACCCUGCCUCCCAGCUUCACAUCAUUAGCUAGUGUUUCUCCAGUUCACACUCAGACAUUUGGCCUAACCCUUUGGCACAGAUCGACUAAUUGCUCUUGAAAUUUUCCAAAGAAGACAAAUUGUGCGUAUGUCUAAGUGCAUGUGUGUGACCAAGUUGUAUUUCUUCAUGACCGCGGUGGAGGUGGAGCUGAUCCUGACAUGUCCAGUCACUGCUAAUAGGUUUGGUUGCCAGCAAGCAGCAUGGUGUGUGUGUGCGUAGUUGUGUGUGUGUGUGUAUAUGACGAGUUCAAAGCAUAGGGAGAGGUCAAAACAGAGACAGAUGUGAGAACAGACUCUGUGACAAGAACCCCCAUCACAACCCUCUGAUGUGGUCGCUGCCUUUGCUCCGUGGCCCAGGUCACUUCACAGUGUGGCGGUGUUCAUGUACCUGAAGGUGUGUGUCUGUCUGUGCGAGGUGUCACUCAGACACUGUGCCCUUCUGUGUUAAACAGAGAGAGGAGGGGACAGUGAAACAGCAGGAUAGAGGUCCGUAUGAAGCAGUUUACACGUGUUUACAUUGACGUGAGAGUGCAAAUGCUCGUCUCCACAGACGCCUGUGGACAUGUGAGGGAGAGGAUAUUUCGGUAGAGCGAGAAAGGUCAAAAACAUCUGUGACAUUAUCAGCUAAGUGUACUUGCUCUAUGCAAAACAGGAAGCUGCUAUCUCUUGAUGUCUGGGAGACAAGGUUGCACCAACAUUUACAUUCACAGGGUGGUUAUUUACCCCACAGGGUCAGGAUGUCAGUCAGUGCAUCAACCAUGUUUUUUAUGGACUUUUGACUUCAUUAUAAGCUUCACACUUCCGUUUGAGCCAACAUUUAAGCCAACAGGCACCACUAAGAGUAUGUCUCCAUUGAGAAAUAAACAGCUAUCACUUCUGAAAUGCUUCUGAGCCUGCAUUUACCACGGCCUUAGGUUGGCUGGUACACUAUGGUAGACUGUAAAACACUUCUUAAUUUAACACUUGGUGCACCUGCUUUUUUACAGUUAUUAGCAUCGGAUAAAAAACCAUAUAGAUUUUAUCAUUUUCAUAUCUUAAAGUGUAGUCUGCUGAGCUGGGAAAAUCUUAUUUAACACAAAAAUGUCCGUCUUGUUUUUAGGGUUCACCGUAGAUUUGCUCCCUGUCCCCGGUCCAGCUUCAUCAAAUUCAGAACAACAACAAAUGCUUAAAAGAACCACUUUUGAUCAAGACUUUAUGACUUUGUCAGGAACCUCUAUUUCAAUACAAUAAAAAAUAAUAAUAAAUUGACCAAAUUAUAGAAUUCUUUUAUUAAAAUUAUGGCACUUGUGGUGUUAGGGUCGCUGUUGACCCGGUUAGAUCAAUAUCUAAUAAUCAGAGCAAAAACUGAAAUCAUAAGUGAACUGUCAGGCAUCACACUGACAGUCAGAUCCUCUUCCAAUCAUGUGAGAUUUAAGAAAUUCUCAUUUGGCCAUGUUUUUCCCUGCACAAAAAACAGCCUCAGGCAUGUCCAGACAUGAGAUCAAUUCAGUAUAGAUGUCUGUGUGAGGGGUGUACUGACAAAGAAAGGCCCAGAGGAGCACUACAAAAACUGUUAUACGCAAUAUUUUUAUUGAUAAUGAAGCCGUACAAGGUAACCUAGAGAUGAGAACCAAAUGUAUGAUAGAGAAUUGUUUUUAGAAAGUGUUUUGGGCUUUCCACAGUAAGAGAUCCUGCUUCACAGACAAGUUUCAGGUCUCCAAUUAUCAAUAUGCUGAAAUCUUUGAGUUAACUGCAGUGUCUUUAAGAGUUCGAUGGAAUAUUUAGGGCUAACUUGUUUCAAUAUCAGCCCCACUCUGAGUUACAAGGCUGCCAAAGUUGUUGUUUGAAGAGCUCAAUUCUCCCCUCAGGAGAAGUUUUUGCAGUUACGGUGUAACUUUGCGUCCAUACAUCAAUGAUGUGGCCUUGCUGUUAAUAAAACCCUGGCAACUGGGCUGUAAAUUGGCUCAGGAUUUCACAGUGAAAUACAUACUAGGUUUCCUGCUAUCAAUUUCCUGUGUUACUCUAUCACACAAGACAUAAAUGUGUCAAACUGUGUCAAUGUUUUUAAAGCAGACUUUGUUCUAAAUUAUUAUGUAAAGAUAAGCGAUAUAAGCAGCAUGGUAUAUGAAUAUUCUGUCUGUGACAAGAUAAGAAAAAAGAAGACACAGAAAUGUUUUAAUGAGUGUGAUAACUGGGUGAAUGCACACGCUGUAUCAUCGCAGAGUGACGAUGAUAUGCUCUGUGUAACACAUUCUGCCUUUGUUCUCCAAUAACAAGAGCACAAUCAAGAAAAAAGUAUACUCAUUAUCAGCCGGUCUCAUUAAUAAUGAACACCACGCUGGUUUAAACAGCUAAAUGGGGUUUGAUGCCAUCUCACACACUGUCUUGAUUCGAUCUCACAGCAGAAAUUAUGUUCAGGCAAGGUUUUUGUGUUUGAAGGAGUGUUAAAGAUACAACUGUCUGGGGCGGGUGGGGUAGAACGGGCCUAGUAGUCAUUUUCUAAUGAGGUCACACACUGCUUCAUUCAUUGGAGGGACGAUAAGAAAUACAGUACAAACAAAAUACCUGCUACAUCAGUAGGUUUUGAGAAAUGACGGAUACAGAAGGUUAUACAGGAUUUACAUUCGCAACAGGUUCAUUUGUCAAAUUGCUUUUGGUAACAUUUUAUUUGACGCCUAUCUCUAUAACGCAUUAUAAAUAUAUGUAUAAUGCGUUAUAAUCACAUUAUAGCGCUGUAUAACUAUAGUUAUAAACACUCAUAAAUGAUCAUAAUGCUUUAUAGCAAUUAUCACAACACAUUAUAAAGCAUUUUAUCAUGACUUACAAUAGAUAAUGCAAUGCAACUUUUGUUAACAGUAAUAAAGUGUAAUAAAGUGUUACCAUGCCUUUUUAUUCAUUAAUAAUGUAAACAAACUCAAAUCCAUGCCUUUCUGUUCAAAGAGGGUGAUUAACUUGUAAGCUCAGAUAGGCUGGUUAUCACUCUUUGGUCAAUUCUUAGCAGAGCCUGAAAAGAUAGUUUUGUGUUUUUAGUCAGAGGAGCUGCUCUAGUCAUGUGGUGAGAAAGACAAACUGCUGCUGAUAAUAAGUGAAUAAUUCAAAUAUCAUCUAGUUACCAAUGAGUUCAGACAGCAGUAUACAAAGCAUGUUUAUGAAUUUAAAACCAGAAAACAUUUUAGUGGAAAAAGGAAAGUGCCAGUACACUCCUUAUUCACCUUUACUAUAUGCUGAUAAUAUGCUUUUGUGCAGCAAAAAUCAAAGGGCAUCUAGUGACUACCGCAAAUGCAAAAGAAACACCUUGCUUAAAUAUAGCUUUAUUUUUUAUGGUUCUAUCAGGUUUGCUACCAACAGACAAUUAAGGCUGGUGCCACAAACAGCUAGUAAACUUGGCAAAGAUGACUCCACAGUCAGGGAGUGAAUGAAUAAUGACUGUGAAACAGAUUUCGUAUAACUACACAAGAACAAGGAGACAAAUUAUGGUAUAUCUCUUACUGCAACACAUUUGUCAAAUAUGGUGAGUACUGGGAUAGAUGAGAAGCUCCCAUCACUCCUUGGCCUGAUCAGUCCUUCUUGUUGAUUUUAAAUCCAAUCACCUUUUCACUGCCAGGCCAAUAUUUCUCAUUUUUAUCCAAAUCUUUCAGCAAAUUAUCCCAUGAUAGGUCAUUGUCCAGAGGAAGAGGGCAGUAGGGAUUUACUGAAUGCUUAACUAUCUUGAUACUUGAAGAACAGGAAGUGUGUCUCUACAAAUGCGAGUUUGCUAAAAGUGAUAGAGGAGAUGUCAGACAAGGCAGUCAAAACAAGUAAGUGAAUCAGGAUAACUGUUAUGACUGCAAAAUGUGAGUGUUGGUUCGAGGAUUAUGGACAUCUGAGAGAUCUGGGCUGCUGGCUUUGAGACUUAGAUCCCCCAAAUGUUAAACUUUAUGAAAGUAGAGCUAAUCAAACAGGGAUGCUUUUACACAGGGAUGCUUUUACAAAUGUAUGGUGUGUGAUUACUACAUCGCUCAAGCUUUUUCUCUUCUGAGAGCUGUCAAAUUACACAACUUUUAAAACUGGGAGCAAAUCAAUGAGGACCGAUUCUUCCUUCAACCGUUGAAAUCAACAAAAACAAACCAAUUGUAACAGGUUUGAGGUUUUUGUAUUGUGUUUAAAAUUGAAUUGUGAUUGUAAAGUGAGAAAAUCUGGCUUUCCACAGUGUUAGUUCUUUAUAAAAACAGGGCAGCAUGAACAUGCAGACUCACACUUGCAUCAGUCAGAUUAACUAGGACAAAUAGCAAAUCUAAACAGUCCCCACAUGAACAAACAUUGACAGAAUGCAUUGUUUCAAAGAGAAAAGGCUCAUGCAUAAUUAAUGACUGUAAAUAAAGGCUGUGACUCCAAUUAUAUCUGUUAAAAAAUGAUCAAAAAGAAAAUUAAUAUUGUCAACCUGUCACACAUUUACAGGAAAUUUGGGUGAUAAAUGAGUUCAUAUAUUACCAACAUAAUGAAGCUUCCUAUUCAAAAAAUAAGUUAAUAAAUGAGCUACAUUUCCUCUUUUUAUGCGUGUUUGUGUGUGUUUAUACACAGUUAUGUGUGUGUGUGUGUGUGUGUGUGCUCGUUUGUUUGUGUGUACGUGCAGGCCCAUGAGGGAGACAGAUGGGACAGACCUCCACCACCUCACACUACUUUCUCUCUGCAUGAGUUCCCACCACAGUCUGUGGGUUGUCUUAGUGCCAGAGCAUUACACACAUACACACACACACACACACACACACACACACACACACACACACACACACACACACACACACACACACUAGAGCUCAUGUGACAACAACCACUGUUCAUUAAUCAUCUGUAUGUGUAAAUUAGGCAUGAAAAAAAGAGGAUUUGGAGCAUAAAACCUUGGACAUACUGUCCUUCCCUGUGUUCUGUGAUCAUAAAUUAGAUGAUGGACUGAAGUUAACGAGGUGCUGUCCUGCUACUUUUAUGAUCAACCAACCUUGGUGAAGUUUAAAUGACACCAGGGCAGGUGGGUAGGUUGUUGGUCAUAUCUGCUCUUGUGCAUCAAGCAGGCAUCAUCAAACCCAGAACAGGUUGCCCUUCAGUCCAGACCUGAUGUUGAUAUUGAUGAGCUCUUCUUUUCAUGCCUGUAUGACUCUCUGAUUCACACACGGUGCGGCUCUAUGUAAAAGCUUUGGAUCAAGAAUGGACUGACAGCUUCCCUCUGGCAUUUCUCUCUCUCAUGUUUUGAUAUCGCAGUGAAUAUUAAAGCGUCAAGAGCACAGAUCUCUUCAACGCUCUUACCGUUGAAAUCUGAGCUGAACAAAGGAAAUGAACAAAUAAGCACACAGUACCAUCAAUUCAUCCGCCUGCUGACACAAUUAUACAUUGUCCAACAACUUGUGUAUGUUCACAUUUUGUGACUAGAUAAAAAUCUUCCCACUCACGACAGGAGAGAGAGAGAUAGAGAGAGAGAGAGGUAGAUUACUUGUUAGGGGGUAAAAUGAACAAUCUGCAUGAAGUUGUCCUUUCCUGAUGGUACUGAUUGGACAUGUGUUGUUUCAGUCAUUAUCCACUGUCUCUUGGGGUUUGUUGUAUGCAAAAGACAAGAUAUUUUCAGGCUGUGAGAAAAUGUGCCCUAAAACGAUUACACAUUACUACACAUCAGGCAACAGGCAGGAUAGUUUGACCUGGAGGACAGAGUAGACAGUGUUUCUGUACAUAAAGGAACAUAUAGCAAUGUGUUAGUAUAUGUUGGAUAUGUUACAUCUUUUCAAACAAGCCUCAAAGAGAGGAGAACAUAUAGACAAAAAGACAGAAAGACAGACAGGGAAUAAGAGACAGAGAGACGGAGACAGAAAGACUAUAGAGCUGACACAUGCAGGACUUCCCAGAUCUGUGCCAGUAGGCCGAGAGCAAUUCCUUUGAAGAGGAAAGGCUUUUCCAAUAGAAGAAAAGAAACAAAAGAUAAGAAAGCAUCAGAUGCAGAAAAAAAAAAAGAUUGGCUGCUCUGAAAACAACCCCAAUUAUUCUGCUGCGAUCUGAAACCACAGCAACAGAACAGAGAACCGCCCGGAAGAUGCUGGAGCCUGUUUUUCAGCUGAGUAAUAUUUCUGGGGUGCAAAGGGACUCCCGCUGAGAGAGGCUUCAAAUCCGGCUGAGAUGUUAUGGCAGCUGAUGACAGAGAGGAUGCAAACUUAGGCUGACUCAUAUAACUGGCUAAAAAAGAAUGAAAACAACUGGAUAUCCAACAAAAUCCAAACAGUUUUGGCAUCUCAAAGCAAUUUUUGGCUCAACUACCGAUGGACCCAAAGAUAUCAGAAGCAAAAACUUACAAAGAGACGAACACAAACAAACAGAAAGACAGCUCUCUCAUACCACACGCCGUUGACAUCCAGACUGUUCAACACUUCUCUCUGAGCUCUAACAGUGUGUCUGACACUGCAGCUGAGGGUUAUUUUUGACAUAAAAAUUGUCCUUGGUCACUUUAACCUGCCAUUGAAGAAGGUACAGUUAUGAAAGAGCUGGCACAUUUCUCAGAGUUAGUGGUGCAUGCUGUAUUUAUUUCUGAAGUGGUGCAUUUCCGAGUUGUUUCUAAGGUGGUGCAUGGUUGAUUUAUUGCUAAAGUGGUGCAUUUUUUGAUUAAUUUCAAUAGUGGCGCAUUUUUAGGUUACUUCUAAGGUGGUGCAUUUCUGACUUUAUUUUAAGGUGGGGAAUUUUUUUGCCUAAGGUGGUGCAUGGUUGAUUUAUUGCUAAAGGGGUGCAUUUUUAGUUUAUUUCAAAGGUGGUGCAUUUUUGAUUAAUUUAAAGGGUGGUGUAUUAUUUUAGUUAUUCCUAAGGUGGUGCAUGCUGUAUUUAUUUCUAAAGUGGUGCAUGUAUGAAAUUUAUUGUAAGGUGGUGCAUUUUCAAUUUAUUUCUAAGUUGGUGCAUUUUUUAUUUAUUUCUGAGGUGGUGCAUUUUUUAUUUAUUUCUGAGGUGGUGCAUUUCUGAGGUGGUGCAUUUUCAAUUUAUUUCUUAGGUGGUUCCUUUUUUUAUUUUUUUAUUUCUAAGGUGGUGCAUUUCUGAGGUGGUGCAUUUCUGAGGUGGUGCAUUUCUGAGGUGGUGUAUUUUUGAUUUAUUUCUGAGGUGGUACAUAGUUGUUUAAAAAAAACAACGAAAAAUCAGCUUCCACUUCUGUAUUGUGUAAACUCCUGGAUUUAUCAUGUUGUUUUGCAAAAAGGAGAUAAAAGCAGCCAGUGAUGGCAUUUCUGGCUUGAAUUACUUUUCUUUGCAGUGUUCUGUUUUUAUUCAUGUUUUACACAAUGCCCCAUCUUCAUUGGAAUUGGAGUUUGUUGAACAGUCUCAAUGACUAAGAACCUACAUGGGCAUCCUUAAACCAUUUCAUAAUUUUCAUCACUUUAUUAACCACGUAGGAUAAAUAUUUUUUUAUAAAUCGUAGAAAGGCUUUAUCAGUUUUGUUGCGAAUAUCUUAUCUUUUUACUGUUAUCAGGACUGUGUGCCACAGCAAACACUGUCAGUUCUGAAUAGGUCCCUAGCUUCUCCCAGAUAAGUACCUUGGAAAGAGCUGUGUGAAAUACUCCUGACAAAUACAAGUGAGGCUGCAGGGUCUGAGUAAAUGGCUUCAAGAAUAAAUGACAAUAAAUGAAUACAGUCGAUUUAAUUAAAAACCAGAGACUCAGAAUAAACAUAUUCAACCCCCACAGAAGACCUUCCUUGGCUGGGUCAUUCAAUGAACUCAUGAUAUAUACAGACUUUGUGAUCUGGGGGUACUCAAAAAACUGAGUGAAGUAAAAACUGAUUUGAUAAUUGCAAAAAGUUUACAGAUGCAAACCAAACCUCAAGAUGCCCCCCUGAGGUUAAGAGCAAGGAAUUGGCCGUUUUACUUUAUCCUGAGUUGCAGCUACUAAUGGACUCAAAUAAACUCUUACCAGUCCUGUAUGAUGUGACCUUUACAUACAUUCACAGUUCAAUCACUGCUAUUGUCAGCACCACUGGUUUAAUCAUGGACUUCUAUAUUAGGCUGACAGGUUCACAGCUGGUCAGCUCAGUGUCUAGAUGAGGACUCUCAUGAAACACUGUAUAAUUACAUUUAUAGUAGUAGAGUCAGAACGGCUCUGUCUUUUUAUACAUCGGAAUAAUGACUCCGGUUGGAAAUGUUGAGUAUAUCAGUGACUAACUACAUAAAUUAUACAUGUAAAAAAUGUCAGUAAUCUUUCCACAACAGCUUAUCAGGAGCACAUUUGUAUCAGUUGUCCCAUCGUCAUUUAAUGUGUUGAAGAAAAAAAAAAAUUCUUUUUGUCUCAAAAAUAAAUCCACAUUCUGCACCCCGUCAAUGAAACAUUCAGCAGUUUUCUUAUCUGACUAAUAUUGCCUCAAAUCAUUUAAAUGUGGCAGAAUGCACUGAAUGCAGAAAAAAUAUGUGUGUUUACGGUUUAUGCUUUAAUGAUCAGAGAGAAAAAUUUACACCAUGCAAAUCUUGCUCAAAAUGCAACAGUUUAAUCAUUUCAGCCUAAUUUAAAUAUAUUUGUUCUUUAUGUAAUAUUGAUUAUUCUUUGUGAGCUUUGUUAGUAUUUCUCUGUUGGUCAUGUCUGUGUCCAUUCUGCUUUCAUUUGUUUUGGUAAUUAUUGUAAAUUGAUCAAAAAAUUACAAAAGUGAGGGGUUCUUCUUUUCUUACAAGGAUACUCAAAUCAAACCAUGCAGGAAUUUGUCAAAUGUGACGAACGCCAUCCGACGAGGUGGGAUUCUGUCACCUCACCUCUUUAAUUUGCAUUUCCUUCUUUCUUUAUAUCUGAUCAAGUCCUAAGUGUGGUGGAGAAAGUUGAAUAUCUGGGGCAUAUUAUCAGGAACCAUGUAAGAGAUGAUGAUGAUGAACUACAGCGCAGUGCAGCAAACUGCCAACAUGAGCCAUCAUAUUGGCUCGUAAAUUUGCAAUAUGCACAAAUGUUGAGAUGGAGCUCUUUAGAGCUAACUGAAGUCCAUUUAACACAGCUCGUCUGUGGUGCAGUCUCAGUUAGGAUAAACUGGAGAAAAUUCAACGAACAUACGAUGAUGCAUAUAGAAUCUUAGGUUUCCAAGAUGGAUGAGAGUAAGUUUUAUGUUUGUUUCGAAUUACACCUUUAAACUCAAUGCUGUACUGAGAAUUUUUUCCAUAAAUAAGUGUGUUGAUUCAUUGAUUGAUUUAAAUUUCUGUUGUUUUGGAGACAUUGGAAAUAAUGUCUUUUUGGUUUUUGAUCACUGACUCCAUGUGAGGUGUUGCUCUUUUAAUUUUUUUGCUCUUCUUGUAUUGUAUUUAAACAUUUUCUAUUUUAUAUGCUUUUUAUGCUGAUAUGGACCUAUGGGUCUACAUUGCAGUAUUAUUAUUAUUAUUUUUAUUAUUAUUAUUAUUAUUAUUAUUAUUAUUAUUAUUAUUGUUAUUACUUUUAUUGCUCUUAAGUUUUUAUCUAGUUUAGCUUUGCACUCGUUUGGGGAAAAAGUCUGAAAUUGCUAUAUACAGUAUUUCUACAUAAAAGUUUCACUGUCGCUUUCCGUCAUAAUUAACUUGCGGCUUCUUUUUUCCGUAUGUCCUCUUUACUUUAGAUUCAAAUAAUUAUUUAUAUGUGUUGGCAGGACUAAAGACUUUUUUAACCCUCUGUCUUUCCCCGGAGAUGAACAAUCCACCAAGUGGCUUAUUAGAGCAAUUCAUCAAAUCAGCAGGCAGUGCUGAUUAAAUCAACUUGGUAAUAAAUGGAAUGAUCUAAAGCCUUCUGAAGCCCAGAGUCCUCGCAGCCCACCUGUCCGAUUAGGAGGCAAUUUAUCCGCAAGCUUUCCACAGAAGCGUACUUUAAUUGGGGAAAAAUGCGAAUGUCAUUCUGUUUGCCUGUUGGCAGAAACAGCAUGUUCUUGAUUUAGUAUUGCUGGGAAAAACUUUGGCUUCAUGAUGAAACAAUCUUCAUUUCACACCAUCUCAGGGCCUAUGGGAGGGGACUGUGCAAUGUUGACUGUACGGUGACGUUGACUUUCUCUUCUGUGAUAGAUUUAUAAUGCCAGACCACAAAAUGGACCUGUGAAUUUCUGCACGCAUGUGAUAAGUACAUGUGAACCCAGCGCAUAGUGGCAUAAAGCAAAAUGAAUGAUCACAGGGGAAAAUGGCAGGUGUUCGUCUUUGUGUACAUUUGUUUACCAAAGCUGUGGAUGAAUAAAUGAUUGAGAACCACAAACAGAACCUGCUCUUUCAGUGCCACACCAUCACAACAACAACUACAUCAACACCAAAAUAUCUUCUUUAUUUAAACAUAACGUAAAAAGAAAUGAUACCAUCGCAAAAUCUUAGAUGAAUACUGAACAGUCCACAAACUGAAGUAUCUGAUCAACAGACUCAUCAUUUAAAAAUUUUAUAUGUUUAAUUCAUUAACAACAAUGUUGAGUAAUUUAAGGCUGAUAUUCAACAAACCCAGCCAAUAAACUCAAGCACUCUUAAAAACCAACAUUAUUCAACCAUAGAAACUAGCACAGGGCCACCAGAAAGGGUUUUCAAUCCACUCCACUUUAUUUAUAUAGUACAUUUCAACAAGCAUGUUUACCAGAGAUCUGCACAGUAAGAUAAGGAUGCACUUAUGUUGCUCUUUUUACUAGGAGUCCAGGGUUCUCGGAUUGAACGGAAAAAAGAAAAGAGCCAAAGAUGGAAGUAAAACAGAAAACUAUCCAUCUUGAUUACACAUAGUGGACUCAACAGAGAAACCCACAGCUUACCAAAGACACAGUAAUCCAUGAACAUCAACAUGGGGCUAGUAUGGUUUCCUUACCGUGAUAAAAGAGAGCCAGCUUUAAGACCUCUGAAGAUUCAGAGAAACCAUGAGGAAAUUUUUUAAUGUUUAUGAAAAAUACAUAAAUUCAUACUAAUGCCUUUUUAUAAUACCUAAAAGUAAACAAGAGCAUCUGGGACUGUAUAUCUUCACUUUUAGUGCCUGAACCUGGUGUGUGGGGGGAAUAGAUGUCAGCCCAGCAGCUGAAGAAAAAGUCCUGUUUUUACCAUCCCCACACUAAGUAUUCAUCUAAAUAAUACAUUUGACCCUCACAAUUCAGCAGGAUGAGAUUUUUGUGCUCAACUUGGUAGCGGCAAAGUCUGGUCUCUAAAAUUUUUGCAAUUUUUUCUAUAUUUUUCAUGUUUUUGUUGUGUUUUGUGAACUGCUGAUGGAUGUUUCUGCUGGGAGGAGAGUUUCUUCAAGAGAGGAGCUUCUUUCAUGGAGACGGAGCAAAUCUGAACAACAACAUCCAAUUUUAGCAGACAUCUGGAGGUGUUUUUGUGGUUGCCAUGCAGGUGCACAGGUGAAGGCAAAGUUGAAGGCUUGGAAACGGAGACAUAAACCCUUCCUUUCAUCGGUCAUCAUGGGACAUGUCAACUCUCUGCCCAACAAAAGCGAGCAGCUGGAGAUAUUGAAGACUGAGAAAGCCUAUCGUGAGUGCAGUCUCCUGUGUUUUACGAAAACAUGUUAGGAUCGAGACAACUCAGACUCUUCCUGGUUUCACUCUUACAAGGUCAGACAGAGAUGCUCAAGCUAGUGGCAAGAAGAAAGGAGGAGGUCUGGCUCUAUUUGUUAACCAGAGAUGGUGUAACUCUUUACAGAUAAACUAACUUCACCAACACAAAACUUACAAGGUGACUACGUAAAACUGAACAUUUUAAGUCAGUCACGUGACGCUGAUGGAACAUGCCCAUCGGUGUCAAUGGAAGAGGAACAACUCAAGCACUGUACCUGGAGGAGAGUCUCUUUAGUUCACAGCUGGGCAGCAACAACUGCUCCCUCUCAUGGGAUUAAAAUAAUCUACUCGCUUCAUUCACGCAAAUCUAGACACGUGAAUGAAUAGUAUUUACUCACUUCAUUCGCAUGCCAACGGUAAUUUCAUUGGUAAUCCCUGCCAAUUAAACUGGCGGGAUCAAGUGAUAGACAAAGGUUUUCUCCAAUUUACCAGGUAAUCCGACCUCCUCACUGACUUGCCUCCAGGAGAGCUUCUUUUAAUUCCGGUUUCAGUAAUUGAAAGAAAAGGUAUCAUAUAAUUCGGGGCACCCACACACUGACACGAUCAGUUUGUCCUCCAUUUAUGAUAACAGUGAACAAUCGAUCGUUUUCAUACGUCACCUGGCAACCUUAAUGCUGAUUAGUUAUUGCGGCAUGAAUAUCCACUCAAGUUGAGACAUUUUCAGCCUCGCCCAAUUCACGUCAUUGGCGCCGCCAGAUUAGUAGGAGCAUCUAAUUGUGUCUUUGCAUUGACUAAACGUAAUUCAUUCUUUUAAUGAUUUUACUCACACUUGGUGAGUGGAGACAGUCACAGAGGUCCACUAAUGUCUGCUGUUUGGAUGAUGAAACAUUUGGAGGUUAAGUUCAGUAGGUAGACCAACUCCAAUUAUUUAUGAACAGUCAAAACUGAAGCUUGGGUACUGUUCUCUUACGCUACAGAGUACGGUUUCAUUACCCCUGACAGUUUUAUGAGUUUCACUUCAUGUCUUAGAUAAAGGUCACAUACCGGCCUUGUUUUAGAGUAUUUUCACAUUGUUUACCACAUAAUCAAGCUCCAAACUGACUAAAUGAGUACCCCCGGUGUGAAUGUAGAUGAGCUGGUGUAUAGGGAAUACUUAUGCUAAUGCACAGAAGUGUCAGUUUAUGUGUUUGUACUUGUGUGUGACAUUCUAAGCAUACUUGCUAAUUCCCAGCUUUUUGUGACUGUAUCUGUAUGCAGGGAAGAAGCGGAGAACGUUAGCUUUUGCCAGCAUUCAGCAAGCAUCAGAUGGCUUGUGAUGAAUAGUCAAUUAACUAUAAACUUGUUCCAGGAAUGACCAGUGAACAAGGGAGGAGAGGAUGGCUGGUGGAAAAAAAAAAAAAAAAAGGCAUCCAUUAUCUAGCAGCUAAUUAUCUAGCCACUGCCAUUUCCAUCCUGGAGAUAGCUGUGUGAUUAAAGGGUUUGGUCAAUCAAAUAGAUAACAGGGAUUAGAACUGGAGAAAGGGAGAGGAAAGAAAGGGGAAAAGACACGAAAUGAGUCAGAGGAGAGGUGGCUGCCUGAGGCUCAACUUUAUGUGCUGAAGCUUUAAAAACAAGCGCGAUGCCAUUAGAAACCGCUCCAAUCUUUCGCUUUUUAAUCUCAUUACUUUGAUUCUUUAAACUCUUCUUAGGGAUGUCAAAUACGGUGAGUUGUUUGACAGUUUUUCAAAGUAAUGUCAGAGUUAUACGACACUUUUUUAAUACCCUAUCUGAGGAUAAAUCAAGAAUAAUUCAAUUCUUUUUUUUUUUAAUAUCACAAUUUUCAGCGAUUUUUAGGACAAAAUCUUGAUAAUUUAUUAAAACUGAAACUCAACCAUCCAGAAAGUAAUCCUCAUUCAUGCUUUUUUUGUCCUGGGCCACUAAAAACAAACCUUGAAUAGACGUAGGUGUUCAGUUUUUGCUUGCAGGAACCCUCAUGAAAACUGUAUUGCCCUGAUGAAGAACGAUUGCAACAAGGUUUCACAGUAUUUCACGGUACUGACGAAAAAAACGUGAUUCUGACAGCGACAUAUAUAGAGAAAGAAAAAGACUCAACAGAUUCACAGGAAGAGAAAAAGCUCUUUUUUAUUUUACCCCAGUGCCAAAUUAGCUUAGCAGAUAAAUUAUGUGCCCCCUGCACAGAGGCUAUAAUCCUCUAAUAGGGCAGCCCAGGCUCAAAUCUGACCCUCACCCCUUUUGCUGGCGGGACACUAAAGUUUUCUCAUAAUAAUAUGGCACCAGCUGUUCUCAGAACUUUACUAUAGUCCGAGGGCCCAUUUGUUUUGGCACUUUUCAAACAUGAAACACAUUUCUUAUCAGCUAACUGCGCCUGUGAUGUGUGAGCAGCACUAUGACGCAAAUCAUUCUUAUUGAAGAGGUAAUGACUUCAUCAGCACAGCAGCAUCCUGGGGAAAGAAAACCAAGCAUAGUAGACACACACGGUCAGAAUUUAUACAUGCCCAGUUAAUUUAAGCUGUGUCAUGGCUCUGUUUAAAGACCCACUCCAAGGAAAAUCAUGUUUUUCUUGUUUUUUACAUGUUCAUAUGACAUUUUUUCUGAUGCUACAGAACACACUAUGAGAAAGUAAGUGUGAAAUUUCAUUUCUGAGUAUUUCUUAAUUCGACCCAAAUUGCAGGUUCAGACACAGUGAGAUUUCCUACGUAGCAAAUCCAAGCUCCGCCCCCGGAGCCCGCAGGCCACACUCAGAGAAAUACAGAGGAUGAUUGCAGAAGAAACAUGUGCAUUAGCAGAUUGCAAUGCUCGUAAGCUUUCAUCACGUCCCUCUAGAUGUUAGUGUCUGAGAGCUAAACAGCUCUUAUGUUACUUGGCACUUCUCCUACACCAGCAAUAUUAGCCUACAAGCUAAUGUGAGGAGAAGUGCGCAGAGCAGCGCUGUCUACAUCCAUGACUAAUGAAGUGCUAAUGAUCUACUUGAGCUCUGCAGAGGAAAAGUUCUUGAAAAUUACACAAGCAUUGUGAUUCAGGCUAAAAACUAAAUAAUCACAACUUAGAGACCACUGCUAACACUUUAAAGUAGUAAAAAAAAUCGAUCGGAGUUCGACUUUAACUAGACUGUUGUCCUGGUCCCAGUUUGCAUGCACUGAAUGCAAGAAAUGAAUUAUUUCCGUUAGUUACCAGCACUGGUGAGUAAUUUCUAACAUUUCAGUCCAAUACUGUAUCUAAGUCAAUUAUUGCCUUUACUUUGAUUUAUUGUGAACGUAAUAUUUAGCAUUUCAGUUUGAGAUGACUGCGAGCAAAAACCGACACAAAGCAUGUACCCCUGUUUAAGACAAAAGGACCCCAAAAUAUAACUGCAUCAGGUCCAAACACAAAUCUGUUGCACGGCUGUCUCCAAGCCUGCAGAUCCAAUAGGCUGAUCCAUGCACUGCAGCUGGAGAAACAUGGAGCAUGAGCUGUGUCUACAAAUAUUAGUGCAAACUUGAAUGGCCUUAUUGACAGCGAAGUAAGUCCACUAGCAUUUACAGCUUAGGGUAGAGAGGGGGAAAAAAAAAACUCAUACAUGCUGCUUUUCACUCAGUGCCAUGCCCUCCCUGCUGGGGAUCUGCGAGAACCGCUGAUUCCUUCACCACAGAGCCUAACGGAGGACACUUGACGGCACUCAUGCAGCACAUGAGUACCACCCCAUCUGUAUAAGGGUAAAUGUCAUAAAAAGCUUAGGUGCUGGACUUUUACAGUUUUUAAGCACUGACCUGGAUAAUGGGUUCACUUGUUGAAUUUGGAACCUUCUUUGAGAGCAUUAAGAUCCUGUUUUUCAGUGGUAUCUUUGAAAAGUCUGUGCGCAGUUUGCUGUCAGUUUGUCACCGUUAUAAAGAGCUGUAAAGAUUAUGAGUUGGGUGGCCUUGGAUUAUCUUUACUCUUAAAAAAAUAAGUGUACAGUACACUAAAUGCCAUCUGGACAGUGUUAUUUGUAUGUGUAAUGAGUCAAGGCUUGAAGGAGUUUGACGGUAUUUGAAUCACUAAAGUGCUCUAACGUGUUUUUAUGUGGCUAAGUUACACGGGUAUGAACCACAUUGUUAUUCAACGGCAGACAUUUUUUAACAGUAUUUUUAUGAGCACCAUUAUCCAGAAUUGUUGACAAGUAAAGAAGAUAAGAUAAGAGAGAUAAACCUUUCUUCGUCUCAUGGUGGGGAAAUUCACGGUGUUACCGCAGCAAAGGAUCAGCAUAAGUACACUCAUCAUGCAAUCAUACAACUCCUCACACACACACACAAUGUCUUCUUUAAAACAACAGCUUUGGAGGAUCUGAAUUAGCAUCCGUCAUGUAUGUCCUGAUUCCUAAUUUAGUCAGUUCAUUGAACUUUUUAGUGCUUACUUUUUAUGAAUACAUUAACUUUUCCAUCUCAUCCAGGAAUAAAAACCAUUUGAUAUUCAACCUUUUAAGAGUUUUAGGCCUUUCAAGUCACAUUUCUUUUUAUGCCAAACAAACGGGCGAAUGGAAAUGCACUUGCAUGCAAUGAUUACAGAAACGUUGAACAGAGGGGGAUAGACAAUGGUUUUAAAUAAACAGACAUCAACAAGCAACACUGUUAGGGGCACAUUUAUGCCUUUAUUUCCUAUUUUCUACACGUUCACAUGCACAGGCAUGCCGUGCCUUUGGAAGUGAUCACAGUUUGUAUGUUUGUUUGAUUGUGAGAUAUAUUUUCUGUGAUCACUGGGCAGCUCAGUGAGGCUGAUUAAAUCUCAGCUCAGUGGGAGCUUUGUGAUUGGUUAAUUCCCCAGAGGGUCUUGUCCAAUAGAGACAUGCAAGGUCAGGUUGGAACUCAAACAAUGUGACUACCAACUAAAGCUUCAGGUUUGCACCACAAACACAGUGCCUCCACAUGUGUAUACAUGCUCAAAUAUACACUAAAGCUUUUGUGUACAUAAAGAGGAAACCCCCCGGACAGACACAGUGUAAUAUGAAUGACCAAUAUCCGACUUAAUAUGACACAAACAAUAGAAUGGUAUUUGCUUUAUGGAGAAGGAAAACAGAGAGAGGGAUGUAAAUAAACUGCAGGACCGUCAUAUACAUCAACCUAUUCCUUUAAAACACCCCUUUACUCCUCCUAACAGACAUCAUAGUGGACCUAUAGGGACAAUAAUAUUUGUCUUAUGUAUAAUUAUAUCAUGACUUAAAGAAGGAGAGUCUGUGGCACCUGUUGGUAGAGUUUGACUGAGCAAAACCCCAUACAUCACCCUAAAAUAUGUUAUUUAUUGCAGAUGCUUGGAUUUUUCUGCUAUGUCCAUUUUUUGUGACCUGGACUAAGGCAAUUUUUACGUUAAGUUUCAAUUUUUGCAGCAUCCAUCUUCUUUUAUUUGAGUUUUGACUUAUUGCCUUUUGGAGGUAUACUUCUGUCAGAGGCUCACACAAAGAUUUAUGUAGCUAAGGAAGCUGACUCUAAAAACUUGUUCUGGUCAGUAGACUUGAUAUGUGUGAUUUUUUUAGACCCAAGAGUGGCAUCAACACACAUCAACACACCAAAACCUGAAAGAUGCUUAAAUACAUAAUAGAGCAUGGAUAAUACUGCUUAAACCUGCUUACAUAUAUGGAUUUUAUUUAUCGCUAAUUAAACGAGGAUGAAUAAGAAAUUAGGUAAUGGAUAUACAAUAAUUAAUUUGCUGUAUUAAGUCUUCAUAAAGGCACACUGUAGUUCCAGGCCAGAUUAGUUACACCAUGAAAGAGGAGCAAUAACACUGAAGCCCAAUUAAACGCUGCAGCUGUCAGCUUCAUGUAAAAGAAAAAAACUGAGUCUCUCUAUAAAGAAACAGGGAGCAGUACACUCUGAUGUUUAAGCAUCAUUGUACACCCAAGGGACUGAUAUUAUGAAUUUGAGAGGAGUGAGUUAUUCUUUUAAAACUGUGCCUUUUUGUCCCUCGUGGGUCACCAUAGCUGAAUUUUUCCGCUGCUGCCAUGAUGAAACACAAAACAACGCCAUUGCACCUUUGAAUUGAUCAUUUUUCUCAUGGUGAAAUAAACUGGCUCAAACUUAAAAGGUAGUUUCACACUUUCCCCAAGAGUGAUGGAGGUCUGGCACUCCCAUGCUUCAGGCACUGAUGUCGGGCCUUUAAUUAAUGUGCAGAAACUCAAGGAUUGGACAAACCAGAACAGGGAUUUCCUAUCUGCACAAGGUUUUCUGGUUCCCCUCCCUUUUAACACUUGUUGGAGCAAAUUCAAUUAAAUCAGUCUCAUGUGACCCAAAUAUGGAGCCAACUCCAGUAAAAGGUUGGCGUACGAGGUUCCUUCAUUCUGACCACUCUGUAUUAAAACCAUCUCUCAAACUCUUGAGUGAAAACCUGACAUUCAAAUCCUGGUGCAGCAACUGUCUGAUAAACAAAGAUGACAUCUUCCCAUCCUUUGCAGAGCUUUUGUCUAAAUAUCACCCACCAAUUUCUCACCCACUCUGCUUUUUUAAGGUGAGCAAUUUCAUCAUAACUGUUUCUGAACUGUCCACUCUAUAAAGUUCUUCAGGAGGGUCCACCUUAAAACCUUGAGCCUUCAUCAGAACUUGAUGAGAAAACAACCUGGACAUUAACUUGGAGGAAGUAAACAGUCAUGUAACAGAUGUCACCAUGUUGACAAUGACAUUUUGUACAUCCAUUCUUGUGUGUUUCUUAUCCGCGAUGACCUUGAAAAAAACAGCAUCUCUAAGAACAAGCCUUUCUUUCCUCCCUGGAAUUCAAGGUUUCAGACCACAUGGGUGCAGCCAUGCAGAAUUCAUUUGAAUAAUAAAUCUAAUAGGCAAGCACACAGUGUACAUAUUAUAAUGGUUGACAUGUCUGUAAAAACACAUAUUCCAAACACUAAUUUUAAGGUAUGUCUAAUAACCAUUAACCAUUGGAAUUCUGCACAUCAUUGGGAUUUGUUUUAACUCUGGUCCCAGCUCUGGCGUUCUGAGAAAUAUUUUCACAUCUGCUAUAAAGGGUCGUAAAGAUGCAUAGGUGUUGUUUUUGUGCCGGUGUCCAACUCCCUUUACGGGCAAGGUUACAGUUUUUGUGUGCAUGCGUGUGCCUGCAUCAAACCUUGAUGAAGUAAUGCAGGGUGAUCAGUAUGAGCUGGUCACUGGGAUAUGAAGGACAACAGUUGACCACCCAGCUGCUCCUGCUUCUGUUUUUCAUUAUAGAGAAAAAGAGCAAGAGCGAAAGAGAGAGGUAGAGAGAGAGAACGAGCAGCUGAAUAUUUUCUGUGACUUCUCAAACCAGCAAUUUCAAACCAUCACCAACAGGCCCAUGAUAAAUCUUAUUUGAAAAAUAAAAAAUAAAGAUCUGGAUUAGGAGAGUAACUCACUCAUUGUGUUUAGUGGUUACUGCGUGCACCACAGCUGCAGUUAUUCUGUGCUCCACACAGCACAGAUCUACCAUUACUUUUUUACUGUUACAGUUCACAAUGAAAUGCAAAUGUCAGAGGAACAUUAAAUGCUGCAUCCUUCUACACUUUAUGCGAGGACUCGUUACCCUGGCUUAGCAAGAGUCCCUUUGUAGAGAACUGUAUCAAUAUGUUUUCUCAUCAAUGUCACCAAGUCAGAUUGCUGUGUUUAUUGCACUUGAAGAUAGAGGUGCUUCUCAUUUUAGCUGCAGAGAGCUGCAGACUGUCGGCUCUUCAUUUCAUUCCCCCACAGCGCAGAGAAAUCUGAUAUUCCUCCUUCUACAACUUUAGCAUUAAAAUUGUCGGAUUAUGCAGAUGUUCGGACUUUGAUAUGUAAUCCCAUUCCUCUUUUCUGUGAUUAUGCCAGAAGGUCUUUUCAGAGAUUUGUCAGCCUAAAAAUUUUAAACUAAAUAAAUGAAAAAAAGAGAAAAGGAAAGGGGGAAAAAAAGGCGAAGCAGCUGAUGAAUCUGUGAGAUAAAUUUUCAUCAGUACAACCUGAAUAGAUGCUAACUUAUUGUAACAAAUGAUGAACAGCAGAGAUGUGUAAAAGGUCGACUGAAUAAAUUCAUGUAGGCCAUUGCUUGCUCUUUUACCUUCCUAUUUUCCUUUUCAGUCUAUUUCAGAUUCUGCUUUGUGCUUGCGUAAGUAUUCUAGUCUGCCAUCUUCUUAUUCUAAUGCAUUUACAAUCUAUAAAUCACGUUUGGUGCACCUCAUUGUUAAAUGAGGUUAUACAAUAGGAUUCAUUGUGAAUUUCAUGCAUCUUCCAUUUAUUCUACAUGUCACACACUAAUUCCAUGGGGAAUUUAUAAAGUGUAAUACAGUGGAAACAAAAUUAGUUCAUUCCAGUACAAAAAUCUGUGUAUCCAACCCAAGUCAUUACAAAGUCAUGCCCUGUGAUUUCUGACAGUCUGAUAAAUGCAGAAAUCGAUUCUGUCCUAAACACUGACUCUUGUGGAGAGUGCCAAAAUGCUGCAACAGAGAUUUUUUUUUUCUUUUAUGAAUUGAAAAAACACCAAACUGGUCUGGCAUGGUCGACUGAGAAAAACAUUAAUUAUCUUUUGCAACAGAUAUUCAGGCUAGAUGGUCGAAAUAGGCAAAAAGUGCCAAUAGCAAAAUAAAAACUUAAAUAUGCUUGGGUCAAAUAAAUAUUGGCCAUUUUUGAGAAAACAUCAAAUUAAAUCAAAAAUAAAUAAAUGUACAAAAACUUCACUCCAGUGCUCCAGUCAGUAUGUAGAGAGAAGUUCUUGCAUUUGUAACUCUACUUGCUUGAUGUUCACUUUUACUCAUGUUUCCAUGCGUUAAACGGUACAUGGAUUAUGUUUGUAGCACUUUUUAGUCCUCUGAUGUCUCAUUCAUGUUCUCCCCUUUAGAUGCACGGCAGAUUUACCCAGGACCUGUGGUUUCUAUUCACACAUCAAAGCCAAUCCUGAUAGCAAUGAGGUACUUUGCAAUGAUGCAAAAAGAAGAAAUCAAACAAAUGUAUUCAAAUGUAUUAAAGCUAACCUAUAAUUUGAAGUGGAGAGGUACAAAAUAAAUGCACUAGCAAAUAAACCUGAAAAAUAACCCUUGAUUUUCUCAUCAGACUCCGCCACAUGAUGAGUGCUGUUUGCUAAACUUUCAAUUCCACGAGUCUUUUAAUUUCAUUGUUUUUUUUAAAGCUAAUCUUUGACCUUCUGCCAUAACCUCCAGCCCCCUCUGCAGCAUUCAUACAUGAAUUUGUUCUUUAUUUCUCGUAACUGUAAAUCCUGGCCUUUCUAAAUGCGUCUGAAGAAACUCUUACCCUUUUGCCUUUUUCACUUGCUGUUCCUGCUCACGACUCCCUUACCUCCUUCCUCCUCUCACUGCUACCUCGGCUCUGCUAAUUUCUUACUGACUGGAGUAACUAACUUGUCAAUGAACUUCACCCGACUGAUUUGAUUGACUCCUUAAGAAGCGUAGAUCAAUUCUACAUUACCUACCUCUACACUCCUCAUCUGCUUCCAAGCAUCAUUACUCCCUCCCAGGUGUGAAAGUAUUGGACAAACAGUUAAAAGGCUUAAAGUGCUGGAUGAAUGGUUGAAACCAUUGACUGUAGCACUGCUGAUUUAUUUUCAAGAGUUAAUCUCACUGAAGAGUUUAGUUCUCACUUGUCAUUUAAUGUUGUAUGAAGGAGUAAACUCAUUAUUGAUAGCUGUGCUGUCCAGAGCGGCUCUCGUGGUGCUGUGUGCACCGGAUUAGCAGAGAAAAGGGGGAGAGGAUGAGAAACAAACACAAACACAAGAGUCACUUCACUUUCCAUAACUGCAAGUGUUGGUAACAAACUGAUCUGUGAACUGCUCUGUGAUGAACCUGAGGGAUCUUUGCUGUUUUUUUGUUCGUUUGUUUUGUUUUUUUACUACUGGAAGUGUGCUCAGUGGUCUUUAAACUGUGAUGAUGAAGUUUUUAGCCAAAAUCACGUUACCUGUGUCAUUUUCAAGGACUCUCCUUCUGCAGAGCUCCAGUAGCUCAUCAGAAAUUUGCCUCUAAGUCACCGGCAGAGACAGCGCUGCUCUGCACACUCCUCUUCACGCUAGCUUGCAGCCUAACAUUGCUGGCGUAGUAGAAGUGGCAGGUAAAAUAGGCGCUUUUCAGCUCCCAGACACUAAUGUCUUUGGGGGCAUGAUGAAAGUUAACAUCGUUAUUAGCUUUCUUACGAGCAUUGCAAUCGGCUAACGCGCACGCUUGUUCCGGGAUCGUCCUCUCUACGGAUUUGCUACGAAGGAAAUCUCACUGAAUCUGAUCCUGCUGUUUGGGUCUGCCAGAGAUUCACAGUGGUUUGAAUGCAGAAAUACUCAGAAAUGCAAUUUCGCACUUACUUUUCUCAUGAUAUGUUGUGCAGCUUCAGAAAAAUGCCAUAUGAACACAUAAACAAUGAGAAAAACAUGAUUUUCAUCGGAGUGGAUCUUUAAGUCACCACCAUUGCCUGUCACAGGUGCAAUUUUGGCUUCGCUCUGAAACAACGAGAUGAGGUGGAGAAACAUUGUCUAUUUCUGUACAGUCAAUGGCAGAGAUGUCUUUUUUUCUUGCACUCUCCGCAGUGGUGAUAUAACCUCACGCUUGACCAACCAUUGUUUGACAGCAGAAAGUAUGGUAACUGUUGCGAAGUUGUAGAAAAGUUAUUCUUAGAGAGUUAUCAGUCAAAAGGUCAAAAUAAAGAAAUAAAAUCAAUAAACAUUCAGCUACUUUUCGCUGUAGACCAUAUUAAACAAGUGAAGACAGAAAAUUUGUAGCUCCUCCAGUUGACCGGCCUUAAAUCUCCUGCGUUAUAACCAAUGGAAAAUGGGUCAAACUAAAACAUUAAAUACAACUUCUGUUCCCCCCAUAAAAUCUUUCUGUCAGGACAUUUGAAGAUUUAUGUACAAGUGUUCAUUUUCAGACAAAGUUUUUUGAUGUAAAGAUGAAGAAAAAGAUUGAUCGGCAGCUCUUUGAACAAUAACAGUCUUUUGUGGAUGGAUCAAACUGAGAGGAACUGCUGAGAGAAAACGUACAUGAACACAAGAGUCGUUAAAUGUUUCAUUAGUAUGAGUGUUUGCUUCAAAUCCUCUCUGCUGUGGACUGGACCAACCUCAGGCAUCUGUGACGUCUGUCAGUGAGUAUUUUAGUUUCAUCUCACAGUGGGUGCAGAAGUUGUCCAUAUCAGUACAUUACACUUAAUAUUUUUGUGCAUCAAUUUAUACUAUUGUGUUCCUGCAUUUUUAUAUGAAAGCAUCAUGGGUUAUGCUACAAAAUGUGUAUUAAUUUCCUAAUUUAUUAAAUCAAAGACUUUGUGUAGAAAAAAAAGAGAAUACAUCAGAGCAUUUCAGCCUCCCUUUCAUUAACACCACCGAUCACGACCUGUAACAGAUGAAUGCGUCCUCCUCUUCAUUUCUUCUGCUCCCCUACAGUCCCCCAUGCUCAGUAUGUGGAGCAUGCUGGUUCACUGCAGCGAUGCUCAGACUCUGAAGCCUUGAUCCCUGCUCCUUGCCUCUGAAAUAAUUCCGUGCAGUGACCUUGUCAGUCUCACGGUACAUGUUUGUAAAACGCCCUGUGGCUGUGUGAAUGUGAGAGAACUACUGAUCUGGGGUCAAAUGCUGCUGACAUGAGUCUUAAAUUACUGUGGUGACAAUGUGCCCUGGGGUUCUCUUAUAGAGCCACAGAAUCAAGCCGCUACUGAAACAUCACAUACACAUGGUCUCACGCUCCAAUUUAUGCUAUGACAUCCCAAGCACCCUGCAGCUCAAAAUAAAAAACAUUGGACUGCAUUGUCUUUUUGUUACACUAGGAUGUGAUUUUGUACUUGAACCUUUGUGAUUUUUGACUCAAAGUAGCUCAUGCAGAAAGAGCAUUAUUCAUUUUAGUUGCUUUUUCUCCUUUGCAGAGUUAAUCAAGAAUAUUUCAUGAUUUUAAGUCAUAAAGCUGAGAUUCGUCACUAGGGACCUUGAGAUGCUCAAACUGCAGUUCAGAAACUACGAUCCAAAAAAUAAAAAUACUCCGAUUCGUCUUUUUUCUCAGAAUAAAGCUGGAAGUACUUUUGUAGAUGCUCUUUUGCAGAAAUUUCUCCCUGACCAUGACUCUUUGGUUCUCAAAAGGUUUGGAGCUUUUGUGGUUGAUUUUCCUUUUUUAUGUCAAAAUGACUUUGCUUUCAAAACAUCUUGUCUUUUUUUCCCUUUGUUAACUAUUCCCACUUGACUUUAGUGCGGCGCACAGAAAUGAGAGCAAGUGCUCUCCAAGUAAUGCAGUGCUACUUCUCGCAUGCUCGGUAAUUCCUCCCUGUUGUUUGGAGAUGUGCACAUGCCUCUGGCUGUUGCUGAUGUUGGUCCUGCUCUAUCGCGUGAUUUGAUUUUUGAUCUGCAUUGACAGACAAUUAUUCUGCACUCUGAGAUGAGUGCUGAACUGUUUACCAAGAAGCAUUGUGAUUGGUUAAUGAGUCGGAAAGGGAAAGCUUCUUGAUCUCAUUUCCAGUGCUUAAUUAACCUUGGAGUUGGAGAUUUCCCCUGGUGCUGGGGACAAGGCAGGGUUACCUCACUCUUCUCUCCAUCUUUGUCUCUGUCUUGCCUCUUUUGCUCUCUCAGAUGUAUAAGUGUCCCCCAUGCAAUGACAAAAGGAUGCUAAGCUCUCUCCACAUGUGCCCUUCUGGAGGCAGCAACCCUUUAUUGACUGAUUUAUGAGGGCAAAUGUGGAUAAACAGUCCUUCCACCUACACAGAUGGUCAAAUUUGGGCGCACAUACUCACAUCCUGAGCUCACAUCUAUCUAAUUUUACAAAAAUGAAAGUCUAGAAUAAAAAGGUAAAAAUAGCACCAAUGCUCUUCCCCCCCACUCAUAUGACUCUCUCCCUGGGCCGGCCCCCACCCGUGGCCCCAGGGGUGUGAACCCAGUUCUGACAGAAUUAAGCUCUGUUUCUCUACCCUCCUCUGUCUGUCUGCACCCCUGGGCCUGCAGAGACCAACCUGACACCCAGCCUCCACAGUCAGCCCCAUACCAGACCAGUAUGCCUCGUCUCUUGCCAACCCCCCCCCCGAUGUCCUCUCUGAUAUUCUCCUGUCUCUCCUUUGUCUCUCCCUCCCUCUCCUCUUCAGUUCAGCCCUCUGUACUCUAUAUGUAUCCUUUCCUCUCCACAUUUUCCACCCAUUCAUCUUUCAGUUUCUAUUGUCUUUCUGCAGAAAAUUGCUUUUUCCACUUUUUCUCCUGGCUGUCCGUUCCAAUCCGCCACUGACCCUAAUGUUUGAGCCCCCUAUCUCUUUGCCCCUCCUCAGACACAGUGUGUUCUAUAUACAUUGUGUGAAUCAAAAUCCACACUGCUUUUUUAUUAUUAUUAUUUCUGUCGGGUAAAAAGAAUUGUUUAAAUGUUUGUAAGUGCUAUAUCAUAUCUGGAUAAAUAAAAUAUUUAUAAAUAGCAGCAGCUCUUUGGGUGUCCACUUGAGGCUACUAGCUACACGAGUAAUACUACAAAUUCUUACUUCUGCAUCAAAAUUUCACAUUUACAGUUUUUUUUUAUUUUUAAACUAUAGCUUUUGUCUUUUUCAUGAUAACUGUACAGGGAUUACUCAUCCAUACUGAUUAUAUCGUGGCGAAUGAUUCAGCAUAUAGGGGCGUGAGUGAUUUAACCAAUGGUGGGCUGUAGCUGUUGCUGUAGCUUUGGCCUCAACUCCCACUCUUUCAUUCCUAUCCAACAGUUAGCAUUUUAAAAAUGUGGCAACCAUCAAAUCUCAGAGUUAUAACACCUCACCAGAAACCUGAGAUUAAGUGCGUAUUUCAUACCUUCUAUAGAGGAUCAAUAUUAAAAACUCUUGCAGGGACUACCUUAAACUUACAGUAAGUCUUCAGGUUUGUAAAGAUUUGCGAAAAAUAUAUAACGUACAUUAUUCAAUAUCUGUACACACAGAUACCAACUAUUCUGUGUAUUCCUGCAUGAAUGUUGACAUUAAUGGACAUAAAUUUGUAUCCAACAUACUAUUUUGUCAUUCUAUUCUUAUCAUGAUUGGAAAUGAGUGUAAUCAUGCUGUGAGGGAUAUGAAUACAGCUGGUGACUUUCUGAAAGUGUCAAGUGAAUGAAGUGAAAUUAGACUAAACUUUAAAUUGCCCUUGUUCAAUAAACUGGGUCCUGCAAGUUUAAAGUAAAUGAUGUGUUUGAGGAUAAAUGGAGAUUUUGGCAAGUUUGAUUUCAAAUUUUCACCAAAUUGCUGAAGGACUUUUUAUUUUACACUUUUUAAAGGGAUUAAUAAUAUGUUUAUUUGUUUUCACCAAAACUGAGAAGGUCGCUGCCUGCAUAUGCAUGGCAGAGGAGAAGAAAUGGUAUUUUCGAGUAAAAAGACUGUAAUGACAAAUCCAUUACAAUGGUUUCAAUCCAACACUUUGACAGGACUUAGCAUUCUCGUAGUUUUUUAGGGGUUUAAUCUAUCCACCUAUACUAUCAAAUAUUCGACUUUCUGUUUGAUGAAUGAAAUAAUGUGCAUUUUAGCUAUGUUUCUCUCUGCAAAUUAAAUUUUCAUUUUUCUGUGCCAAGGUUAAAGAGUUUUCAGCCAACACUUUCUGCUCUCCUUCUUCUCUGCAUUAACGCCAGAUGUUAGUCAAGAUUGCUCUCUGUGCCUUUCUGUUUCCUCCACCUCCGUCUCUCUGAGUGAACUGGCAUCGAUCCCUCUCUCUUCCUCUCUCCUUUCUUCUUGUUCUGUUGAGCCUCACUCUUCUGCCAGGUGAGCCAGUGCCUCAUCUGCACCUGCGACCGACCAUCCCUCCCUCUCCCCCCUACUCUCCAUCCUCCUCGCUGUUAGCUCAGAUUAAUGCCCGGUAAUUUGCACUUCACAGUGCACCUCCCUGUCUCUCUCUUACUCCCUCAUCCAGGUGAGCGAGGGCCACAUUUACUUUUCUCUUUCCUCUUGUUCUUUUUCAUUCUGCCUGGUAAGCUUUCUGUUGUACCUCUUCAUCCUUGCCCUCACCCUCUGUUUCUCCAUCCUACCCCCUCAUCCUUUUAUCAGAGACACUGCCAUAUGGCCGGGUGCGGGCUGGGCCUGCCCGAUUCUCAGCCUCGUUUAAAUUCACAGCCUGCGGGUCAUUCUGGCUCUGUGGUGGGACAGCAGACACCUCCAUGGAGGAAGGACAAGUUAAAGCUUUGGUGUGGAGAAAAAAACAAGCGGGAGAAAGGAAGAGAGUAGGACAAAAUGCAACAAAAAAUAUAAAUGGUUUCCUUUUGUUGUAGACAAGCAAAUUAAAAUAGAAACAGCAGGUCGAGUCACACAGCUAAAGCAGGUGGUAGUGUGACAUUGAACUAAUGACGUGGGCUGUGAAUGAGGUUGGAAACAUUUGUUUUAAUUUAAAUGACCCAGAUUCAGCUGCUUGUGUAAGACAGGGUUUAGGAUGUGUGAUUAAGAUUUUUAGAAACAUUUUAACCUUAACACAAUAUUUUACAUUAUAAAUCUUUUAUCUUACAAACAGUGUUGGGGGUACAAAGUAACAGAUUACGGUAACAAUUGAGGGGUAACGAAGUAAAGUAAUGCACUUCACUAAAAAAAUUGGUGACUUAAUUACUUAACUAAACAAUAGGAAGUUACAUGUUACAUGCUCAUGAGGAUCAAUUUAAUCUUUUUAAUUUUUUCUUGAUAUCAAGUCUUUGGACCAUUGGCCAGUUUGUUUCUGUACGCUCUGACAGUCUUUUCUUUUGCGGGAUUCAUUUUUCUUGGGUGUUUUUUUUUCUCACUGUGUCGCUAUCUCGCAGCCUCCCUGUUGAAUGUUAACAAAAAGUUGCCAGCGAAGAUGGCGCUUUCCAACCCAACUUGUAUUGCGCAAUCAUGUGGCCUUUGAAAGUCCUAUGGAGAGAUCGAUUUGAGUGAUGUUGCUGCUGAUGCAAAAGAGAAAUGGAAAUGUAGAGUAUACAUUCAUACAAUAAAUAAAAUGAUGCAGACUAUGCUCAGUGAUGAUUGGGCUAUGAAGUUUGUCCAUGUACCUCUGCACGGUAAAUCAAGAAAUGGGAAAGUAAAGUAAUAAGUAGUGAAGUUACCUUUCAAAUGCACUAACUAGUGAGGAAUAUCAUUACAAUUUACAGAAGUAACUAGUUACUAGCAACAAAUAACUUUUUAUGAGUAUCUACUCCAACACUGCUUACAACAAUGCCUGAAUAUUCUAAGAGUUGCAGAGCUGCCAAGCAUCAUGCUUUGAGAGUGACAGUCACGCAAUUUGACCCAUUCUCACGCCACACGCCACACUUGACAUUUCUCACUCUUAUUUUUCCCUUUAUUUAUUUAUUUUUUUUCAUGAUAAUAAACUUGGCUUGCUAUAGUUUGAGUAACUCUGCUUGACUGAACAAGAUAAUGCUGCAUUCGGGUAACCUCAGAAGUCAGAUGUCAGAGCUGAAAAUGACGUCACACCCGAGUUACCAGCAUUUCAGUUACCAAAUCGGAAAAAAACAAAAUCAGAGGCUUGAAACAAGAUGAUUAUGUCUACGGAAGUUAUUUUAGUGCUUGCCUUAUAUUUGGACAAGGCAAGCGCUAAAAUAACUUUCGUAGAUGUAGCCAUCUAGUUUCCACCUCUGAUUUUGUUUUUUUCCAACUUGGUAACUGAAACGCUGAUAACUCGGGUGUGACGUCAUUUUCAGCUCCGACAUCUGACUUCCGAGGUAACUCGAACAGCAUUAAAACCCACUCGACGUAAUGCAAUAUUGACAGAUAAAUGUAUUUUGUCAAUUUUCUUGUUACAAUUUUCAUUUCUAAUUUCUGGUUAAUUAAGACUAGCAUUAGGGAGAGCAGCUAGUGUGGAGGUGAGGACAUCAGUCUUAUGGUAUAAAUCGAUGUUAAAAAAGGCAAAAAAAAAAAUUUGCUAAAUAAACGCUAAAGUCUCACUCUUGUAAUUUUCUGAAACUUGGCAGCCCUGGAGUUGUAAAUAUUUAUAUUGCAUUGUGAUAGCACAGAUGGAGACUGAGUCUCAGGCACUCCCUGACCUCAACCAGAGCAGUUACUGAGUUAAUGUACAGUAGUGCAUUGCAAAAAAAUGGUCUGAGAAUUCUUGUGAAAUAUUACAUGAGUUUAAGCAAAAGGUCUCUGGUGAGAGAGGGAAGGAAAAUAGAGCCAGGGAGAUCACUAAAUAUGAAACAUGGAAAAAAAAGAUGAGAAAUUGGCACUAAAGCGCACGCGAACAGUAAUGAGACCAAUCAGGGGGGUGAAAAUGAAGGGGAAAACAGCAGGAAUUAGAGGAGGAGAGCAGAAAAGGAGCUGAGCAGCAGGUUGUGGAGGAGAGGACAGGAGAGGAGAGGAGAAGCCGGGAGGAACAGGCACAGGAGAGGAGCGGAGCGAAACAGCGGGCAUUAAAAGAGAAGAGGUGUGAAAUUGAAACCAAUAAAUCCAGAACAGAUUCCUACAGUUGCGGGAGCCACGGUGGCCGUAACACGUGGCCUCACUUGUGUUGGCUUUUUAAUUUGAGCCGUGCCUUUUGUUGUCAGAGCGGAUUUCAACUUGUGAACAUUCUUGUUCAAUGACACAGGGCACAGCACCUGAACAGAGGAGCACAAACUGACACCAAAAGAAGGUUUCACCAUACUUUUGAAAAUAAAGAGGGCAAACACAUGCUGUGGUGUGGAUUAUUAAAAUACAACCACCAAAUACACAGUCCCUACAAUCAUCAACUGAUGCUCUUUGUAUUCCCAAGUCCUAUUUUCUGAACUUGUGCUUUAUGUUGGAUCUUUUUACUGUCAUUUUUAGGAAAAUGGAUAAGUGGAUGUUUUUAUUUCAUUCUCAAAGACGGUAAAUGCCAUUGGACAUUUGUUUAAAGUUAAAUGGACUAGAUAAAAGCUGUAUAGUUUUUGUCUAUUUUUUCAUUAUUUACCUGAAAAAGUUCAAUAAUUAAUGACUGAAAUCUCUCUCCCUUGCCUUGUUUGAGAGGUUUAGCUGUAUCUUUCCCUGCAGUGACACUAAUCUGUGUCCGAUCUCUAUCAUUUGGAUGUACUCAACAAACUGUAGUAGUCAUGUUUUGCAAGUAUCAUGAAGCCAGUUACAGACAAAAAUCGCUAACAAAGCAUCUGUUGACUGCAGGUCUAGUUUUUAGCAAAAUGAACAGUGAAAAACUGCUGUGAAACAAUUAGGAAAUAACAUGUAUUUUCUUUGACUUCUUUCUUUGGUUUCACUGACUCUGCUUCCUUUUGUUGACUUCAGCACUCCCUCUCGCUCAUCCAGCGGAGAAAAAGAGGCAGUCUGCUGCUUUUCAAAAAACAGAGGGCAGAGCUCUAAUCUAUCAUUCAUUUUUUUUAAGAGUGGCCUAUACAGAAAUCUUUUCCCGGGGGCCUGUCAUUACAGCUUGACACCAGUGGUUAUUAUGUCUACUAUUAUUCAAGCUAUCAAUCAUUUUUAUGAGAAAGGACACACAUUUUGCUAUUCUGGGUAUAGCUCUGAUAGAAAUGUUUGAUUUUCAUACACUUGUAAACUUUGAAAGUGUCUGUUCUCUCACAAAGUGUUUAGCUGAGACUCUCCACUGGUGAUUGGUGUUAAUUGUCUACAUAUUGUUUUUUAGGUUGUGUUCACACCGGCGGUGUUUAGUCUAGUUUAACUGAACCCUGGAGCGUUUACCUCCUUGGUGCGGUUUGUUUUGGUUGGUGUGAACACUGGCCUCGAAGUCUUAUGCGGACCAGUCGACUGCUCUCUGGUCCCUCUGGUAGGAGUGGUCUCGGACCACUAUCAAGUGAACUCUAUAGUGGAUAACUUCUGGUGUGAACCCCAUCCGCACCAAUCACAGGAUGCGCACCUCGAAAAAACAUUUAGGUAGGCUUUCAUUAUUGCCUGUCGUCUUCUGUGAUAUGACCGUCCGUUUGCAGAGUGUCUCCUGCGAUGUUUGUGUUUCAAUACAUUAUUUAAUUGCUGCAGUCUUCCCAGCCGUUCAUAUGCAUGGUCCAUUAAAGUCUGCUGAUAUGCAGUCCAGAUCAGCACCAACAUAAAAAUGAGCAGACGAUGCUCCUUGAUGUAUUUAAUGUUUGGUACUCUUAAUGAAGAAGUCCAUGUUGGAGAUUGAAGAUCAUCUUUUAUCGCAGUUCCCAUGUGUAGCCAUCACUUUUGUGUCAUACUAUAUUUGCUACCACACCCAUAAUGCAACAGUACACACACUACGGUAAGUGGUAAGGGACAUAAGCCUUGUUAUGCUUAUAUAACAAUGUACAGUAAAAAUUGUAAGGGAUUUGUCAUCUACCCACCUAAAUUGUAUUAGACGAUGACAUUUUUCGGGAAUUCCUGUGGGUCACGUGAUUCCCUCGGGAUGGGAGUAAUUUUUUUAUUAAUGCCGUGAUCGGGACGGGGAAAAAAAGCAACGAGAACGGGCAGGAGUGGGAACAACAUUAAUAGAUGAUCAUUUUCAGCUGUGUUAAACAACCAGAUGAACAGAUGCGUCCAUUUUUGUAGUCAUCUCUCAUUGAGAGCCAACACUCUUGACUGUGCUAGCAACACAAAAGAACUACAACAGUGGUUUGACCUCCUGUCACCACUGGAAGUGAAAUGCGAGUCUGAGUGGCUGCCAGUGUCGCCAGGAGCGACUGCCGCUCAGACUCGGCUGCCACUUUUACCUAAUUUUUAAAAUUUAUUUAUGCUUGUUAUGCACUGCUCUUUUACCUAAAAUAAAAAUAAUGCAACUUUUUUUUAACAUGUUUGGUAUUAUUCAAACGGAAGCGGGACAGGAGUGGGAGUAAUUUUGAGUGGGAACCGGAACAGUUGAGAAAUUGCAACAGCGAAUCAUCAAUGUAUCAUCCUGGUUCGUAUCAGAAAACAGACCUUUUGGUGUGAACAUGACCUCAGACUAAAACAGGGAGGAUGAGGAACAUAAAAGCAGAUGGCUGCAUAUGUUAGAAUAAGACAUUAAUGGGAUUCCUGUCUAUCUUGACCAUGCAGGGAAUGUUUGGGGAGGAGAUUGUGAGUGGGAAUGCAUUUUUAACUGCAUGGAAAUGUCAACCCGUUGGUAACGUCACUUUUUCGAUUUAAACCCUCUCAGAUGAUGUAUGAAUGCAGCGCAGCUACGUGUCACAUGCUAAUUGACUGAGGCAUAUGGUGUGGAUGUUUUCUCCACUCAUCCACUCAAGAUCUUGAAUACCAAUCCACUGCUCAACCCCCACUUUGCUACUGUUAAGAUGGAGGUUGAGCCCCACAUACAAACACCCUCCAACCUCCUUGUCUUGCCUCUCUAGAAAGUACAGUUCUAGGAUCCUUAUAGUCGUUAGCUUAGUCAAAUGUGCUCAUUAAUAUUCCCCAUCUGUAGAUGUGUUAGAAAAUCUGAUAAAUGAUAGCCAGCCCCACCACUGACAGUGGGCUCUGGCCAGCAUACAUCAGAGUCCAAAGCCCCCCUCCUGCUUUAUGACCGGCUAUUAGAAGAAGCUCCCAGGCAACAAACCAUACAUAGCAAAUGUGCCUCUUUAGUAAUAUGAUAAUUUAUAAAAGGCACAGAGUGAAGCUCAGUGAAUAUUCUGCAGAAUUCCCCCACAUACUUUGGGAUUAAUAGAUGGUGUGUGUUACGUCUACUCUCUUCAGGACUGCACCAAAUGUGGGAACUCCUGGGGAUGAUGGAGUGAAGGCCAAGCUCGGUCUGACAGCUUUUAAUAACUAAUGAAAAUACCGCAGAGUAAAUUUGCUAAGAGAAGAUUAAGGAGCUUCUAGAGUAAGGGGGGGCAAAAAGAGGAAGACACCAACUUUGAACCAAUUGGGAGCAAAAGAAAAAGUGAUGGAAAUGUUUUUGUUCCUUUUGAAUUUUGCUGAAAAACAAGAAUAUGCCACAUGUGAGCACAACACUUUGUUCCUGGCAUGCAUCAGCUCGACUGAUCAGUGCGACAUGGGUUGCAUCACGCCGUGUUCCUUUCAUAUAAACACCAAUCUUUGUCUCCAUCUCCCUUGCUAUCUCCUUAUCUUGCUCUAUUAACACAGUGUCCCUGCUGAGCUUCUUAUCUGAACAGAACAGGAAUACCAUCAGGAUCAAACACUGGGAAAACAUUGAUUAUGCUAAAAUAGUAGAAAAAGACAUGGUGGGAAUUUACCUUCUGCCAUCUUUGAUGUUGCACUUCAUUCAUCAGAGGCCACUGUUGGAAACAAUCUGCACGCUACUGUUUGUGUCUGUCUAUGAAGACAUGCACCCUUUGUAAUCUCACAGGUGUAGUCAGUUUAGAGUGUUUUGGCUAAUGUGCAGAAAAUCUGUUUAUGCCGAGGGAAUCAUUCUACUCCACAGAACUUGUCAUCAGCUCUUGGACAGCUCAUCGACUAGUUUUUUCGUUUGUUUGCCCCUGGUCCAAAUCACAAGGCAUAGUGUAACAGAUUUGCUGCUCAAUGCAGUUUGCUCUUGUGUUAUGUCGAAUAGACAGGAUGAGCUGUCAGCGUCUCCAUUCUUACAUACAGAAGAACUCCUUUGACCAGUGUGUUGUUAAAUAAAUCAAUAAGAGAUGUCAUACAUAUCUCAUACUAAAUACAAUGUGUCCUCCCCGGAGCAAGCUAAUGAAAGCAGCUCGUCCAGCGAAGUCAACCCAUAUUCCUUGUUGUGUGUAGCGGUCCAGGCUGUCUCUGCUGUCUGUGUAUGCAUGCAAGUACAGUGUCCUCAUGCCUAUGUGCCACAACUUGAAUCCCUGAUAAUACAAUAUGAGAGCUGUCAAAUGUUGAAGUUUUGGUAAACUGCAGAUCUUCGAUCCGUAAUUUGAAAGUGCAUGUUUAGAAUUCAAUUAUUUGGAAUUUUCGAAACCUUGUCUAACAAUGCAGGGGUUACUGUCUCCACACACCAAGCGUGAGUGAAAUCAAUCAUGUGACUGAAUAAUAUGUUAAGUCAAUGUAAAGAUGAGAUUAGACGCUCCAACUACUCUGGCGGCGUGAAUGAUGCGAAUUGGGCGGGAGCUGAAAAUGUCUCCACUUGAGCAAAUAUCCACGUCGAGAUAACUAAUCAGCACAAAGGUUGCCGUCUGACGUAUGAAAACGGACGGCUGUGCACUGGUAUCUAAAAUGGAAGACAUACUGAUUGUGUCGGUGUGUGGGUGCCCUGAAUUAUAUGAUACCUUUUCUUGUAAUUACCAAAACCUGAAUAAAAAGGAGAUCACCUGGAGGCAAGUGAGUGAGGAGGUCGGAUUACCUGGUAAAUUGUAAAAACCCUUUGUAUAUCACUUGAUCCCACCAUUUGUAUUGGCAGGGAUCACCGUUGAAAUUACCGUUAACGUGCAAAUGAAGCAAGUAAACACUACUUAUUCACACGUCUGGAUUUAAGCAAAUUAAGGGAGGAGAUGAUUUUAGUUGCACUUAGUGGGAGUGCCCCAUAAGAAAAGGUGUCUUGAUUUAGGAAUUGAAUGAAUGCCAUACAAUAAUCUUUAUUAUUUCACUUUUACCUGACUGAUUUGAGGUAAGAGAGGCCUUAAAGAGCUGUGAAAUUUCUGUGAAAAACAUUGUAUUUUUUUAAUUUUUAAGGAUUACUGUGUAGAUCAUAAAAAGAUAAAGUGGAGUGUAUGCACAAACUGCAUCAGUGUACAGCUAUUUUAAGAUGGUUUUGAUUACUUACUGACAUCCCCUGAUCCCCAUUCACGUGACAGCAUUUGCAUUUUUCAGGAGUUACAGUUUGGUCACAUUCUCUGUUCCUCCAAUUUACUUUAUUUACAUAUCGACUGAUUUGCACACACCAAAAUAGUGCUGUGCUUAUUUUCCUGAUGUUGUUGCCUGCUGACAUUAAGUAUACGUCCUUGAGUGUUGGUCACCUUCAUACACUCAUUUUUCUUUCACAGGGAAAUGUCCUGUUUUAUCCUGAAUAGAUUCCAAUCCUGUGUGCUGGAUGCUGCAACAUCAUCAUAACAGGGUGUGAAGUCAGCAAAGUAGGUGAGUAGCCUAUUUUCUCUGCAGAAGGAAGGUGGCCUUUAAACAGUCAUAAUUUUGCAGGCAAUACAUUUUCACUGUUGUUGCAAUGAGCGUGUUUGGACGAGACAGAAAUCAAUCCACUUUGCAGCUGCAGGAAAAUGUCGAACUUCUGACUUCUUGAUGAAACUGAAAUUAAGACAAAAAAACAAAAAUUAAAACUUAAAAAGGUGAAAAAUAUCUGGAAUGAUUUGAUGAUAUCCUACUGUAAAAAAUCACAGUUUAUCUGAAGCACACAAUCACAUGUACCUAAGCUACAGUGCUUUGAAGACAGAUUUCAAACUUAAAUAAUGAUUUCUGAAACACUAGCACUUAAAAAUUAUUUAAAUCCGCUCCUUCAAUGAGGAAAAUUAUUAUAUCUAUUAUCUACACUUACGUUCUUAGCAUCAUGAAAGCACUUAAAUCUUGGUCGUUUUGAUUAUUCAGAUCAUCAGCUCUAUUAAAUUAUUUCUCAGUUCUUCAUGAAUAACUUGCAUAUCCCAAUAUCAACAUGUGUAUCACCAUCUUCUUAAAAUCAUGUUUUUGCUCACAGGCCUCAGGGUUACAUGGGUAUGAAGACAUAUUUGUAAGUGUAUUUACUGUUUUUCAUGCAUAUCAAGAGGUUAUGUAAACUUCCUUCACAUGCCGUUGCUUGAUACUCUCAACAUGGGGCUGCAUUGUUCCUGAGGGAUGAGACAGACCCAGAAAGGCAUUAUCACCUUUCUGCCAAAGCAUGGGAAUUCAAUGAAUUAUUUACGUUACACCAGCCGGGCCCAUAGACAGCUCUGAGACUGGAGAACACAGGAAUCAGUUAGGGAACCUUGGGGCCAGGGGCCAGCCGGGGAACCGGGGGGAAUCAGCAGGAAUCCCGAGGUAACGAGCAGGGGGAAAUUAAAUGACAUAAAAACGGAAGGAGGUGUAGGAUCAGGGGAAUUAAGCACACAAUGUCUAUAUGUUCAUGCAAGAAUUGACCGUGAAUAUUACAUACAUGCACACGCACAGAUAAACCCACAUAGGAAUACAUGUUUGCAAGACCCUGAUCACACAUUUCCUGUAAACAUGCACACCUAACACACACUCACACAUAAACAGAUAUCUAAGAAUACAUAUAAUAAGUUGUUGGAUUCCACACUCUCAUACACACUCACAUUCACACACACACUCACACACACACCAACUAUCAUCAAUCUCAGCCUUCAGAGCUGCUCCCCCCCUUGAGUCUGUGGCUCUGUUUUUGGCUCUGUCUCCAUGCAGGUAGGAGGUCUCCUGAUACUUACCACUGUGUUAGCUCACUACCCAUUAAUGCAACAUACUCCCCCAUUAAGAACCCUAUAGGUGCCUCUGUUCUUUUUCCGCUGCACCUCUGAGUCCUUAUAUAUUACAUAAAUGUGAACCCAUUCUUCGCACAUAUAACUCAGACAGAUGGUGAAUCACGGUUUGAGCUGUGUAUCGUUCCCUUUUUGAAUAAGAAACCAGAUGUAUUGUUUGUGACGGAGCUGUGUUUUCAUCUAAAUUCAGACUGACUCAGAAGCCAGUGGAAAGCAUAUUUCAUGUUCCAGGACCUCACUUCAUAUCCCUGUGGGACUUUUCAAGGGGUUUCUUUUUCUCUCUCUGUGCCGGGUUGUACUCUGCUGGCCUAUCUUCAAAGCUCUCACAGCCCAAACAAACAUCAGGAAUUCAAAUAUGUGGGAGUGGACUUUGCUUGCACUACUUCCUAUCAAAGCAAAAAAGGGAGAAACAUGUGAUAACCUAUUUGGGUUUCAACCAAAAGCCCCCCCUUUUUUCAAUCUCUCAAAAACAAGGUGACUUGCAUUGUUUAUUUGCGGUUGUGAAUGGGAUCGGGACAUGCUGCUGCAUCCAAACAUUUGCAAGAGACACACACUGAGAUCUACAUUGUGCCAAAUUAAUUAAGUUAUUAAAUGUAGCAAAAAAACUAUUUAGAAAUUGACUUGGUGCCAAGUUCAUCAGGCGGCUAGAACAAGAAACAUUUCAGCACCCUGAGAUUCAGAUUACAGUCUUCAACACGUCUACAGUCUUGAUAGUGAGGCCUGUGAAAACACUCAACAGGGUAUGUACUGGAAGAUGGUUAUGUAUAUAUAAACAUAUAUGUGUGUGUGUGUUUGUGUGUGUGCGUGUGUGUGUCUGUGUGUGUAUUAGGGAUGGGAAUCACUAGUGCCCUCACGAAACUUGGGCCAUGAAAUGAUAUUAUUGCGAUUUUUAACAUUUUGCAAUACAGCGAGUAUUGUGAUAUAAUGUAUUGUGAUUUAUAUAAUGUUUUCAACUGUUUAGCUCAUUUAGCAUUUGUCUUUCCUUUAUGUUUUUCUUAUUUACACAGUUUUAUUUUCAUAUAGCACAUCUUGCAAACCUUAUAUAUAUUUGUUGUACUAAUUUUCUUCUGUUCUUUGAUAUCACCUCUGCCAACCUCAGUGGACAAACAGUUUAUUUUUUCCGUUAUCAUAGAUUUGACUUCAUAUUAGAAAUUUAUUUGAAAAACUGAUACUUGGUAAAUGAGACGAUGUGAUCUAUCACCAGACAAAAUAUUGCGAUACUAUGCUGUAUUGAUUUUUUCUCCAACCUCUUACAUAUAUAUAUAUAUAUAUAUAUAUAUAUAUAUAUAUAUAUAUAUAUAUAUAUAUGUAUCCCCGUCUGUAUUUUCCCUGGCUUACUAUCAUAUAUAAACCCCCAAAAUAUAAAUAGUUAUGAAUCCUGUAACACAAGACUGAGGCAGGCAUUUGUACAGUCCAGUUAGUGCAUAUCCUCAGAUAAAAAGCCAAGGCCAUGCCAGAGAGAAUUCAAUUUAUAUUUCCAUUGCAAUUAUAUAAUAAUGCAAAUUAGUUCCACUUCAAUCAGCCACAUUACUGUUAAAUGCUCCUUACUUUUGACUACAUCAAUAAUAAUAACAAUGAGCCACUUGUCACUGAGUGUUUAAUACGGAUCGUCAGAAGUAUUUGACAGCAUUCUUGUCGUAUUUACAUGGUGUGUGGUGUGUCUAGAUUUAGUUCUUAUGUUGUACAUGAUACAGGCUAAUGUGCCUAGUGUAUGAAAAUAAUAACAGUUUCUCUGCUUUGACAUUCUGAUUAAAUUUGUCUAAUUGAUCUAAUUCUGGAAGACAUGAUAGUAAGAUAUGCAAAAAUUACAAAUAACAAGCCUGUCAAACAAAAGAACUUUUAAGUAUUUGCUUCAUUUAUUCACCACACCUGCUUCCAGCACUGGGCAGCUGAGGGUACACAUUAUAAUCUUUCGUUGAAAAUCCCAGGGAGUUUGAUUUUAUUGCCAUUUUUCUAAUAAACAAAAGACAUCGGUUGAGGAUUUUUCCCCAGUGAAUCCUGUGAGUGAAAGUGUGACCACUAAACUUGUACAGCUUUAUUUCCCACUUUUUAAAAAAAAUAAGACAAGAUGUCAAAAGGAAACAGAGUCUCUUUUGUGUUUUUGGCAACAUUUAGGAGAUGUUUAAAUCGACCAAAAUUUAAUUAAUACCCUUGGUAAAUCUUUGAGAUCCUCCACAGAAAGGUCAGGGAUGAUGUGAACGCUCAGGUAAAGCAAGUGUUUGCUCAGCUGAACCUCUGAACCUUUUAUUCUCCUACUUUUAGCCAGACUGUGAUUUCUUCUUCUCUUUCCUCACCUUCAGAAUAAAACAGUGAAAAAAUGGGGCAGGCGAGUGGUAAAGGCUGUAUUACAAGCUUGGCACUUUGUUCUGCACAGCUGAGGCUUCGUCCUGCUUUCAAGAGACUAUUCCCAGAUCAGGUCCGCCUUCCCUGCUGCACUUUACUGUCCAACAAAGGACAGAUGGAAACUUUUCCUUUCUGGCAACUUUUAAGAAGUUGAAGUGAUACUGCUGGAGAAAAGAUAUUGUCAAAGUUGGAGGAUUAGGAUUAAACUCUUGUCAUUAAGUCUGCAAUAACCGCGACUACAAUUGCCCGGUCCAAGUGCAAAGAUCUUUACAUUUAUGUCAUGAAUAGAUGAAGUUGUGGGAGACAAGUUAAACCUACAUUUCGCAGUGUAUUGUAAAGCCUUUAUAUUUGUUAAACAGAAUCCAUUUAAUGUGGCUUUAUCCAUUUAUUUAAUAUGUUUACUCUUUUCAUGUAUAGUACACUUACUUUACUAUUUAUAAAAGUUUGACCCCUGCUGCAGGCCAAACCAUUCUAGAGAUUUCAUUAUGAUGGCAGGUUAGGAAAGCCAGGUAGGCCUCUUGAUGAUAAUGCUGCUCUUUUAUCCUAUAAAUAGUUACAUAAAUAAAAAAUAAAGUCUUUCAAUGACUGUUUACUGCAUUUUCAGCCGUGUUGAUUAUGUGUAGCGAGUUAUUUACUACUAUUAAAAAAUGUUAAUUGCUUAUUCACAAAAAGAAACAAAAUAAGUGAGUGUGUUUGAUCUAACGAUUUUGAGUCCUUCAGUUUUACUCACAGAGAAAGAGACUUUAUGAGUUCUGGAUACAUCUAAACUGUGUCUGCAUGUUAUUUAUGAGUGAAAUAAAAGGCAGGCUGUACAGCCACAUGUUAAUGUCAUUAAUCAGUGUUGUGCAUGCAUUUAUUACAGCUUAUGUAGAAGAUAACUCAGCUACUUUCAUCAGGAAGAAUCUCUAUGGACAGAGCUAUGCCAUUUUAAGUACAAGCUCUUGUUUACUUUUGGUGAUUUUUCAGUGUUUCACUCAACAUCUACAUCCUUUCGCUUUAGGGGAUGUCAACACCAUCUUCAUUAAAGACACAGAGUUUCUCUGUGUACUUGGCUGUUGUAGUCAGAGCCUAAAGCCUGGAGUUAUGUAUGUGUACCUGAGUUUUCAGAGCUGAGGCAGCCAACAGGAGACAGAAACCACAACGAAUGAGAAAAAAACAUGUUUACUGUUAGUUCUUUUAAGGCUUCCAGAGUUUUCAACAUGAUCAACACUCUUUAUAACAAACAUGACAGAUACAAAUAUGGCUGUUUUGAAAGAUCCUUCUUUAUGGCACAUGGAGUGGUAAAACAUAGACUCACCUGGGGUUUUCUUGGCUUUUCUUGGUGAUUUAUUUAGUUUACGAAAUGUUGCUGACUUUUGGAGAGGUGAGAAAUCUGCCAAAAAGAGAGAGAGAGAGAGAAAGGGCAAAAAAAAGUAAAAUAAAAUGAACAUUAGCUACUACUAUUUAUGCAUCUCUUGUUUGAGCAUUAUCAAGAGAUGUAUGUUCAUCGUUACUGUGACUCAUAAUUGAUUUUUUUAAUUCAGUAUGCCAGUGAAUUUACACUAAAAGCAUACUAUUAUAGGGUUUGACACAACCAACAAUUACAUUUGAUCACAUAAAUUUGACAAAUUUCUAGUUUAAAAAAUUUUAUCUCAAAAACAUCUUAUCUUUUUACAAGUAAGGACCCAAAUGUUGACUUUAUCUGUAUAUUAGACAUGUAGACUGGAACAGCUGAUAGAAAAAAAAAUGCUUUUUCCGGAUAAAUUGACACAGGUCAGGAGAGUUAGAGUAAUUAAAACUGUUAAAAAUAUAUAUAAUAUAUAUUCAAGAAUAUUUCUCUUUAUGUACUCUUUGUGCUGAAUAAUAAAUUUACAUCUGUCACCCUGAACAUCAAUUUCCGUGUGUGACCAGUGAAACUGGGGCUGGUAAGCAGGCAGAGACACGAGUAGUUACAAGCUCGGCAUUUUGUUCACUUACAGCUGAGUCUUCGUCCUGCUUUCAGGCUAUUCCCAGGCCAGGCCUGCCUGCUGCGCUGCUCUCCCCUGCCUGCCUAUGAUUUGUGGAGCCCACUGGGGAAGAAGCUAGCUCUCCCAUAGGUUAAAAUCUGCAAACAAUGAGUCCUGUGUCCAUGACGGAUGGCCUACAUCCCUCCCCAUUUGUCUGCGCUUUAUCCCUAUCUCAGAAUCAAUUGUUAAACCCCAAAGUUUGCUUAACAUGCACUACCUGCUACGCCCGAGAAAAGAAGUGGGAGGGUGCAGGAAAUAGAGGUGAGAGGGAGAAAGGGGAAGAGAAAGAGAUCAAUGUUGUCCCAAAGUAGAAGAGUGGAUGAACGGGACUUUCAGUAUGACUUUCAGGGUCCUAAUUAGGAACAGGACAGCGAGCUACCUCUCUGUGACAUUUAGCUGGACAUACUUGAUAAAUGUCACACUGCUGGAUAUAGCCACGACAAAUGGAUGCAUCAACAACGGCUUAAUAACCUUUACUGAUAGUCCUGCCAGGAAUUCAAAUUCUUUAUCUGCUCUCUCUUGCAUCUCUAAAACACUGGGCCCUAAUAACCAACACUGUGUGUGCGGACUGAGAGGGUGGAUGUGGGUGUAUUCGCUCGUGUGUGUGUGUGUUAAGCCAAAUUAAGUGUACCAGGAGGCUGUCGCCGUGUACCCUUGCGCUGCAUCAGUGUGUACAGCUACGUGCUCCUACUCAGCUGUGUGAGUGCCAAAUUAUCUUGGCCGGAUAUCUUGGCCAGCAAGAGGGAGACCUUUGUAAGCAAUCAGAGAAAAUGGAGAGCUGCGGACCUCCCUCGUAUCUCUCUAAACUUGUAUCUCUAUGAGACGUGGAGAGGCCGACUGAAUUAAUCAGCUCCCAAGACAGUAACAAUCGGAAAAGGAAAGGCAGAAGAUUGAGCCAUUUCUUCGUAAUAAGAUCAUUGAGGAAAUAAAUGUCAUGAUUGUCAUGUGUAAAAUAUUAAAUAAAUGAAUUAUUUUACAGCUUAAGUGGGACAAAUAAUGAUUCUUGGGACCGAUGGAGUCUCCAAGAGCAAAUCCUCUGAGGUGUUCUCAAAAACUUGUUAUCAACUAGCCUGUCAGAGCUUUCUCUCUACUUGUUAGAUUUUUAAUGACGAACAUAAUCAAAGUUCGGCUGUCAGUUUUCACUGGGUGUGUUUUGGUCCCAUUUGGAGCUCGUAACUGGUAUCUGAUUAGAAGUGACACAUCAGCAGUAGCAGGGAGAUUUGAUAAGUGCUGAGUGUUUUUGCGUAUAGCCAACGCCAGGAGUGAGUCAGCUGGCAAUGAUAUGACAUAUUUAGGGCAAAACACAAAUAAGGUGCUGUUGGUGUUGUGGUCCAUUAUCUCCGAGAGCAACUCAUUUGGCCUCAGAAACUUUCACAGUGAAAAGUGGGCGGCUUUACACUCUUGUGAUUUUUUUUUUCUCUCUCUUUUCCUUUGUGAUGCUUUUGCUUAGACAGUGAUUAUUUAAAAAGAUUUCUCCCAAAUGGACAAUGUAAGGGUGUCGAAGGCACAGCACUUGUUUUCUUUUGAAGUUUUGCUUUGAUAUGGAGAACAAGCGCAGUUUUAUAUUUAUGGUUGUUUCUGCAUAUACAAAAAUUAUCUGAUUAGACUAUCUAAAAAUAAACGCCUUGUCUUUUUUUUUUUUUUUUUUGGCAGAGACUCUUUUAUCUGAGAAGAACAGUUUGCUCUCCCCGGACUGAUGCUCCUGAGUGAUUAUGCCUGUGGGUGCAUGUGUGCAAUAUGUUUGAAUCCAAUAUUAGCAUGCAUUUCUAUAUACUUGAGUGUGUGUACCUGUGUUUGCAUUUGUGUGUAUAUAUGUGUGUGUGUUUGUAAGCCAUGUUUCAAAUCCUUAGCUGCUGCGUGGUGGCUAAUUGCCUCUCCUGAGGAAUAAUUAGGUGACAAAAGCAAACGUAAUGGUGCCUCGGUAAGAGAGAAAGAUAUAUGUUGUGUCCUGUGUGUGGUGCAGCCAGCGUUGCCAUUUGUUUGCUGGUGGUAAGGAUGGGAGGAGAGGACAAAGCAAAGGCCCUACAUUUGGAGGCCAAAGCCCGGAAAAGCAAAGAUGGUGCAACAAUUAAUUACGGCUAAUUAGAUGUAUCCGUUAUAUUUACUGGGCCAACAAUAAAUCAAGUGGUGCAGCUAUUUUUAUCCUAAAAGACUUGUAAGUAAAGCCCAGCAUGCAUGUAUGCGAGUGUGUGUGUGCACAUGUGUGUGAAUAUGCUGAUGAGGGUGUGUUUGUGUUUACGAGCUGUGUUUUCAUACCUGUGUGUGUGUUUGUGCGCAUAAAACGCUCUUUACUGUUUGCUUUCCAGGUGUUCAGAGCUGGGUCGCCUUAGACUCCCUCCUCUUAGAUUAAUAAUCCAUUAGUAAUCCAUUUCACUAAUGAGCACUCAGCGGAGAGUCAGGACCGAAGGGGGAUACAGAGACGGUCAAGGGAAGCCAAGUGUAUAAUUAAUGUCUCAGCCAAUCAGAUGUGCUAUAAAAGUCGCUUCCCAAUUGAGCCGGGUGUCAACUGUCCGAUGACAUGUGCCUGUUUGUAAUAUUUUCUGUUUAGUAAAUCCUAAAUUAACAGAUAGGGAGAUUGUGGUUUUUUAUUACUGAAAUGAUGAUGAAAUGAAUUCCCCGCUUUAUGUGUUGAACUAGAAAAUAAAAAUGACACUGUAGCCACUUUUCAAAUAAAAAAAUAGAAAAAAACACGACAGCAUCGAAGAGAGUGGCAGUUUAACAGCUCAAGUUGUUGCUGUUAGAGAUCCAUGUGGGUGAGUAUUUGACAUGACAACAUCAUCAGCCUUUGGCAAUCAAACAUGGAUAAAAGCAAAGUUAACUCAUUAUCAUACUCUGACACAAUCACUCACUACUCUCUUCUCAUAAGGAAACAGUGCUAUCAGAGUACAUGGUUAAAACAGUCAGUGCUUUCAGAACGUGUAUUUUAACAUCGCACUAUGUCCAUGCAAACCAAAGAGUAAUUAAAGGGAUAUUCCAGCGUAAAGUUAAUUUAGGGUCAAACACACCGUAACACUGAGUUAGACACCCCCUCGAGAGAUGAAUGUUGCCGACUGCUUGCUUCUCAAGUUAUACCAACUUUAGCAACGACCGCACGAUAGCAAUACACAGCAGUCUAAGGAGCCACACAAAAACUUCAGACUUUACAACUCUUCUUUAAAUAGUAGAUGACUUUUAGAGACAUGACAAAUGAGAUGACAGACAAUUGAAUUUCCCUUGCUGAAUCAAUUAAGUUCUUCUUAUUCUUCUUAAACACCAACUAAAAAGCCACUCUAUAGCCACAAAUAAUGCUCAGAACAGCACCUAACUUCAUCAACAGUACAUAUAGGGUCCCAGCCAUAGUACUUGCCACCAAACAUCUUUUGAACUUAUAAUCAUAAAUGUUCCUCCUUGAGCUGCAUCACCCCGCAACAGUCCAUAAUGGAUUGGCCCGAGGUCUCGCUACAAUCAAGCGGCUGCUGGAAGAGAGUAGGUAAUUGUGUUUAGUCUCUUUGCUAAAGAAAUCAGGCAAAGCUAAAAAGAUGUUUGGUGGUUAGUACUACGGCUGGGACCCUAUAUGUACUGUUGAUGAAGUUAGGUGCUGUUCUGAGCAUUAUUUGUGGCUAUAGAGUGGCGUUUUGGUUGAAGUUUGCGUGUGGUUCCAUAGAUUGCUGCGUAUUGCUAUCAUGCGGUCGUUGCUAAAGUUGGUAUAACUAGAGAAGCAAGCAGUCGGCAACAUUCAUCUCUUGAGGUGUUUAACUUGGUGUUAUGGUGUGUUAGACCCCAAAUUGAUUUUGCUCUGGAAUAUCCUUUGUGUAAGUGUAUGUGCAAACAUAAUUAACACAGACAAGCUGAAUCCAAAUGAUACUGAAAGAAAAAAACAACCACUAUGUUACAUGCAUUACGGUUUUAUUUCACACAAGAAGAUAACCAGCUGGACAAACUCUUCCCAUGAAAGAAGCUAGACAACACACACACACACACACACACACACACACACACACACACACACACACACACACACACACACACACACAACAGAAAGCUUUCUAGCCUCAACCUUAAAACUCCCGAGAGAAACUUUUUUAGCCUUAUGAAAUAGACUGAAAUUCACAUUGAUGCCUUUUUUCAAUAUCUAAAAGCAAACAAGACUGGUGAUUUUCAAACUGCAAUUUUUAAUGCCUGAAACUGGAGCUGAGGAUGUCAGCCCAGCAGCUGCAGAAACAGCCCUAUAUUACAAUUCCACAUAAAAAAUUCACAUUUAAUGAUGUAUUUGACUGUCAAAAGUCAGCAGGAUUUUUUUUUCUUUAGAAACACUAUUUAAAUACAGCCUUGUCCACGGGUGUGCCAAAAGUUUCUUGCUGGAGUGUUUAGAUCAUAGUCCUGUAGUCUACAAACAUGAGCACAAGACAGUUUUCUUCCUCUGAAGAACCACGCUGAUGGUAUAUACUGUAAAUGUAUUGAGCAUUAUAAAGCUAUUGUUUGAAAUGCUUGAUCGUUCUUGGCCUACACAUGUCCUCUGUUAACUUGCUGUAGGAAGGUAUCUUGAGUAAAUAAAUAAAAACAGACAUCGAAAAACAUGGAUGUUCUUGUAAUGCAAUUUACAUUUUAAUAUUUUAGGUAAAUAGUGGAAGUUAGGUACAAGACUGCUUUCCACUGAGAAGCCCUGAGAGCCAGUGUUCUUGAACAUCCACAGCCAGAGUAGCUUUUGUCACUUUUAAGGUUAAAAUGAAGAAAUUGAGCCAAAAAUUUUAACUAAAGUGAAAGAUUCAUCUAACAAAAUUCCAAAAGUUAAAUACUGAGGGUUUCUUGAGGAAAGUCCAAACAAAAAUCCAAAUCAAUAAACACUAGAAAACAGAGAAGCAACGUACUUGAGUGCUGGGAAGACAUGAAGCAGACAUACACGGACAAAGGAGGCAGAUAGAGACGAUACACUGUGAAACGAGCAACAGGUGAAAACAAGAAAACGAAUGACAAGGUGAAACUAAUAACUUUUUGAAAAAGAGGGGAAACCAAGGGAGUAAAACUGGGCUUCACACUCUGGGAGAUAGGACUACAAAACAAAAAAAGGAAACAUCACACAGACCAGACCGAAAUAAAAGACCAACAAUACACGCAGGGAACAGGAACACAAGGGGAAAUAAACAAAAAAUAUUAAGAUAUGACACAAGCACACAGCUAAACAGACAAGAACGCCUCACGACGGCUAUAAGUCGUAGCCUACAAAUGUGGACACCCGAUUAUCUGUGCAUUGUAAACACAUACACACACACACUUGGCAUUGAUUCUGUAUUUUCCCUCAACAACAAAAAUGAUUUAGAUGUGCUUUGUUUGCAUUACACCUGCUUUUAACGGGGUGUGCUAACUGCCUUUACAUUGAGAGAGUCCUCAGUCCAACAGGUAGUCUGAGUACUUUCUUUAAACUCACUGGUUGAGUUCAGAUUAUUUUACCUGCUGAGUUAUUUACGCUUUCACAUCACAGGUACUGUGUUUGUUGGGCUGGUAAAACUGUUUUUUUUUUUUUUUCUUUUUUCUUUUAAUUCAAUACCAAAAACACCCUCACAAAAUAGAAUAAUAUAGAGGGAUACCUUUUCGUUCUCAAAUGUAUUAUUUUUGAUAAUUACAUGUCUUUCUCAAUUACUCUUGAAGUCAAAACAAUCACCUUGAAUGUGCUAAUUCCUUUGGGAGAAAAAUGAACUAAAACUUCCAAUAAAAGAAAAGUUAGAGGUGACUUUUUAAUGAUUCCCCAGCUCCUUCACUCAAGCUAUGCAGACUUGAUAAGUAUGUGGCUGUCACGCUGUGAUGGGCAAAGCGCUGUUGUGUGCUUUUUAAUAUAGUUCCGGUGGGGUUUGUGGCAACUAAAAGCUGUUACAAGGUCUGGCACAUCAAAAUGAGCUGGUAAACACAGAAGAUUCCUCACAGCCACCCCCAAUCCAAGACGACUACACCAAUCUAGAUCCUGUGUUUCAAGCCUAAACAGAAGAUUUCCCCAGUGCUUCACCUGGCUUCCCCACGGAUCCUCUCUCUCCUGUUUAGCAGUCAGACCAUGAUGAAGCCUGACAAAAGAGGCCGUUAAAAAUUGAACACCGUAAGUGGGAAAAUGUGGUAGGCGGGACUAUUGUUACCUCCACCCACAUGCAUGGGUGAAAUCUGACACUCUCUUCUCCUCUCACUCCCUCUGCAUCUCCUCUCUCCUUUUCUCCCCAGCCUCCCUCGGGAAAGCCCUGUAUCCCAUUCAUUCGAUUGCCCCACAUGAUGGAUGUGCAGCGUGAGGAAUGGGCCAUCCCGGGGGCCAUGGCGUCGUUUCUGGGUUAAACAGCAUCCUAUAUCAAACCCUUCUAUACCUUCACAAGCAGGAAGCCUGUUUACUGGGGCGGGAAAGCACCACAAUCCAUUUCAUGUCACGGUGUCUGCUGGAUGCAACAAAAACUUGGACAGCAACAGCUUAGGGAUUGCUGUUUGAGGAAGGCAGCAAUAACUAUGUACAGAUGCUUCAUGAUCUUCAAGCUGAAGAGAAUAUUACCGAUCGGCAAAAUCAUA
rnacentral:lncRNA from 1 species